rnacentral:lncRNA from 1 species
AGAGAGUUUCUCUAGAUGGAUGCUUUCCGAGAUUCUUCUUCCUCCUCUUACCGGUGUUCCUAUCAUGCCUUCUUGAGUUUCAGAGGCCCAGACACGCGCAAGGGCUUUACUGAUCACCUCUAUAUAGCCUUGGAGCAAGCAGGAAUCCACACGUUUAGAGACGAUGAUGAAAUCGAGAGAGGGGAGAAUAUUGAGUUGGAGUUAGACAAGGCGAUACAGGAGUCACAAGUAUCGAUAAUUGUCUUCUCCAAGGGCUACGCUUCCUCAAGGUGGUGUUUGAACGAACUUGUGAAGAUCGUGGAACGUAGAAAUACUGAUCGUAGACAUGUGGUUCUGCCAGUUUUCUAUGAUGUGGAUCCAUCCGAUGUCAGGAAGCAGAGUGGUUCUUUUGCUGAAGCAUUUGCCAGACAUGAGGAGCGAUUCAGUACGGAGGAGAUGGACAAGGUAGAGCAGUGGAGAAGAGCUCUUAGAGAUGUUGCAUCUUUGGGAGGAAUGGUUUUAGGAGAUCGGUAAUUUCUUUUCUCAUUAUGUUCUCACGCUAAUUGAAAGUGUCUUUUAAAUUAGAAAACUAGAUUUUAAUCCCUAAACAAGGUAGAGUUUAGAAAAAUAUUUUAUACAAGAUUAAAAAUUGAUUUUAGUCAUUAGACGUCAGCAUAUAUAUAUAUAUAUUCAAUGUCUCUUGUUUUAUUUAUAAUUUUAUGAAAAUAUUAUGAAUUUUAAUUCUAUAAGAAAAUAUUUUCGUAGAGAUUUUUCGGUACGCAUAUGUUUUUGCAUAUUUUCUUAUUUGCCACUAAUUCAUUACAAUAUAUUUAGGUACAAAUAUUUUGGUACACUGGGUUAGUAUAAUAUGUUUAGGUACGGACAUUUCGGUAAACUAGUUUAGUAUACUAUAUUUAGGUACUGACAUUUCGGUACACUAGUUUAAUAUCAUAUAGUUAGGUAUGGAAUUCUCGGUUUACUUAUGUUUUUAUAUAUUUUCUUAUGUGUCACUAAUUCACUACAAUAUAUUUAGGUACUUGCAGUUGGGUACAUUAAUUUAGUAAAAUAUAUUAUGAUACAGACGUUUAGGUAUACUAAUUCGAUAAAAUUAAAUAAAAUUUAUUAAGUUAAAUAAAAUUAAUGAAUUAAAAUGUGUAUAAUAAUAAAUUUAAAAUUUAAUGUAAUAACAUUAAAUAAGUUAUCUAUUAAAUAUAAAAACAAAAAUAUAAUAUGAAUUUGAAUUAAGUACACAUUAAGGGACUAAAAUCAAUAUUCAAUCAAACACAAGAUUUUUAUUAAAUUUUAAUUUUCUUGAAGGAUUAAAGUUCAAAAACCCUUAUAGAAAACUAAAUUUUAAUCCUUGGCAAAUACGACUUUUAGACUAAAACCAUGAGUAAAAUCAAAAUCUAAUUUUUGUCCUAUGAUACAUUAAUAACCUCAUUUAUUAAUUAUAUAUAUUUUUUAAUUAUUUCUCUUUUUCUUCCUAAUUUUUAAUGUAUUAAUUUUAUUUCACUAUAAUUUUCAUUUUCAUUUCAUUUAUCGUAAUAUAUUUUGUUGUAAACAUUUAGAUAAACUAAUUUUCGUUACAUAAUAUAUUUUGAUGUACUUUGUCUUUUUCAUUUAGGUAUAUUAAAUUCAUUAUAAUACAUUUCAAUGCAUACAUUUAGAUACACAUAUUUCGGUACAUACAUUUCGACAUAAACAUUUAGGUACAUUAAUUCAAUAUAAAAUAUUUAGAAAACUAGAUUUUAAUUCUUAAAUAAGAUGAAGUUUAGAAAAAUGUCUUAUACAAAAUUAAAAAUUGAUUUUAAUCCUUAGACUCUAUUUAAUGUCAGCACAUGUAUUCAAUGUCUAUUUUUUUUUAUUUAUAAUUUUAUAAAUUUAAAUUUUAUGAAAAUAUUAUAAAUUUUAAUUGUCAUUAUGGUAAGCAUCUUAUAUAAGAAAAUAUUUUCGUAGAGAUUUUUUGGUACACUUAUGUUUUUGCAUAUUUUCUUAUUUGCUACUAAUUCAUUACAAUAUAUUUGGGUACAAACAUUUCGGUACACUGGGUUAGUAUAAUAUGGUUAGGUGCGUAUAUUUCGGUACACUAGUUUAGUGUAAUAUAUUUAGGUACCGACAUUUGGGUACACUAGUUUAGUAUCAAAUAGUUAGAUACGGAAUUUUCGGUACACUUAUAUUUUUACAUAUUUUCUUAUGUGUCACUAAUUCACUACAAUAUAUUUAAGUACGGGCAUUUCGGUACACUAAUUUAGUAAAAUAUAUUAUGAUACAGACGUUUAGGUACACUAAUUAGGGAAAGUUAAAUAAAAUUAAUGAAUUAAAAUGUGUAUAAUAAUAAAUUUAAAAUUUAAUGUAAUAACAUUAAAUAAGUUAUCUAUUAAAUAUAAAACAAAAAUAUAAUAUGAAUUUGAAUUGAGUACACAUUAAGUGACUAAAAUCAAUAUUCAAUCUAACACCAGGUUUUUAUUAAAUUUUAAUCUUCUUGAAGGAUUAAAGUUAAAAAAAACCCCUUUUAAAUUAAGUAAAGGUUUUUUUAGCCAAAAUGAUCAUGAGAUUUGCAUAACUCACAACUUUAGUCCCUGAGAUUUAAAAUCAAUAGAAGGAGUCUUUGAGAUUGUCCACCAUCAAUCAUUUUGGUUCUUGGGUGAAAAAUUAAGUUAAAUAAGGAUCAAAAUGAUAAAAUUAUCCUUAAUUUAAUAAACAAUAGGCCAAAAUGAUUUGACCAAAUUGAGGGUAUUUUUAUCAUUUUAUCCUUAUUUUAUGGAGAUUUUUCACUAAAUAACCAAAAUGUGAACAAACUCGGGACCAAUUAUAUCGAUUUCAAAUAUCAGGACCAAAGUAAGCAGUUGUGUAUUUUGGCUAAAAAACCUUAAGUAAAAUUGUAGAUGGCAGUGAAACUUGAAGUUGUUCGAUUUUGGUUUAUAUGCUCCUAUAUAUACUGCGAUUUUGGUUUAUAUUUUUCUAUCGAUUUUGGUUUAUUUGUUCUCAUGCUUAUUUCUGCGUCGUAUAUUUCGAUUCAAAUGAAUUACAGGCAUGAGGGGCAGUUCAUCCGAGAAAUUGUUGAAAAGAUUAGAAAUAAAAUGGGUCACGCAGCUUUACACGUCACUCCCUUUGCAGUUGGAAUGGAUAAUCGUGUGAGACGCCUAAACAUGUGGUUACAAGAUGGAUCAAAUGAUGUUGGUUUAGCUGUCAUCUGUGGGAUGGGUGGAAUUGGCAAGAGCACCAUCGCGAAAGCCGCUUAUAACCGCAACUUUGAAAGAUUUCAAGGUAGCAGCUUUCUUGCAGGUAUACGAGAAUCUUCAGAACAAUCCAAUGGUGUUGCUCGCUUGCAAAGAAAACUUCUUUCAGAUAUCCAAAAGGGGAAAGCAAAGAAAGUAUACAAUAUGGAUGAAGGAACAAUCAGGAUCAAACAAGCCGUAGGCAAUAAAAAAGUUCUUAUUGUUCUUGAUGAUGUGAGCAACCGGGAUCAACUCAAUGCAAUUCUUGGAAUGCGAGAGUGGCUUCAUCCAGGAAGUAAAAUUAUCAUAACAACUAGACAUGAGCAUUUGUUAAAUGCUCAUGAAGUUUUUGAAAAGUUUAUGGUUCAAGAACUGGAUGAGGAUGAAUCACUUGAGCUUUUCAGUUGGCAUGCCUUCGGACAAUCCCAUCCAGUAGAAGGUUACAUGGAGCUUUCAAGACAUGUGGUGCAGCACUGUGGAGGGCUUCCAUUAGCUCUUCAAGUUCUGGGAUCUUCUCUAUCUGGAAAAAGUGUAGAAGUGUGGAAAAGUGCAUUGAAGAAGUUAGACCUGAUCCCUAAUGACAAAAUUCAAAAAGUUCUGAGGAUAAGUUUUGAUUCUUUACAAGAUGAUCAUGACAAAAAUUUAUUCCUUCAUAUAGCCAGUUUCUUCACAGGAAAGUCAAUGGAUUAUACAAGUGCAAUGUUGGACAGCUUAGAGUUUUGCACAAGGAUUGGGAUUGAAAAUCUAGUUGACAGAUACCUAGUGGAAAUUCAAGGGUCGAAGUUGGUCAUGCAUCAAUUGGUGAGAAACAUGGCAAUGGCAAUUAUUCGCGAAGAAUCACCUGAUGAUCCUGGAAAACGUAGUAGAGUGUUACAGAAUGAUGCUUCUAAUAUUUUGAGAAAAUUAAGUGUAAGAACUAAGUUUUUCAUGCGUAUGUUUUUAGUUAUGAUUUACAUGUGUAGUACUAGUUACCCAAAUGCUCUGAUUUUUUUUGCAGGGCACGGAAAAUAUUAAGGGCCUCAUGCUCAACCUUGCUAGCAAAAGAACGUUUGUUGGAAGUGAUAAAAAACAAUGCCAUGUUGAAGAUUAUGAUAGAAAUUGUUCAAGACAACGUUGGCUUGGUUUCUUGUCUUGGAAGCCAAUUAGCUUUUCCUCCACAAACUCAGCUUCUGCAUCAAAUGAGAUAGAUUUCAAAUCUGAGGCGUUUAGAAGGAUGCACAAUCUUGAAAUUCUCAUUCUCAACAACGUCAACGUCGAGGGAAGCUACGAAGAAUUUUCAAAAAGUUUAAUAUGUUUAUCUUGGAGAGGAUUCCACUUAAAAUCAAUACCAGAAAAUUUUUAUUUGGAAAACCUGGUUGUUCUUGACAUGCGAAAUAGUAGCCUACAACAUGUUUGGAAUGGGAUCAGGGUACGUAACCCUCUCUCUCUCUCUCAUUCUUUCUCUCACACAUGUCCAUUAUAUCUUCUUAGAAAUUGAUUAAUACUUGUUAUUGAAACAGUUUCUUCCGAGGCUGAAAAUUCUUAAUCUCAGUCAUUCGCAUGGCCUUAGGACAACCUCCGACUUCUCAGGACUCCCUAACCUUGAGAGAUUGAUUCUUAAAGAUUGCAUAAAUUUGGUUGAGGUUGAUGAGUCCAUCGGAUACCUAGAGAAACUUGUUGUUUUGAAUCUAGAAGGCUGCAAAAAUCUCAUGAAGCUUCCAAAAUUGAGAUCUAUUCAGGAUCUUAUUCUUUCUGGUUGCUCAAAGCUUGUGCUUGGUGCCAAUACGACUGCCACAACUGGUCACUUACAAUCUACAGCUUGUGAAAUGAAGAAACUCAAUCUGCUAUCAGCUAAAUCAUGGUAUUCAAUCUGGUCGCAGGUGUCGCCAAGAAAAAAUAUUGAACCAAGCAGUUUCUCAUUGGCAAGUUUACCACAUUCCUUGACAAGUUUACGUCUGGAUAGCUGCAAUCUAUCAGAGAUUCCGAGUGCCCUUACUAUGCUGUCUUCGUUAGAGUACUUGGAUCUGUAUAACAAUCCAAUUACAAGCCUACCAGAGAGCAUGAACAAUCUUGUUAGGCUUCACACUCUUGCAGUAGAAGGUUGCAGAAACCUCACAAUGCUUCCAGAGCUCCCACAUAGUUUGAAACAAUUGAAUGGUAGAGGUUGCACAUCAUUGAAAAGAAUAACAAAUUUACCGAACUUGCACAUAUCACCUACCGUAUAUCCCUUCGGCAUGCAAAAGGACUUAGAUUUAAUGCAUUACAAUAUAGUAUUGGACUCAAAUUUAUGGUAUUGUGGGAAACUAGUUGAUGUUGCAAGCUUGUUCAAUACACUACCAUUGAGCAGCUUUGACAUAAAACUCCUCAAAGAUAUGGAUCUAUUCGAUUUGAAACCCAACGGUGGCGUAGAGGUCCAAAGGAACAACGAUUGUGCAAGUUUUAGCAAGCCAAGGCGCUCCAAGGUUCUCUCUCUCUCUCUCUCUCUCUCUCUGCUAUGUACAAGUGCUUAUAAUAUGAUCUCUAUGGCGUAAACAAUUAGAUUGUAAUCGCAGGGAACUUUUGAAUGCGGCAUAAUUAGCAUUUUUGUGCACGAGAGCAAGAUUCCAGAUCGGUUCAAUUACAGGUGGAUGCCUCCAGAUCGGUUCGAUUACAGGAGCAUGGGUAACACUGUGUUCUCUAUUAUUGUUCCUUCACAGCCUAAUAUCAAGAUCGUAGGUUUAAAUGCAUGUAUACUGUAUGCCCGGCAAUCGGAUCGAAGCCCUGUGAUUCCAUUUGGGAUUCCAUUUGGAAACUCUCAUGCCCAUUCGCUUGAACUUAGGAAUGAGACAAAGGGCCUUAAGUGGAACUUAAGAAUGUCGACUGGGGUUGAAUGGAAAGUGAUGAACGAAGAUAUGUUAUGGCUAAGCCAUUGGAUUAUGGGGAACAAUGAAUUGGAGUGCGGGGAAAAAGUGUAUUUUAGACUAACCGAAGAUCAUGACGAUUUAUUCACAAAGGGGAUUGGAGUCCAGUUUGGGUACGAGCAGCAAAAUAAGGAUAAGGAGGAUGUCCCAUCAAGUAGUGAAGAUCCAAUGAUCCUACCUGACAGAUCGCCUUGGGACGGCGGUCACGCUUCCAGCUGGGUAACGGAUUCAUGUCAGAGAUUUAUCGGGCCGAAAUGGAUCGAGAACCUUAAGAAGGAAUCUAUUUCAACUGUCGUGUGCGCGGCUAAUUACUCUCUCUGUAACCAUGAAGUGAUCGACCUUGAGAACGAGUCCCGCAUGACGCCAUGGUAACGAGUGCUCUAAACUAUUACCCAGGUUAAUUCAAAUUGAUGGUGAUGAUGCACAAAUCACUAAAUUCAAAUGUGUAUUGGUUGUUAAGCUUCGUUUCUAUCCAUUUUCAAUUUUCCCUAAAAAAUUGUUUUCAAUAAAACCUGUUUUGAAGAAAAAUAAAGUUUCAGAGCCCAACUAGAAAAUAAGCCCACGAGUUGUGGUGUGAACUAACUGUUUCAGGCGUAACUGCAUGAAUAAGACACAUUUCACACGUAACUGAAUAAAUAAGACACAAAGUGCAAGAAGUAAAGCUCAUAUUUAGCAGUGUUAUUUUAACAACAAUUGUUCAAGUGGUGGAUUGCCCCGGUGGGUAGGGCAUUUCUCUUAGUCCUACUGCAUUCCGGGUUCAAAGUUCCAACCAUCCCCCGUACCAGUUUAAGCACACCAAAGACCAAAUUUAGCAUGUUCUGUCGUCAUCCACCCAACCCAGCAGAUAUACAAAAUUCAAAUAGAACUUGGCAAAUUCAUCCUCUUAAAAUACAAAACGAAAAUAAUUUAUGAUCACUGACCUCUGAGAAUCGAAUGAUAUUCGGAUUCUUCAAUGAUCUGUGGUUCAUGAUUUCCCCUUGAACAUGUUCAUCCAUCUGCAUCACCAAAAAAAAAAAAUAUUUAAAAAAAAUACAAAAUGAAAAUAGUUUAUGAUCACUAACCUCUUUGGAUCGAAUGAUAUUCGGAUGGUCCAGUGAUCUAUGGUUCAUGAUUUCCCAUUGAACAUGUUCAUCUAUCUGCAUCACCAAAAAAUUAAUAAAUAUUUUAAAAAAAAUACAAAAUUUAAAGGAUAAGAAUUGCGAAGAUUCUUAGGUCUUAGUUCGAAAUGUAAUAGCUCAUCUCACCUCCAUAUAUUACCAAAUCUUAGUCUAUAUGAUUUUGCCAGAGCCACCGAAUGUUGAUAUAUAUCUGUUGCAUGUUCUACUACCAUCAACAUUAUAAAGGUUUCUAAUUGAAUCAUAUAUUUAAAAUCCAAGCAUGAAAGUUUUACAAAGAUAAAUAAACAAAUGUAAAUAACUAAUUAGGCAAUACACAGCAGAGAGGGGAGAGAGAGAGAGAGAGAGCAAUUGAAGGGAAUGCAUAGUUAUCUCUAUCUUCGGAAAAAAAAAAAGAAAAAAAGAGAGCAGUUGAAGGAGUGAGAAGCAAAGCAGCAUACCAAGUGGAGAGUAAGCAAUUAAGCAUAGUCAUCUCACGUACGGAUUGCCUGAGAACUGAUCUUUGCUUCUCUUCCUUAUGAUCCUCUUAAAUGCAAUUCUACACAUUUCUAAACCAAAAUUGCAAAGCAGAAUUCAAAGAAAUUUAAAGAAACCUAGUAAAGAUUCAAACUUUUUUAUUAUCCAAAAGAUGUACAUAACCCCAUGUAACAAAAACAAAUUUAUGACACAAAAGAAAUUAUCUUUAGCCACAAAAAGCAAAAAAGAGAAAGAGAGAGAUUUUGCUUUUUGCACUAUGCAGAAUGUGCAGAGAAUCAAAAUAUCAUAACCCAUUUAACAACAUGAUAUUUUAGGCAAAAAGGCAUCACCUUUAGACCCCAAAUGAAAGAAUUUGAGAGAGAGCGCAUACGUGGUUUCCAAGAAGAGGAAGAGAGCAAUUCUAUUUCCUGUAAAAACGAAGAAACAGAGCAUUAACAAACACACAUGCACAAAUCUCAAAAGGAAAUUGGUAAGAAAUAAUCGUAAUUGAGAAAAUAAUUAGAAAACUAGAGAGGACACAAUUGGAGUCUAAUUCUACAGAACCCACGAGUCAAGACAAACAAAUAUCCAAAAUUAACAGAUUACAGUAACAACAUUCCAACAAAAGUAAGAAGACCAGAAAAAUUAUCUAUUCUAAAGUACAUUAGUUCCAUCAUGCAUAAAUCAAGGGAGUCACGGAAGGCCAGUAUCUUAAGGUAAUCCAACAUGUUAAAGCAUCCAAACAGAGACUCAGAAUUACAAAACGCAUGAAAAUUCACAUUCCAACGUGUUAUGCAAUCACCAAUUUCAGAUCAACCAAAACCAAAUAAAUUUAUAUCAGUACGCAUCAAACCCACCAAACCCAAAAUCAAAAGAAGGUGAUCAAAUGUUUGAUUUUGCUAAAUAUUACAAAAUAAAAUAAAUAAGAAUAUGUACAAAUCAACAUGCAUACCUUGUAGCGGUGCAGGGAACAGUAGCGUGAGCUGCAUCGAGGGCAUGUGUACUGGGAAAAUUGCUACUGGCAGCUGCAACUAACAAAAACAAAAACAAAACAAAAUUGAAUAAAAUCAAAAUUGGAAAAAUUUCCAGAAAAUAAAUAAAACAAAUUAUCAAGCUUUGUUGAUGAAAGAGAGGUGGGGUUGGUGAAGAACAUACAUGCGGCUAUGAGCAGUAGAUAAAAGAUUUCAAAAUGAUUUCUUCACUUUUCAAUCAGGACAUGCACGAAUAUAAAAAUGGCAGAGAGGAUUAAAACCAUACCAAACACUAGAAAAUCAAGUAUAAAAAUCGUACUUACCUUGUGAAUGAGGACAUGCAGACACAUGAUGGAUGAAGGACAGCAAAUCCCGCAUACACGAACCUAACUUGCCAUUGUUCGCCACCCCCACCCCUCCCUAUCUCUCUCUCCCUGCAAUCCCAACGAUUUCUCUCACUGUCAUCCUCCCACUCCCGAAUCGAAUAUCCGCACGAAAUCUCUCUCUCUCUCUCUCUCACUCGGUUUCUCUCACUGUCACCCUCCCACUCCCGAAUCAAAGAUCCGCACGAAAUCUCUCUCCCUCUACAAGCAGCAUGGCCGCUGUCCCUCUCUGUCUGCCCUCACCAUCAAUCCCAAUCCCAAAAUUAAGAUGACAAAAGUGCCCUGCAACCCUUUAAUUCUAGCCGCGUGAUCCUAACCCUAGAUGAAUAUUUCUGGAAUUUGAACACCCAAAGUAUCUCAUCAAAUGUGGAUGUACCUGUCAUAGUAUGAAUCUGAGAAUUUCUCAAUUCAACUCUCGAAUUUACUGUGACAGUAAUAAUAUAUCAUGUGGAAAGAGGUGGGAUUAUGGUAAAAGAUAGAACUUUAGCUGAUGGUAAACAACAUUUGGGAAUUUGAUGUAAGCCGGCUGGGAAUCCCAAAUGUUGUUUACCAUAAGUUAAAAUCUAAUCUCUGAUUAAAAAAAUAAUAAUAAAAAGCACACCUCAAACUGAUAAGGACCAUAAUUUUCAAGGGACACUGCUUUUCAAUGGUUACCAUAAAAAAAAAUAAUGAAAGAACUGAUCAUUUGAAUUAUUCAUGACAGAACCAAUUUUGAUUUGAAAUAUGAUGGCCAAGAACAAAUCACACUGCUUUUCAAUGGUUACCAUAAAUUUUCAGAAGUUACAGAAGAUUUUUUAUCAAUUGAAAAGACAAUGGUCACAUAUAUCUACAAUUAACCACCAGUAAGCGUGAAAUACUACAUCACAAUGCAAUAGCAGCUAUACAGGAUGUCAUGCCAUUCAUACUAUGACAAAUCACAAAAGUGACAAUUAAAGGGCACCUAACAGACACCCCCAUCUCUCUCUCUCUCUGCAAUAGCAGAAAUCCCUCGGGUUUCAGGAAGCAAAUGGAAAACAAAAUGCUUUUACAUCCCCUACCCAUACCCAUACCCCUCCCUUACCCAUUCCCUUUACCCUUGCAGAAAAUCCUCCCAUCUCUCUCUCACCCUUGUCCCAUCUCUCUGUCUGCAAAUCGCAGAAAAGAAACCCUGAACAAAUCACUGAAAUCCCUCGCCUAAAUCCUCCCACAUUUCUCUCAGACACCCUCUAUCUCUCUCUCUCUUUGCAAACCCUAAACCAAAUCUCCUAAAUUCUAUCUCGGACACCCCACAUACAGCCAAGAAGCCAAGAUAUUAAAGCAAUCUCUACAUAAUACUUUGGAACAAUGAAGCAAAAUGGUACUUACUUGUUCCUUGUCCAAAACCGUUGGUGCCGCCGCACAUUGUUAUUAAUUGUGGGUUGAUCAAAUCCUUCAUGGCUUAGACUGCAUGAAGAAUUAGAAACUAAAAGAUGAAUAUAUGCUGUAAAUCAUCAUAUAAAUGUAACUGCAUUUAAAAAAAGAAGGGAAUGAAAAAUUGAAUUCUAUUUCAUCAGUAUGUAACUGCAUGAAAAGUUACAUUGAAUGCAGACUCAAUCAAUUUCCCCAAAGUCAUUGUUAACUGAAAAUCAAUAUCAAACCCAUAAAUACCACCAUUGAAUUUGCGAAACCCAAAAACAAAAUACAAAAAUUUACUCAUAUAAUCACAGAAAAACAUGAAAUUUGAGCACAUAUUUGGCAAAGUUAAAGGAUAAAGGCACUCACAUCAUCGUAGUACUCUUCGGGAAGAACUUCUAAUAAUGGUUCUUCCUUUUUCUUGCUCUUCCUCAGAGCUGCCAUAAAAAAACCCAGAGAAGCACACAAAUUCAGAAAAGAAAAGGUCCAAAACAGCCAUAAAAAAUCCAGAAAGCAUACAAAUUUAUCAGAACAAAAACCAAAUGAUGUGAGAUAGUGAGAGGUUGUGUUAGGCACCCGUAACACGUUUUGGUUUCAAUUAAAACGGCCAGAGCGUUGCAUGCGAGGAAGAUGACGAUAGGAUUCCAAACACAACAUCCACAUUCUUUUUUCUUGGGUGAACUAACCAAAUCAUAUUAUAUACUAAAAUGACAUAAAAAAUCAUUCACAAAAUCACAACAAAAUAGAACAAAAACAUUCACAAAAGAAUUCCCCAAGUUUUCAAAUGGAAAUUAAACAUUUACAUAGCUUAUAUAAAAAGCCGAAAUAUAAAAAUUAAUCAAAAGGUUGAGAUAACUCACAUCCCAGUAAUGCUUAUUGCUGAUAUUAACACCCACUGACAGCAGCCCUCGGUUUGUGGAAUUCCCACGCCCAACUCCAUGACCUCUGUCUCUGCCAUCCCUCUUUCCCUCACAACCAUACCCACUUUCGACCCACCCCUCAAUCCCGACACCAACCCUUGAUUUAAGGAGGAAAAAUCAAUCCAACCACCCUUUUCGCAAGCCUCACUCCUCCCUCUCCCUUCCCCUCCCUGCCAAUCCCAUGCCCAUCUCCCUCGUUGUAGCUCAGCAACCCACGUUUUUUGGCACCAAACACUAUGUCCUAGGAUGAUGUGACAAUUUAUCAAAGUCAGAAAAUGCAUUAUCUCAGUUUAGGUUGGUAGCAUAUAUGAUCCCUGUGCAGCAACAUAGAAUACUUAGUAAAAGUUGCAUUUCUGAGAACAAAUAACCAAUGCUUGACCGAAAAAACAAUGCAGAUGCUUUAGUAUACAGAAUUACAGUUUUAUUCAAGCUUCUCAGUCACAAACUAACCUUCCUUUGUCGAGCAGCAAGGAGGAGGGGGAGAAAAUUGAUUCCUGGAGGAGCUUUUUCGUUCAAAACUAAGUCAAGCUGCAAGGACGAAGGGUCGAGGAUUGUUCGUGAGCUGGUGUUGCGGAUAUAAACAUAUAGAAAGCUCCACUGUGUCAUAACAAACACAAAUUGAAUAUGAUCACCAUGUCACAUUAAUUACCUAAAAUUCAAAAUGUUAUAUACAUUAGUAUGUUGAAAAAAUUAGUUACAUUUCAUUAAACUAAAAAAUUUACAGAAUAUGAGAAAUAAAGAAUUUGUAUUGUUUAUAUAAAAAUAGAAUAACAAAGAACAUCAUUGACUACCAUUUUAUUCGGUAGUUUCCUCCAACUGCAAUUGUUGAGAUUGUAGGAGAUCUUCGAAUAAAGCCUUCAAUUCAACCAUCCGUACACAAACAUAAUAGACAAUGUUUUUUAGCGAAUUAUGGACAAAGCUUAAUAUUCAAAUGCAAUGAAGUGGAAAACACAAUCCAAUAUAUGGAUAUGCAUGCUAUAGGAAACCAUUCAUUUGUAGAUGGUAUUGUGUCACCAAUAUUGUAUUUAAAAAUCUACCCAAGAUAAAGAUGCAAUAUAUAGUUUGGUAAAAAAUCAAAACGAAGAGUUAACAAAGGAAAAGGAUUAAGACGUUGAAAAUACAAAACUGGAUUCUUUUAUUUGGUAAAGACGGUUCCCCCACUGGCUGUCUGAAACCACAAACACUUUUUACAUAGAAACUUUAUAAACUAAUAGAUUAAAAUAAAUCUAAGUGUUAUAAAUGAAAAAUCCUGGGAUUGAUAGUAAUGGCAUCAACAGUGCCACCACAUCCCAAAUAAAUGAAUGAAAAUAUAGUGAUUAACAUCCAACAAAGAAGCUCAAGCUUGAAAUAAACCAAGGCAUAAAAGCUUACCAAACUUUUCAAAUGGCUAAAUUGUUCAUUUAACAUGAUAACUUCUUCCUGCAAUCCAUAAGUAAGACCAUUAGAUGCGGUAAACAAAACAUCAUACUUCAUAUAUGGCAAUCUAGCAGAGAAACCAAUUGCAUUCAGAUGGAGCCUAAUUUGUGGAACUACAUUUAUAUGCACUGAAAUGCAUUAUCAUGUUGUCAUAUUUAAAAACUGAGGUUUAUGCAGUAUGCUAUCUUUAGCAUACACAAAAUUUUUGCCCCUCAUUUUUGAAGUUCCGCACUUCAUAAUUUAUAUACUUUCAGUUUCCCUUCUAAUGAAGGUAUGGACUGCUUUCCAUUUGGAAUUUUCGUAAGACAAUGUUAUGAUAUUCCUAAUUUAGAAUGUGUUUCCACUCUAAUGAAUGCAAGCCCUAAAUCAUAAAUAUUGUACAAUUAUGUGUUUGAGCACGUGGCAGGGCAUGAGAAUCAGAACCACUCCGUGUUGUUCUCCGCUUCGUGAUUUGGUCAUCAAACAAUACUUCAUUCCCUCCAUCCUUUAUCACGUCUUCUUGGUGAUCAUUUGUCCAUCUCCAAACUGUAUCCACAAAAAACUACAAAUUAAUCCCAAAAACAAUCAUACAAAAAAAUUGCGGAUUAGAUUUGAUUACGUACCAUUUUCCCAGGAUGUAGAGCUCAGUGAUGAUGCCCUCCUCGCUUUGCACCUUAAACAUCGACAUUUUAAACCAGAAACCAAAAUCAAACAAACAUAAAGAAAUACGACUGACAGAAUCACACUGUAAGACACCACUCCCUCGCUUCCACGGUUCCAACCACAACACCAAAAACAACAAUAACAAUAAUAACAAUGUACACUCAGACAAAACAAAAAUGCACCACAGCCCUCCAGUGCUAUAACAGCACUUCUCUUCUAGGACAACUUUGAUAUCUAUGGACUGUUCCCUUCUCCAUGUUACAACGAUAGUAUUAGAGCUCUUACAACAUCACAGAUGCAUGACCAAGAGUGUAUUCGACAACCUUUUCUCUGAUCCUUUUCAUCAGUUGGUCCUAAAGAUUGUAUUCUUCUAAAUUCAUCUUCUUUUUGGGUAUCCAGAGACAUUUAUCACUUCAUAUGCCGAACACAAAACACCUAACAUUUUGGGUGACAAAUUAGAAGCAACUAAUCGGAAUAUGGGUACUGAGAAUUGAAUUACUCUUUGUUCUUAUAGUCCUAAUGGAAAUUACUCGUUGAUUCACAAAAUUAAUCAAACUAAAAUGCAAGAAAAGCAAAAUCAACAACCCAUACAGAAUUAUGAAAAGAUCCCAACAAACCAACCAAACAAUUAACAUUUAAAAAAAAAAAUUGCAAAGUUGGAGGGAAAGAAGCACGAGAAAAAAUAUACACAUCCAAUGCUUUUAAUCUAAAGCUAGAAGUAGGAAUAACUGAGUAAGUUAAUGAAGGCAAAGCAGAGGGUAGGAAGCAGAACAUACCAAGAGACCAAUAGGGCAUCCGGGCCGGUCUGCCGAUGAACGCCGUGUCCUGGUCGACAACGCCCAACGGCGUCGGCCCUGCAAAGAAGUAAAAGUCGAAAACACUCCCAAUGACCUUGUAGGUGAGAGAAGUCCCUCUGUAGAACACAUCCAUGCCAUUGCUGUUGAUCAGCAUAACAGAGUGCGCGUAAGCCUCGUUGCCCACAUUCUGGAGAUCCAUGUAAAACCGGGUGGGACCCGUACAAAUCAGUGUUGAGAUUGAUCGCCGAGACUUCAGUGGUGAAGAGGGUGUGUGGAUCGUUCGGGUAGAGCUUGAUCCCGUGCGGCUGAGUGUUCUCUCCGAGGCCGUACAGGGAGGCGUCUUUCGGCGGUCGGGUGGAUAUCUCGAGGUACUGGUCCUUAAACACCAGUUCGCCAUAUGGGUCUUUGGAGUAGGAGCUCAAAUGAAGAGGACCUGCCCGUUGGACUUCCUCUUGAAGGCGAACCCAAAUGGGUCGGAGAUGAAGCUGAGAAUGAGCUCAGAGCCGGAGUAGUCUGAGACUUCGAUGGGGUUCUUCGUCUUCGCCUGAAACACGUUUUGGUUUCAAUUGAAAAGGCCAGAGCCUUGCAUGCGAGGAAGAUGACGAUAGGAUUCCAGAGAUAGAGAAAGAAGGAGUAAGACGACGGAGGCGAGAGAAGGAAGACGGCGGCAAGAGGAGGAUAGGACGGAGGCGAGACCAUCUGUAUCGUAGGUCUGUGAGACGUACAAGGCAAGGAGGGUUUGAGAAGGAAACGGAAAAGGCCUGCUUUACCAUUGCUAUUCCCUUCCCGCGAUCAUCAAGGCGUGCGCAACAAGAUCAGCGGCAGAGAGAGUCUGUGGCAAAUUUGUAUAUAAAUUGAAAUUCAUCCCAAAACAUUGUUCAUUUGAAUAAUGCAAUUGGAAUCCCUUCUUUAGACAAAAGUAAUUUUUAAGUAGAAUGCCAACUUAGAUUUUGAGGAAAACUAAUGAAAAUGACUUGAAAACUUUGAGUUUUAAUGAUAAGGACAAAAUAAAUGGUAAAGUGAAUAGUAUCAUAAUUGACUUUUUAGUGUAAAAAUAUGAUUUUUCGUUAAAAUGAAUAUUACCGCGGGUUUUUCAUUAAAACUCCCUAGAUUUUAUGCAAACCAAAACCUUACCAUUAUUCAUACUUGCCAGAAGGCCUCAGAAGUCUCCACUAAAAUGCUUCCCUAAGCACAAGUACAUAAUAAUGCCACUGACAACUAGCUCGUCGAUCACCUCAGCGCUGCGGUUAAUGCUUUCGGCGCCACUUUUACAUUUCACUCUUAGUAAGAUGAGAUGAAGACGGGUUCUCAGAAGAUCCAAUUCCGGUAUCUCAAUUCAAUUGCGCAAUUGUUCCUCGUUGUAACUCGAUCUUGAGUAUUGUACAACCAUCAUAUUGCCAACAGCCUUUGAGUCCCGACUACAAGCAGAAGCAUUUACCAAGUUGUCACAAGGCCCGUCAAUACUGGCAGUGUCAUCAGCGGAGGAUGAGUGAUUAAUCGUGCUUCUGUUCUUGUUUUCAGUUUCCAUUCUAUCAUUUUCUGUAAUGACACCUAGAGUUUCAGCCGCUUCAACCACUUGCGAUUCAACAGAUGUCUUGCAAAUAACAGCGGGAUCAAUAUCAUGGCUGUGGUAAUCAUCAGGAUGAGUUACUUUGCAUUGCUCUACAAACUCCAUUGUUGAGGAAAGGAUAUUCAUGUCCUUGUCCAUCGUAUUUUCUUGGCUAUUUCUAUUUAAGAUGUCAUCCUCAAAUCCGGUUGGAUUAGUGCGAGCAUCAUCUGCAGGAGACAGGUCUUCAUCUAUCUGUUAAACAAUGACCUGUGUUUGCUUUCAGAGAAGACACUGCUAGACACAACCUCGUCAACAGAAUGCAACCCUAGUGGGGAAAUGCAGAUGAAAGAGGGAUCAACUUUUCAUCGCCAGUAAUUUCUUCUCCAUAACUCUCAUUACAUACGCCAUUUCCACGUGCUACCACAUUACUCGGUUAGGUAGCCACUACCUUUGGUUCUCUCAGCAGCUACAUCUCCAUUACCACAGUUAUUCGCAUUUGGAGAUAAUACUUCCUCAUUUAUUGGAUCCUCAUUUACUAAUCCUUGAUCUCGAUUGGCAAAAGAUGCCACAUUUAUAGUGGUAUCAUUGCUUUCCAAAUUAACUAGUCCACUUAAUUGCUUCUGUACAAAGACUGCUAAAGAAACAGCAUGAUCACGAAUCAAAGAAUCAUGAGACGGGUAGUGUAGCAUAUCGAUCAAGGCCUUAUGGUACUGUGUGGCAGAUAUUAAUAACUUUGAGUAUAUGUUCACACAGGUUGCCCAUUUCUGCCCAAUGGCAGUUGCAAAUACCAAACUCGUCAAUAACUUUUGCACGAGUACCUUCUAUGAUAAUAUUGCAGUUAAGAAUCUUCAAAGCUUUACGCCAAGAUGUUAAACCACUCGCCCACUCAUCUUUCCAAUAUUGUGCAAAAUCAUCAUUCUCAGAAUAUUCAUCAAGCCAGAAGAAGGAAUGCACUUUUGUACCCAGCUUAUUAACCAACCAAUCAACUCGUUUUUACACUCUAGGUUUAUUCUCGUUCAAUAACCUAAGCUUUAGUGGCUGUGCUAGAACUCCAUUGCCGCAGAGGUUUCCUAGCUAGCAAGAGGAAGAGUUUGUAGUGCAGAUACCCACAUCCCUGAGUCAAAAGACAUUUUUCUUGUGCGAGUUAUUCAAGAUAAAGCAAAAGAAAAUUAAGGACCCUGUUUAAAGAGAAGGGGGUGAAGGAAUUAAACGACACACUUGUUACUUCGUAUCAUAAGGCAAAAUAUACCUCUACUAAAGAUGAUAGUAACUUAGCUAAUUCUAGGAUACUAAGUUGCCUUAAAGUAAUCUAUAAAAUCUUAUUCAUCAAGAAAAUCUUCUAUGAAGUCCUCAGACAAACGCUCGGCUCCUCGUUGUUGACAGAUGUUAUCCACUGCUUGACGAAGCCUUCUUGACAUUGUAGCUCGCAUCUCAUUGUCCACACAUUUCUUUACUAAGUUUGUAUGCCAUGCAUGAGGAACCCGCCAAAAGCUUAUCAACACUGAACACUGAAAUACAUCCCUGAGUAUAAUGAAAUAAAACUGUCAGUAUCAAGUUUGGGCGAGGACUGAGCAACCAACAGGAUGGUGAGCACAUCAGCUAGAGGAUCAUCCACUAUGAAACUAGCCAACUUCCAAACAGGAUCUUUCGUUUCAAUUCUAUUGUGAAGAGCUCUCAUCCAUUUAUGGGCAUUGGAACUUCCAAACUUUGGAGCCACUAUCCACGCCACCGGGAUAGUAAUAAUGUUGCAUGUCACAUCCCGGCCCGGGACAGAUCACUUCCCGGGCCCACUCCACCACCAUAGCACGAUAUUGUCCGCUUUGGGCUUACCAUUCCCUCACGGUUUUGUUUUUGGGAACUCACGAGCAACUUCCCAGUGGGUCACUCAUCCUAGGAGUGCUCUGGCCUCCUUCUCGUUUAACUUCGGAGUUCCUAUGGAACCCGAAGCCAGUGAGUUCCCAAAAGGAGUGAGUUCUCAAAAGGCCUCGUGCUAGGUAGAGAUGGGAAUAUACAUUUAAGGAUCACUCCCCUGGGCGAUGUGGGAUGUCACAAUCCACCCCCCUUAGGGGCCCGACGUCCUCGUCGGCACACCACGGCCAGGGUUAGGCUCUGAUACCAAUUUGUCACAUCCCGGCCCGGGGCGGAUCACUUCCCGGGCCCGCUCCACCACCAUAGCACGAUAUUGUCCUCUUUGGGCUUACCAUUCCCUCACGGUUUUGUUUUUGGAAACUCACGAGCAACUUCCCAGUGGGUCUAUCCUAGGAGUGCUCUGGCCUCCUUCUCGCUUAACUUCGGAGUUCCUAUAGAACCCGAAGCCAGUGAGUUCCCAAAAGGCCUCGUGCUAGGGUAGAGAUGAGAAUAUACAUUUAAGGAUCACUCCCCUGGACGAUAUGGGAUGUCACAUUGCAACAUGAACAUAUUCGGUUUCUCAUUAUUAUUAACAAUUGUAGUUAAUAAUAAAAGGUUAAACAAACUAAACGGACCUUCAAUUUGGUUGUUCCGAACCUUGAAUCAGAAAGCUAUAAGGCUGUGAUUGCCGAAGCAAAUCAUCUGUUGCAACUGCCACUCUGUUUGAAUGCCCAAAGUGAAAGGGUCCACAUAAGAGAAAUCCUAAUAGAAGAAAACAUGACUCUGAUGGUUUUCUACCCACAUGCUAAUGCUAACCGCAUCAUCAGCAUCCAAUUCAUAUAUAGAGCAUCGAAUGACCCUCUCCUGCCUCGAACAUACCUAUAGGUUAAAAGGUCAUCACGGUUAGAUGGACCACCCUGUUUCUCUACAGAUUCAUCGUGUCUCUGCAUUAUAGUCUCCACAGAGACCCCCGCAUAUAACAAAGAUUGUACACGAAGAAGCAGAUCCUCAGAGAUACAAGGGGCAAAUAUAGCACGUGUUCCAGCAGCCAUCUUAUCUUGUGGACCAUGGCAUGGCACUCAUUUCCUAUCUACAUGCUUAUCCUGAUUAUAUAUGAUACGCGCCACUAAAGAAUACCUAGAAUACCAUCAACCUUUGGUUUGUUAGGCGUCUAUGGCUGCCGCCGUCGCCUCGCUUCAACAUGAAAUCUUGUUGGACAUUCUUUAUUAGAGCAUUCACCCCUCAGAAAAUCGUCAACUCUAGGAAACGGAAUUAGAGCAACUCCAUCUUUCUUGUCCCGCCAACCUUCCACCUUUGACCACACAAGAUCAGAAGAAGAAAACUCCAGUGCAGGUGGACUCUGCACAGGAAGGGACAUAAUCUCAUCCCAUCUAGCCAUCUACAACAAAUAAAACGGAAAUGACAAAUUUAAUACAAUAGUCAUUUUAACAGAAGAAUCAAGACCAAAAUCCCAAUAGUCACACUCACACCUAACCCUUAACUAUUAGUUGAAUAAAAGGUUUUUCUAAUCGAAAAAAUGAACAAAAAUGGCGGAUUUUGCAACUGGCUUCGUAAAAUCACACGUUAAUAACAGUAAUAGAGGUCCUUUUUACUCUAAGCAGUACAAAAGAAAGUCAAAAACUUCAUAUCUGAUAACAAGAAAACAAACAAACAAACAAAAAAGAAGAAACAAUUUAAUUCAUGCAAUACAUUUCAUUCCCAACAAGAGAAGUUCAAAACUUUAGCAAACAAUUAAACUGAUUUCGUCUCUGUUUUCAUAAAUUCUCAGAAAUUAACAGUCGAAAAACACAAAUUAAAGGAAAAAAAAAGUGAAAUUCUUUGGGUUGUCAAAUAGAGAAAUUAUAUUCACACACCCAAAAUUUCUUCCACACAUUUUUAAUUUUUAUUUUAUUUUCUACACACUACUAACACUUGAUAGAAAAAGAUUAAAAAAUUAAAGGAUGUGAGGGAAGUAAUUUAGGAUGUGUGAAUAUAAUCUCCCUUUUAGAUAAGUGAAGUCGUUAGCUUCAGAGUCACACAUUGAGCUAUAUCGAUAUGUAUAGUAUCACGCCCUUUAUGCAAAAAGAUCCCCAUUUUUUCAAAAAAAUGGGGAUUAGGUGUAGGUCCACUCCACAACGAACUUUAAUGAUCUGAAUCGUUUAUUUUGUAAGGAACCAAAUCCCCUGCGGAUCCCUAAAAACUGAGCCUUCUGAGCAAAGAAUUAGGACAAUUGAAAUUUGAUCAAACGGUUACAAACAGGGCCCCUCUAAAAGUUAUAAUAAUUGUAGUCAUUGGAUUAAAUUUCAACGGCCCAAAUUCAUUGCUCAGGGGGCUCAGUUUUUGGGGAUCCAAUUCCAAUUUGUAAGUCUCAUUUCAUAGAUUAUUCUUACAAGAAUUCAAUUCAAUCCAAAAUCAUUUAUCUAUUUUGUAAGUCUCAUUCCAUAAAUGUCAUUAUAUCAUCAUUUCACGUGCUACCACAUUAUUCGGUUCAGCAGCCACUUUACCCUUGGUUCUCUCAGCAGUUACAUCUCCAUUCCCACAAUUACUCAUUUGAAGAUAAUACUUCCUCAUUCAUUGGAUCCUCAUUUCCUAAUUCUUGAUCUCGAUUGGUAAAAGACGCACAUCCAUUGUGGUAUCAUUACUUUCCAAAUUAGCUAGUCCACUUAAGGGUGCGUUUGUUGCACUGGAAUGUCUCGGAUUGGACUAGCUUUAGGAACUAAGCUGGAUUGUCUUAGAUUAGCUUAAUGAAGCAUUUGAUGCAGUAUCGGACUAAAAAGUAGGAUAAAAAUUAAUUUUCCUUUUUUUUUUAUCCAAAAACAAAGAACUCUAUCUGUCUCUCCAUUUUCUUUGGUCAAACUAUCUCUCCUCCUUUUUCUCCAUCUCUUCCAUUUUCCUUUCCCGUCCAAUUCCUUUUUCCUUUUCUUCUCGAUCACAAAUAUACACAGUUCACAUGCAAACCAAUUUUCCAUCAGACCAAACAACACCCAUCACCUGCCUUAUCAAUCCAACAAAAUUCCCAAACUUUCCCACCCUAAAAUUUGACAAUUCCAUUCAAAUUAAACAAAAGUUAGAGCUGGAAAACUGAGGAAAGAAAAAGAGAGAGAGAGAGAGAGUAAACGGAUCACCAAUAGUAGGAGGCGGCAACGCCAUAUAGUUUGAGGACGAGCAGUAGCGUAAAGGAGAAGAGGAGGCUAUGGGCCGCCAAGGCCUGCACGAACUUCAACAUUCUCCGCUAGUUCAUCAUCAUCGUAAAACAAUGUCGUCCGCUGCAAAAGUCGAGACUUUAGAUUGUGAGAAAUCUUAGGAGGAGGUUGAUGUUUCAGUAUACGCCAUUGAAACGAAAGAGGCAAGAAAUAUUCUUUCUCUCCUUCUUCUUUUUCAUCGUUCGGGUUGACCUAGAUGGCAAAAAAUCCCAAAUCACCAACCCAGAUGCCAAAAUGGCGCUGGGUUUGCAGGACGAUGGAGAUCAGAGACAACCGUUUCUGGAGAAGGGGGGUUAAUGCUACUCAUGUGGGUUCGUAGGACGCUGCUCGCAUACCAGGGAGACGGGACUAGCAAUCCCGUUGUUUUUGGGGGGCCUCGCUAAGACCUCCUAGUGAGGGAUUUAGUCGAGGCGAGUCCUCCUUUGUCCCAUUUACCUUUAGUCCCGCCAGUGAACAAACAUGGAUUGCACUAACUUUUAACUUAAGCGUCGAGUGAGAACUAAAGAAGGCAAACAAACACCCCCUUAAUUGCUUCUGUACAGAGACUGCUAGAGAAACAGCAUGAUCAAUUGAUUUUGACGGAGUUCUUCAGCUUAAUUUAUUAGUUUUGGAUUACAUUGCUCUUGUUUAAACUUUCAAGUAAUCUUUUUCCAUAUGAUUACUUCUAUUUAAGGGCUCAUGGCUUGGGAAUUGUUAUGCUAUUAUCACCUAAAUGCUCAUGUAAAUUGAAUUCGAUCAAAUUUUUACUAGAGUAGUCGAAUUUCUAUUAGAGUUGUUCUUAGUCAUGUUUGAAUUGCCAUGUUUAUCUUAUAUUUUCUUGAUGCAAACCUGGUCAUUUUUUUAUCUAUGCAUCCAGAGCAACAAUCAUGUGAUUUCUUGACAAUGAAUUGGACUUGUUUUUUUUUUUUUUUUUUUUUUGCACUUUAGUUGUUUAUAGUAACAAAUUCACUUGAUCAAUUGAUAUGUUCUUUCUGUAUAUAUAAAAAAUAUGUGCUAAAAUUCUUAAGUGUGUAUCAAUACACACACACACACACACACACACACACACACACACACACACACACACACAUAUAUAUAUAUAUAUAUAUAUAUAAUUGUAUACACAGAUGGUUAAGAAGGAAAGUAAUGGGGCAAGUGGAUCACAACUGCCAGCUGUAUGGAAUGCUCACAAUACAUCACUAUUUUGUGACGUGUGUAUCAAGGAAGUGGAGGCAGGAAAUCGUCCUGGUACCCACUUUAAAAAAGAGGGAUGGGAAAAUGUGAGUAUUAACCUAAAUAAAGAGACUGGAGAUGAGUAUAGUAAACAACAGCUAAAAAAUAAGUGGGAUGCACUUAAAGAGCAAUGGAAAUUAUGGAAAGAACUAAAGGGAAAAGAAACUGGUCUAGGAUGGAAUCCCAAGCUCAACACCGUUGAUGCUUCGGAUGAGUGGUGGCAUAAUAAAAUUCAGGUUUGUAAGCUUCUUGUUAGUUUCUGGAUGUUGUUUGUCUAUUAUUGAGCUUGAAUGCAUUUUAAUACUUGUUUCUUUAAAUUGCAGAUCAACAAAAAAUAUAAAAGUCUGCGUAGAAAAGGAAUUAGCCCUGAUAUGGAAGAUAAGCUAGAUAGGAUGUUCAUGAAUACCACUACUGGUGAUCAUGCUUGGGCACCCUCGUCUGGUGUACUUCCAUGUGAAAAUAAUGAUGAAUCUGAUGAGGAUGAUGGCAUUCAAAUUGACAGUAGUGAUUUUGAUGAUGUUAUCCCACUCAAAAAUACUCAAGCCGAUGAGAAGUAUUUGGGGAAGAAGAAAAAAAGAACUCAACAAUUUGAUACACAAGUUAAGAAAGAGAAUAAGGAUAAAGGAGUUGUUGCAAAGAAGGGGAAAUUGGGAGGUGCUGCUAAGUUGUCAGAACAGAUUGAUCGUAUGGUUAGUGCAAUUGAGAGUAGAAAUACAACAACUUCAAACAUGGCCAAGGGCUUACAAAAUAGUAGCAUUGCUGAAGUGAUGAAGAUAGUUUCAUCUUUACCUGGUGCAGGGCCUGGGAGCCCUUUGUGGUUAUUUGCAACUCGAUUAUUUCUAAAACAAGAGAAGAGAGAAAUGUUCUUAACUAUAGAAGAUCUGGACAUCAAGUUUCAAUGGCUUAACUAUGAGCAAGCUGAAAAUUAAGUGCCAUGUGAUGCAUUUAGUUUGCAAAGUUUUAUAUUUCGUGGUAGACAGUAUAGUCUAAGAUAUCUUUAAACUUGAGUUUAUUAUUUUGAUUUGUCAUUUGGGAUGGUUACUUGGAUUUCUUUGUGUUUUACUUGGGAUUAUAAUUGGAUGGUUUUGGAUUCUUUAUUUAAGAAUAAUUUUUUUUCAUGCAUGUACUCCUAUUUGUAGGAAUAAUGAUGAGAUUUUUAUUUUUUUUUCAAAAUUGCAGAUCUCUUUCAAGAUAUGGACAUCUUGCAAGAUGAGGAAGAGUUCAACCAAACUGUAUGCCUUUGUGUUCGUACUAUAGAACAUUAUUAUCAAACAUAUAUCCACAAAACACCUUGUAUGGAUUCAUCUCAAACAGGAUAUAAGUGGUUAAUGGAAAUAUUACGGGGAAAGAGGCGUUGUCAUAGGAUGUUCAGAAUGGAUAAAGAGGUAUUUAUGAGAUUGUGUAGUGACCUGCAAAACAAGUAUGGAUUGAGGGGUUCAAGGAGAAUGUGUCCUGGUGAAAUGUUAAGAAUGUUUUUGUUUAUUCUAGGACAAGGUGAAGGGAAUAGGUCAGCACAAGAACGAUUUCAACACUCCGGCGAGACUGUGAGCAGAUACUUUAGUCAGUUACUUGAUAUUGUAUGCCUUAUGGCUGUUGAUGUUAUCAAACCACUGGAUCCUAUGUUUAAUGGUGUCUCUGCAGAGAUAUUAAGCGACUCUAGAUAUAUGCCCCACUUUAAGGUAAAAAAAAAACUAGAUAUGAUACUUCUUGCUUUGUCUUAUGAAUUAAGUUAUAUUUAUUGAAAAUUGUGUUAUAAUAUUAUUUGCAGAACUGUAUUGGUGCUAUUGAUGGUGUACAUGUUCAAGCCACAAUACCUCCCGGAGAUCAAAUACCAUAUAUUGGCAGGAAAGGGACACCAACUCAAAAUGUAAUGGCCGUAUGUAAUUUUGACAUGCAAUUCAUCUUUGCAUGUGCAGGUUGGGAAGGAACUGCACAUGAUACAAGGAUAUUUUUAUCUGUUUUACGAAACGGUGCUUUAAAUUUUCCUAAGCCUCCUAAUGGUAAUGUCUCAAACUUGUGCAUAUGUUUGAAAUUUUGCAUUUGAUUAGACACUUUUUAUAGUUUCUUUUUAUAUCAUAGUAGCAUGUUUUGAACAUUACAGGAAAAUAUUAUCUUGUGAAUGCUGGGUACCCACAGAUGAGCGGCUAUUUAGGACCCUAUAAAGGUGAAAGGUAUCAUCUUCCUGAUUUUCGUAGGGGCAGAGAACCAACAGGAUCUAGAGAGGUAUUUAACCACAUACACUCUUCUCUUAGGAGUGUCAUUGAACGCACUUUUGGUGUAUGGAAAAAGAGGUGGAGCAUUUUAAGAGACAUGCCUAGUUACUCAUUUAAGAAGCAAGUAAAGAUAAUAAUCGCAACUAUGACGCUUCACAAUUAUAUAAGAAGGUAUGCCCGACGUGAUAAUCAUUUUGACAACAUGAAGGAUGACUUGGAUGAUGACACAAACUCGGAUGAAGAACAAGAAGAAUAUCAUAUUACCGAAGGACCCGAAGCACAAGAAAUAGAGACAUUGAGGAACAACAUUGCUGCAAGUUUGAUGUGUUCGUAAUUUUUUUUAUGUAUGCUUAUUUUAUUUUAUUAUUGUUUGAAGACAUUGAAGAAAAUUUUAUUUAUUUAAUAUUUGUUGUUUUUUUUUAACUUUUGGCAAUGCAACUACAAAUGUCAAAAUAAUUUGAGGGAAAAAAGAUUAGAUAUACUUGUGAGUCAUCUUUUUAACCAAAAAGUUAAUAGAAAACUAUUUUUCUCAUUACUUUAGUCUAAACUAGAAAAUGUGCCCGCGCGAUGCUGCGGGACUUAAAUGCAUCACCUUUAACUACAUGAAUAAGAUACAUUUCACCUAAAUAAAUUCAACACAAUCAUGAAUGAAGAGAGGAAUAGAUGAGUAAAUGGGGUCGGUAAGAUAUGCAACUUCGUUUUUAUAUACAUUGAACUGAACUCACAUGAAAAGACAUUGUACAAUGAACAGGACGAAACUGAAUGUUUUGGUUCCCUAAACUGAAACCCCUUGUCUCAGACACCCAACACCUCUCACCCUCAGAUAGCCCUAAACGAAGUGCCUCGUAGCAUCGAAUUGGCCUACAACACCCCCGAGCGAGAUUGAGACUACUUUUCAUAUUUUCAUUUUAAUGUACCAGCAAGGAAACGAUAGUAUAUUCCAAAAUUAGCAGUUUACAGAGAAAUAUAAAUAUUGUUUUCAAGAAAUUAAUAUGAUUGCAAAUGUAAUAGCUCCAUGCAUAGUGAGGUAGGAUAAAUGAUGGAAGACACACUGAAAUUUGAGGUCCAUAGGUUGAGAAGAGUCCAUAGCAUUGAUCCAGAUAUGGAUAGCUUGCACAGAUCUACAAUUCAAGCUCCGAAUAAAGUAUCAAUUUAUCAGCAAUUGUGACAUUCAUUAUUCCUAAAAAAGUUAUUGAUUCACAAAUAAACAAAUGAAAGUAAUCAGAAAAGAAACGCUUACCACAUGCUAGCUGAAUCCGAACUCAAAAUGACCACGAUAUUUUCCCAGCAAUGAUCACAAAGAGAUUGAUGCUUGGGACUUCUGUCCAUCCCUGAAAACAAUGGAAUAAUAUACCCAUUAAAAAACGUCACAAAAAGAUUUACAGUAACUGUCCCAACUAUUAUAAUUAUAUGGUCUUAUUGGCAUAUUCAGACUACAAAAUAAAAGCUGGCAGUUGUUUGCACUCGUAAACAAUUUCUCUUUACAAAACUAAAUAAAUUGUAAUGACCCAAGAAAUCAAAAUUUGAUUAGGCAUUAGAAACAAUGUUACCUUUUGGAGAAAAGGAUGCUCAACCAAAUGGAAGCCCAAAUUUAAAACAGCAACUGAAUGAAAAUCUGACGUUAUAAAAUCCAUAAGAAGCGUGUAAUGCGUCUAAUUUAAAAAGUCUCUCACACAUGUAAUUGCACGUAGGACGCCAGAUUCAAAAAAAAAAAAAAAACCUUGAAACCAAAGGACUGCAAAGGAUUGCUUUGUCAUAGAAAGUAAAAGAAUAAAUUGAAUCAACUGAACAUGCUUCUUGCAAACAAAGAAAGUAAAAUACGGGGGAACAAAAUCACAAAUCAACAUAGGCAUCUCUUAAGAAUUUAAAUAACCAAGAUUUUGAUGAACUGAUUGUAAGCAUAUGUGCAUAGAUGUCACUAUUUACAUAAAACAUGUAAAGGACAAUCAGUUUUGAGUUUCAAAAUAUAAAAUAUUAAAAUUUCCAUAAAAGAUAAGUAUUGGGAAACAAAGUUGGCAUCUCACCUUCCACAAUAGGUCGACAAAUCCUUUGAUUACGCUUUAGCUUCUUGUUUAACUGAAACACAAAUUCAUUGUUCAGAAUAUCAUAAUUUCAUGAAAUGGUUCACCUUUGAUUACGCUUGCUGCUUAGUGACUUGAUAAGUCGGUCACAAAGAUAACAUGUAGAAUGCAAAUAUGGAUCAGGAAAAAACAACAGCUAUAGAAUUGAUUAUAUAGAAGAAGAAUACAUACUUAUUGUGAGGUUAUCCCAGCUAUCCACUAUGACCCAAUAUAUAUAGCAAGUAAAAACUAUGGCAGCAAAGAUCUCACGUAUAUAAAUCUUGCAUAAACUUUGUUUUUGUACAAUGUCUUCUCCCUUCAAUGACAGUUUGUUUCUUAUUCAGGAAAAUAAAAUGAGCAGGUUAAUGAUACUCACAUGUGCAAAAUGCUAAUCCUAUGGUCUAAAGUUAACUGAAUUUUUUAGUGUAAAAUACCUAAUUUCACUGCAUUUCAAUUGAUCACAGUUCGUGCCUUGUUAAACUUGAUAUACCCUUAGACAUUUUGGGAACUUGACAGCUUAAAUUUUCUUUAGUUACAGAUGUGCUCAUAAAAGCAAAUUACAGCGACCCAAUAUAUACUAAAAACUUGGAGAAGGGACUCAAUUAGUUAACGAACAGGUGCCUCGCCUUUCAUGUUAAGACCAAAGAGAGAAAACCAAGCCGAACUCUUCAAAAUUCAUUGGCACACAUGCAUCAUCAGCUCAAUUGAAUGGAUAAUGCAUACUUAGAUACAACCAUUCAAACAAUUGAUGUAGAUUGACAUAAGCCUCCAAACUUCAAAAAAAUUGAAACCUUAUAAAAGCAAAACCUUUUUUCCUUCAUAUUUGAACUGUUUCGAUUACCUUAUCUCUCUAUCACUUGAUUCAUUAUUUCUAAAGGAAGUUCUAAUCACUACCAAAACAGCUUAAUAACAGUUGAUUAUCUAAAAAAAAAAAGAGGGAAAACAUGAAAUACUAACUGCACUCAAAAUCCCAAAUGUGUAACACAUGAUUCUAAUCUAAACCCUGAUUCUAAAAUUUAGAAUUCGACACAAAAAUGAAAAUUGGAAUGAUUAACAUGGAAAUGAGAGAGGGAGAAGUGUGAGGGAAUCUACACAUGAGGGCUUCGGAUCUGAGUCCAGAGCUGGAAGCGGCAGAGGUUGCGAACUUAAGAGUAUGGAAGAGGCGGGAAGGAUCCUUGUAAAAACAAUAAAAAUUAAAUAAGAAACUCGCCGGAAACUCGGAAAACCUCGUCGAAAAAACUGGACAGCAACUUACCUCGGAUUCACCUUUAACUCGUAACAAAUCUUUUCACAUUAUUCUCUAUUGCCACUUGUACUUCACUCAGUACUAAUCGAUAUAGCUGAAAGUCUGAAUCAUGAAGAAUGAGAAGUUGAAGUAUAUCAAAUGAUAAAGUUGUCAACAAUGAAGAAUGGGACAUUGACCAUGGAGACACUGCAAGAAGCAAAAGUGAGCAAAUUAAAUAAAUACCAGCAUCAACAUUUAGAAAAAAGUAAGAGCAGCAACUAUAAAUGAAGAAUGUGCAAUCAACAUUAAAAGUGUAUAAUAGGAACACGGAUCUCAUAACUAAAAGACAUUUUCUCACCAAACAAUGGAAAAUAAUUGGAGAUGCAAUUCAAUAAAAAAAGAAGUUAGCACUUGCUUAUUGCCUUCCAAAGAAGCUAAUGAAUCCAUCUGGUUGAAGAAGUGUUUAGCAUUGCCAGUAAAAACAACAAAAAUCACAUCAAAUUUCAAAUUAAUCAACUCAAUAGCAUGCGUACCUUAACAUCUAGAUGACGAAACAUUGGUUCCUCGAACGAAUCGUAAAGAUCACAAACACAAAUCAUGAAUUAGAGUUCGAAUACGCAUCUCCCGAUUUGAAACCCUAACGUAAUUCCCCACUUGGAAGAUGCAACCUUUGGGGUUCUGGCUGCUAGGGUUGAGAUGUUAAACCUUUGACUAAGAAAAUGACAUUGGGCAGCAUAGGAUACAUACUGCUCCCCCAGAUAGACCUGCAUGAAGAUUUAUCCACCAUCACAUGCGAAAAGGAAGAUGGUCAGUAUAUGUGUUUUAGUAAUCAAUCUAUAUUUGAAGCAAUGAAAAAAAAGCAUAUGACAUGAGCUAUCAUAAAUUAAAAUUAUCAACAAUCUCUUCCCAUUACGAAACAUAGAGAAACUACAAACCAUAACAAAUACAUUGAAAUACGCAAAUAUGCAGCAAAUCCCUCAAGCAAUUAAGAAAAAAAAUGCCUCUUAAAUCAGCAACCAAAUUCAAAUUAACAAAUGUCUCCAUAAAAGAAGUAAAAUGGAUGAAAAGAUACCUGGCUUUUUCAAAACAAUUCAAAUUCCACAACAUUUCAUUCAAAACAGUUCAAAAUUCAUAACCCCUCAAGCAAUUGGGGCUGUAAGUUACGUAAUCGGAUGGCUACAACCAAACGAAGAGCUUCAAUCAAUUAAAGUCAACAAAAUAUCAAUAAUUAAUCUAAAAAAAAAAAUUAAAUAAAUGAACACCAGGGGACUGAGGAAUGCUACUAAACAUCAGUAAGAACAGAAACGAAUAAUUUAAAUGCUUGAGCUUCAAUGAAAGCAUUUUACCCUUGCAAUUUUCCAAGAUAGCGGAGAGGCAAGAUGCACAUGUAUUAGUGAGAGGAUUUUCAAAGAUAUUGAGCACUUCCAAUCGAGCAGAUAGCAAAGGGCAUUCGCAAAUCUGAAGAUUGAAAUUAUUGAUCGAGACAGCCAAAUGAAUAGAGAUAUAAUCAUACAAUCCCCAAAAUCCAAAUCCAAAUCUGAAACGCCUGAUCCGUUUCUGGAAAAUGGCAGAGAAAAAUAGAAGAACUACGUUUUUAGAUGACCGGAUUGAAUUUGAGGCAGAGAGAGGGGGAGAGAAAGAGGGAGGAAGAGAAGCAGAAAAGCGAUAGAACAAAAUGGAAGACGCUUGAAGGGUCUUCCUUACCAACGACGUGAAAUCCAAUUGCCAUUUCAAGCUCCCUCAAUCACGACCUGUAGGAAAAUAUCAAACCCAAACAUAAGUUCACUGAAAUUCGAAUUCAAUAUAAUCAAACACAAACAAAAUAGCAAAAUUAAAAUAAAUAAAAAACUAAACUAAACUAUAAAUUAAAACUUUCAAUUGAAUAACCCCACAAUUUAAAUUACUAAACAGUAACAGAUUUCUCUGAGUAAUCAACUUCUCGAUUAUGGUCAUCGAACACGACAUUCUCCAAAACUGCCAAACACAUGCAACCAUAUUUGAUAAGAAUUUGAAAUAUCACUCCAAUCAUGACACAGAACAUAAACAUUUUGCGCACUGUCAUUUUUAAAGUAGAACGUUCAAUUAAAUCAUGAUGUUAAGUACCAGUCCCAAAUUUGAUAGCAUUCCAAAUAUCUGGUUCCUUGUCCAUUGACAAAUCAAUGCACUUGGCAUAGCAACCACCUUCAAUGUUUGACACACCAUUGUUGCCCCAGCAGUGCUCAUCAUCUCCAAUUAGAUACCGAUUAUGAUCCGUAGACAGAGUCGUCUUCCCAGUGCCUGCAACAAACAUCCCAGGAUCAGUUACACGAACACAAAAGAAACUGAAACACAAAAGAUUGAUGUAUCCAUCACCAAUUGAUCAUUGUACACAUAAAAUUAUCAUGAUUCAUACCUCUGCGUCGAUAUGGAAUUUUAUAAACUGGACAAAUGGAACCCAAUUUCAUCGACUUCACGGUGCAAGUGCUGUAAAAAAAUAAGCAAACACUGGCAAUAUGAUCAAGCACAUUCCAAGUAUUAAUACAUCCAAAUAAAACCUAACAUUCAUAUGCAAAUAACAAUGAAGGUAGAGAUUACUUGUAAGAGAUGAUUGCAAUUGAGUGAAUCCGCAGAACUCAGUAGACUCAAACUGCAAAACAGAUGGGGAAAAAUCAAACCCAUUAACAGAGUGAAGAAAUUUUUUAAAUCUUUAAACGAAUUCUGGACAGAAUCAUGUAAAGGGUCUGUUUUGGCUACCGAGAAACUUAGUAUACAUUUAAAUAUUAUUACAUGUUAAUACAAAAAUUUAGCUUUAUUCAGAUGGGAGAGAUCAAAGGUUGCAUCAUUCAGCUUCACACAUGGCUACAACACAAUUUCAAAAACUCUUGUCAUCUCAAAGUCACAUUCUUUAUCAAACUCCCACUCCAUAAUCGAACAGAGGUUGAUAACGGACAAAAAGAAACACAAAGUACGAAAUAUAAUCAAUAUCAUCAGUCAAAACUUACUGCAAAGGGUGAGGGGUCAACCAUGUGAUUUUUUGCCCCUUAACCUCGGCCUGCAUGGACAAACAACGGAAGAAUUCAUACCCAAAUAACACAAUAACAUAAAAUGGCAGGAAUGUAAAUAAUACAAAAUCGAGGGUCCAACACACGUUGAUAUGUCAUCGUGGUUUCCAAUUGAACCAUGAAUUCCAGAAUGUAAAUCAUACCUUGAGUAUAAGAAAACCAGAAAAGGAAAAUUAAAUCCCUCACAAAUGGUGGAAGAAAAUAUGAGAAACCUAUAUUAGUCCCAACGGUGUGAGUUUUCAUCAAAGAAGUAGACAAUCCACACGCUAAAUCACCAAUCAAACAUGAAGAUGAUCACAAAGAAGAAAUCCCUAAAACCAAUAUUUUAUUAGAGUUGAAAAUCGAAAUUAAGCCAAAACGGAACCGACACUACCCAAAUUAAGCUAAAAAUUCACUAACCCAACAUAAAGGCAAAGAAAAAUCACCUCUAGAUGACUGCCAUUGAUUCAAUGCAAAGAGAGCUCAAGCUGCUUAAUAUUGUUCUGAAAUUAGAGAGAGGGUGUGAGAGAUCAUGAGAGGACGGAGGGGCGAAUGGCGGAGUGAGAUUCAGCGCGUCUCUUCUCUGCAUAUAAAAGAUGCCGCACAAUUAUGCAACUUACUCCAUAGACUUAUAAACAUCACAAUUAUAAAUUCUGAAACUGAUAUAAAUUGAAUAGAAAUACACAAAGCAUAAACAAAUUCAGCAUAUGAACACCAAAACUUACCAAACUCAUGUGCUUGCUUGAAGCUGUUUUUGAUCAUUUUUCUACAAUCUACUGCAUAAAAAGGACCAAACUAUAACGGCAAACUAUAUAUAUAAUUUGCUAUAAUACCCAAAAAAAUUAAAUUACAUUAACAUUUGAGUGGAAGCCACGACCAAAGUGGUAAAAUUGAAGAAAACAUCAAAAUCCCAGAAAAAAAAACAAAUUCUUUCAGAAAAAAUCAAAGAAAUUUACUCAGGUAAUCAAUCAAUUAUGUACCUAAUUCCCCUGAUGUCUUGAAUAAAUAUAACACUCCAAGAUAAAUUAACUACCCAAUAUUAAUUUUUCCUGUUUCUUUCUUCUUAUUCUCGGGAAAGAAACAAACCCAAAACAAAUAAUUGAAGAAAACAUACAGAAAAUAUUGGGGAGGAGUAACAUACAAUCUGCUGAGUUCUUAUUCGCUUUGUAGAUAAGAGAUGGUGGCUUCUCAUCGAGUUCAUGUAUGUAUUGCCUGGAGUGAGAUGGUGAGCGGGCGUGAGAGAAUAGGGCAGUGAGAGAGAGUCGGGAGAGAAAAAGAGGGAAAGAAAUGGCGAUGGAAACGGACGGAAACGUAGUCGAAGCAGAGCAAUCCACGAUGAUUAACGCGUGGGCGCUCUUAAACUGUGCAAAAGCAGUGGUAAUUUUGUAAAUAAAUCGAAAUUUUCAAUUUGCGGUGAAGAGAUGAUGGUAAUUUUGUAAAUAACUCAAAAUCCACUCCAAGUUACUAUUCAUUUGAAUAGUGCAAUUGAAAAGCUUUCUUUAGACAAAAGCUAGAAAAAAUGCCCGCGCUUCGCUGCGGGUUUUGAAACUAUUAGCCAUAAUAGACGUGAAUAAUUGGCACGAAAAGAUGCAUUACAAAGGCGACACAAAUGGAGUCAUGUCCUAAAAUGAACCAGUGCAGAUGAAUAAUUUGCAAAAUCACAUUCAGUUUCAUUUCUAUAGGUCAAAAAACAAAGAAAACAUGUAUAUUAACUUGUCAUAUUUUAUAAAACUAAAAGCAUGGACAAUUCAGUGCACCUUGGUUGCACAUUUGUCAUAUCCAGCAGCUCACAUCGGCCACCCCCCACUGGAAUCCAAGGCUGAGGGAAGCCAUCUGCGGGAGUUGUCAUCUGAAGCACCACUCUUAUCUUUGCCUUUGUCUGAUUUGAUAUGUUGCUUACUAUUGCAUGGAUGCCAAGUAGCUUCAACAGCCUUCGAUGUACACAUAUCUGAAAUGCGGUCUUGUCCUACUGUUAGAAGCAAAGAUAGGAGCCCUAAUAGCAUAUUCUCAAGAGCUUCAUAGAGAGCUCUUUUGUUUCUCUUUGUCAACCACUGCAAGGAUUGCAAUUCAAAUUUAAUCAAAAUAAUUCAUUUCACAUUCAUAAUAAACCCGAAAGUGACUUGAUAAGAUGAAAUUAACCCAAUUACGUGUGAAAGGAAACCUUUCCAAUUAAAUGAAUGAAAUAUUUGAUGUGGAUCAAAACCAAAACCAAAUGAAAACAAAUAUCGACAACUGCCCAAGUUGGUGUUUGCCCCAAAGGUCUUCCUCCUCCUCCUCCUGCCAUCCUUUAAUUGAAACCCUAAUUUUCCUUACUACUAAAUAAUGCUAUUUUCGAUCUAUUUCUUUCGGUGUGUAAACUUUACUAAUUCUCGAUAAUUUUCAAUCACUUCCACUGUAAUUAAAAUAAGUACUGAGUAUAUACACACUCAUAAAAACACAAAUUCAGUUUUCCAUUCUAAAAAAUGAACGAAAGCACAUACUCCAAGUCAAUGUUCCUACUAUAUUCAUUAAUCCAACGAUGCAUCAAAUAUAAAAAUUAAAUUAUACCUCUAAUUUAUAACCUUUUGAUCUUGCUUCAUCUGCAGCUAAACCAAAAUUUGGACAAUCCCCAAUAUAAUUCCGUCAAAAUCCACAUAGCAACACCAUGUAAGAAUCAUAUUGGGUGUCUACACCCACACUUAUCAAUGUACACAUAAAUUUGAAAUCUGAAUCACUUGGGCUUCAAAGAAGGCCAAAAGUCUUUGUAUUCAAGCAUUUAAUACUCUACAGAAAUUAACUAAACACAGCCACAUUGAAUACCAAACCCACUUACUUACCAUCUUAUCCAACUCUUAUUUCGUAAAUUUUUCUGGUAAAGAAGCGUAGUUUAUCCUGAGCUCUGCAAUAGAAUAAUUCAAUUCUUCUUCAUUGCUUUUCAAUAGGAUCCCUACAAUCAAACAAACAUAAUUACUCUAGUAAAUAACUUCAAUUUAAAAUGCAAAGAUAUAACAGAAAGGAAAGUGAUUAAUUAAAAAAUAAAACUGUUAAAACAACAGACUGAUACACUUAACAUGCCAAUUUAUAUACUAUAUAACAAUACUAAAUCAAUUAAUUUAUAAAGAUUAGAAAUGGAUUACAAAAAGCAGAAAUCUUAUUUGGCAUGUAUGAAAAUGAUACACACAUUCUUAGCCAAUCAGCAUGAAAAAGGUAUAGAAAACUAAUUUACUUUGUUAACUUUGGACAACUGGAGAGAUGAAAGAACUCUUAGUUUUUACUAUAAGUAUGACAACCAUGUGAUUUCAUUGUUAAUUGGGACUGAUGUGUGUCAUUAGGAUUGCCAAAAUUAGUGAUCUUAGAGUUUGGCAGCCAAUGACCGAAUUGGACUCAAGUUUAUCAACAUUUGAUUCAACUAAACUAAAUUGGAUACGCUCAUUAGCAUAGAAAUAUGUAUACCAUAUGACAAUAUUGAAUCAAGUUAUUUGCAAAGAUUUAAAAUGCAAUGUAAAAAGGAAAAAAUUUAUUUUAUAUGUAAUAAAAUGAUUAACAAAUUUUUUAUUGAGCAGUAUAAAAAAGGUAUUAAAAACUAACCUAAUUUAUUAAGUUUGGAAAAAUUGGACAGAUAAAAGAAAGCUUUUAAUCCUUACUAUAACUAAAAUAACUAUGUUAUUUCAUUAUCAAAUAGGAUUCAUACGUGUAAUCAGGGUUAAGAAAAUCACUGAUUAAAGAAUCUGCCAGAAAUCAUCAAAUUGGACUUGAACUUACCAAUUUCUGAUUCAAAUAAACUAAGAAAAGGAGUUGGAAUCAAACUAACCUCUGUUUUCUAUAUGCAGCAAACUGCAUCUUGUUUUUGCCCUUGUUAACAACAUAUCUUCGCUCUGUACACACCAAAAAACAGUAAACACCUCAUUCAUUACUAACAGCCAUUUCAAUCAAUUAAUUAUUUAGACAAAUUUUUCAACGAUUCCGAAGCUCAGACAAAAAUUGCAUGAGAAAAUUGAGAUUAUAUGCAAUUGGAUGUCAAAGAACCUGAAAAUACCAUAUAUCCAAUAUUUAGUGCAUACACCUAAAAACUAAUCUUUAUAUAUACUUUAAAAUAAUACAGAUCAAUGUAAUCUAAAACAUUGGAAAUGCAUAUCAGUGCAAGCCAAGGUCUCAAGUUCUCAGAGUGGGGAAUUACUGAUUAGAACAGUUAAUUCUCUGCUCCUUUUUGGGUAUGAACUAAUUAGCAUAGUAGCCAUAAAAAUACGAAACAAAAGCUCAAUAAUUUAUGCAAUUUGGUUAAAUUUUAUACAAUUUCUAGCAAAACCCAAAACUCAAUAAUACAAAAGGAACCCAAUAGAUGAUUAAAGCAAUUUUAUACACAACUUAUGCAAGUCCAAAGAAACGCAUUUGAUCAAACUUACUGAAUACUGAAAAAAAAAAUUACAAUCAAAGUACGGAUUAAUAACUACCUCAACAACUAACAGAGCCAAAGCCAAACCCUAGAGCUUCGAAGGGCAGAGACGAUCACAGAGACAAGAAUAGUCCUUAUUCCUUCCCACUGCUGCUGCUGCCACUUUCUCUCUCUAAAAACCAAUUGGAAAUUGUUUAUAAAGAGACAGAGAGGAGAGGGCUAUGAUGAUUGGAUGAAAGAAGCAUGAAAAACUAAAAGACAUGUAAGCUUGAAUUCGAGUCCCAAAUUGAAAAUAUAAGGGAGGAGUGUAAGGGUGGCUUACCGAGGUCAGGAGAGGUGAGUCUCAUAGGAAAAGUCGACGAACAGUGGCAGGAGCCAGUGCACAGUGAAAGGCCUCGCCUGUGUCUCCUGAACAGAACAGAGUGAGUGAUAGUGGUUCUGUGAGAUGGAGCGAGUGGUGGUGGUGCUGUAGUCAUGUUUUGCCGGAAAAUGGAGGCUUUGGUGCGCCUCGGUGUUUACAGAGAAAAGAAAGGGGAGUCCAGGGAGCUAGUGGUUGUUUGAUGGAGUUGAGGCUCGCCGGAGUGGCGAGUUGUGAUGUGGACUCAGGCCUCUCGGCCUCUGGGUUUUACGGAGAAGGGGAAGAUGGUUUAGGGUUGAGAGAGAUGGAGGGACGGCUAGGUUUUAGAAAAGAUGAAGAAGAAUGGGGGUGAGCAGCGCUGGGGCUACAUGUUGAGGGAAAUGAAGAGAGAGCAAGAAGAAGUCGAAGGCAGUGAACCCUACGGACAAAUUUACCCUUCUAAGUUAUAAUAAUUACCCUUCCAACCCAGCCCAAAUCUGAUGGGUUCCUUGUAAAUAAGGUGAAAUCAAGUGGCAAACAAUUGACUGUAGCCAUGAACAGUAAGGAACAGUGCCAAUUGAAAAGCCUUCUUUAGACUAAAGUAAUAAGGCUUUUCAAUUGCACUAUUCAAAUGAAUAGUAACUUGGAGUGGAUUUUAAGUUAUUUACAAAAUUACCAUCAUCUCUUCAUCGCAAAUUGAAAAUUUCGAUUUUUUCACAAAUUACCACCGCUUUUGCACAGUUUAACAGCGCCCACGCGUCAGUCAUCGUGGAAUGCUCUGCUUCGACUACAUUUCCGUCCGUUUCCAUCCCCAUUUCUUUCCCUCUUUUUCUCUCCCGACUCUCUCUCACUGCCCUAUUCUCUCACUCCCGCUCACCAUCUCACUCCAAGCAAUAGAUACAUGAACUCGAUGAGAAGCCACCAUCUCUUAUCUACAAAGCGAAGAAGAACUCAGCAGAUUGUAUGUUACUCCUCCCCAAUUUUUUCUGUAUGUUUUCUUCAAUUAUUUGUUUUUGGGUUUGUUUCUUUCCCGAGAAUAAGAAGAAAGAAACAGGAAAAAUUAAUAUUGGGUAGUUAAUUUAUGUUGGACUGUUAUAUUUAUUCAAGACAUCAGGGGAAUUAGGUACAUAAUUGAUUGAUUACCUGAGUGAAUUUCUUUUAUUUUGUCUGAAAGAUUUUUUUUUUUCUGGGAUUUUGAUGUUUUCUUGAAUUUUACCACUUUGGUCGUGGCUUCCACUCAAAUGUUAAUUUAAUUUACUUUGUUUGGGUAUUAUAGCAAAUUAUAUAUAUAGUUUGCCGUUAUAGUUUGGUCCUUUUUAUGCAGUAGAUUGUAGAAAAAUGAUCAAAAAUAGCUUCAAGCAAGCACAUGAGUUUGGUAAGUUUUGGUGUUCAUACGCUGAAUUUGUUUAUGCUUUGUGUAUUGUCUAUUCAAUUUAUAUCAGUUUCAGAAUUUAUAAUUGUGAUGUUUAUAAGUCCACGGAGUAAGUUGCAUAGUUGUGCGGCAUCUUUUAUAUGCAGAGAAGAGACGUGCUGAAUCUCACUCCGCCAUUCGCCCCUCUGACCUCUCAUGAUCUCUCACACCCUCUCUCUAAUUUCAGAACAAUAUUAAGCAGCUUGAGCUCUCUUUGCAUUGAAUCAAUGGCAGUCAUCUAAGGAUGAUUUUUCUUUGCCUUUUUGUUGGAUUAGUGAAUUUUUAGCUUAAUUUGGGUAGUGUAGGUUCCGUUUUGGCUUAAUUUCGAUUUUCAACUCUAAUAAAAUAUUGGUUUUAGGGAUUUCUUCUUUGUGAUCAUCUUCAUGUUUGAUUGGUGAUUUAGCGUGUGGAUUGUCUACUUCUUUGAUGAAAACUCUCACCGUUGGGACUAAUAUAGGUUUCUCAUAUUUUUUUGCACCAUUUGUGAGGGAUUUAAUUUUCCUUUGUGGGUUUUCUUAUACUCAAGGUAUGAUUUACAUUCUGGAAUUCAUGGUUCAAUUGGAAACCACGAUGACAUAUCAACGUGUGUAGGACCCUUGAUUUUGUAUUAUUUACAUUCCUGCCAUUACCAAAAAGCAUGGGCUGCAGAGAGAGAGGGAGAUAGGCGGGGGAUGGCAGGGAGGGGAAGGGAGAGGGAGGAGUGAGGUUGCUAUAAAAAGGGGUUAUGGUUGAUUUUUUUUUCUCCUCAAAUCAAGGGUUGGUGUCGGGAUUAAGGGAUGUGUCAAAAUUGCCAAUAGAAGCCUAAAUUAAUGGGUAGUUGUCGGUGAUUGAGAGAUUGAGAGGGAGAAAAUUGGGGGAGGUUGUCACUGACCCGAUGGAGUGAGGGAUUUUGUGAGGAUUAACUAACUUAUUGACUAGGAACACAAGACAAGACAUGCUUCCGGUAAACCGCCUCCGUCGCUUUCCUCCUCUCGCCUCCGUCUACCUCCUCUCCCUUUCUUCGUCUCCCCCUCCUCCUCUCUCUCUCUCUCUAUGGAAUCGAUCGAUCUUCGAAGAGGAUAAAAAGAUCUGAAAUGGUGUGCUUCUUCUACUGUGAUUCUGUGUUUUUAAUUUUUCUGGGUUUGGCUUCUUCUUUUAUUCCACUACUAAUUUACAAAAAUAAUGAAUUUUGUACAUUUUGUUUUUAUUUUACUUUUUGUUAUAUUUCAUUGUAAUAUCAAAUAGAGUUGGUAUUUUAAAAUCUCACUGCAAUGUUUUUUGUUAUAUUGUUGGUGGGUAUCUUUAAUUAUGCCCUGAUGGAGAAAGGCAAAGAGGACAGACCUGGAUUUGGGGCAUAAAAGGGAUCUUUAGAUUUCUGUGAAAGUACUUUGUGCCUUUUUGCUAUUGGUGAUGAGUGUUCAUGAAUAUUUAUGCUUUAAUAUAGCUGUUACAGGAGCAAGUUGUUUAGUUAAAAUCCUAAGAAGAUUAGGGUAAAACAUUCCGGCUCUCUCAUUAUUGAUAGUCUGAAUUUCUGCAAUCUCUGAGAUAUAUUUGGGAUAGUUUUAUAGUGAUAUACAUCAAGGUUCAAGAAAAACUUUGCUGCACUGCACUAUAGGAGUAUCUGGUUGAUGAAAUUUUUCUGAUUUAAGCAUUUAGCUCCUCGAUUGCAUUAAAUCAGUAUUUAAAGAAGUUUUUGUCUGAGAAUGCAUUGAUAGAAUUUUUUUUGCCCAAAAAUUAACUCACAGAGCUUCCUGUGAGUUAGUCUUAGCUUUUGAUUUAAUUUUUUUAGAAUUAUUAUCAUUUUUUUUAUCUCUGCUGCUGUUUUGGAUUUUUUUUAAUGAUUUUUAUGCGAUGUUCAUCUGUGUAGGCACUCAAAUUAGUGUUUUGGAGUGCAUAUGGACCAGACACCACAAAAGAGAAAACGGAAACCAAAAUCAGAGCCAUCAAAACAAACAAAUGCUGGUAUGUCCUAAAAAAGGUUGGUUUGUGCACUUUCAAAGAAUACAUGGAAGAAGAUAAUAUUGAUCAUGGUGUAGAAUGUGAUGGUAAUGUGGUUGAAAAAGAUAAAAUGUUGCACGAAAAGAUCUCAGAGCUCAUUGACGAAAAUAUGCAGCACCAGGCUGAGUUGAUAAGGAGAAACAAGGAGAAUAGUGAAACAAUUGAGUGGCUUUUAUCCCAGGUGCAUAAGCUAACGGAUGAGAACAAAAUUUUGAAGAUUAAUCUGGGAAUCCAUAAGGAUACUACUGAUCAUACAAUUGCAAUCCAUAAGGAUGCUACUGAUUAUACAAUUACAAGGCAAAACAAGCCUCAGUUUUCAAAGUCUAAGUCCAUAGGGCCAUCUUUCCCUGGAAGGCUCACUGGAUGCCUAGAACUUGGAUCUUAAUUAGCUACUUUUCAACUUUAGUAGGUAGCGUUAUAAGUUUUCAAAUGUAUCUGUUUAUAUGCUUUCAUAAUACAUGUGAAGAUUCCGAGUCAAUUAUAACAUAUUUUAAUUUUUAAUUUUAUGAGUAUAGAAAAGGAAUUGAAUGCUUCGUUAUUUUGAUCUUGCAGCUGAAGCCAAGUCUGGAUAGAGAGAAAGAUCUCAUGGUAGGAAUCAUGGACUUGAUGAAGGUGAGGUUAACAAAGUGUGCUUUAGCACCAAGAUUGGAAUCUGGGUGUUCUGAGUUUUGUUUUGUUGUGAUUUUUCUAUAAUCUAGAUGCUGAAAUACUUGGAGUUGGAAUUAAUAAGAAUUGAUUGAACAUGGAUUUUUUAUUAGAUUGGUAUGGCUGACAUAGUUAAGAAGUAGUUUAAGAUGCAGUGAUUAGGGCAUUUCUUUAACUGAACAUAUUUGUUUUCAUGAGGUAGAUAGAAUCCUCUGUAAUUUAAUUAAUUAGAUUGAAAUUUGGGGUCUGGAUUCUUAAACUACUAUGGUGGUUAAUGUAGCUUUUUUGGUGAAUUUUUCAAGUGGGGAAAAAGAGGUGGGUGUGGGAUUUAUAUUGUUAUUCUCAGUUGGUAUAUAAAUAUUUGAGUGUGCAAGAAAUGGUUACCAUACAAAAAAUACAAGAACUGAAAUUAGAAGGGAUAAUGGCAGUUUGCAGAGGGUUGGUUCAGGGAUGGUAAAAGUUGUGUACGUGGCGAGAUUAAUGGAGGUGGUUUCGUGGUGGCGUAGUUCUCCGUGAAAAAUGGCGACGGUGGUCGCCUUGCUAUUUCUGUGCAGCGAGCACAGUAUCAAGAGAGAGAGAGAGAGAGAGGUGAGGGAAAUAGGGAGAGUAGUAGAGAGGGAGUGAGACAUGAGGGUGGUGGCAAGCUGGUGCCUUGAGGGAGUGGCGAGUGAGGUGGUGAUAGUUUCUCGAACGGGAGAUUUAUGGUGUACUAGAGAACUUGACUCCUCUCUCAGUCUGGUCUCCGGAAGAGAAAACCAAACAUAGCUAUGCAUUAGCAAAGUUUGAAAUGAGGGUUUUUAAUCUUUGGCAUGCUAUUGUCUUUAUUUGAUCAUUCUUUGAAAAAAAUUAUGAUGGACAAGUGAAAUAAACUGAAUGAAAACUUGGAGAAGAAGUUCUGAUUUUUAAUAUCUUUAAUCCGGGAUUAUUGUGAUGCCCUUUGACAAUUGAAAUGUGAAUGCAUUAUGUUGCUUAGAACACAAGUCAAUAUUUUUUAAACUGUGUUAGGUAUGAUGGAUGCUAUAGAUAGAAAAAUGUUGGCUUAAGGUUGGAUUCCAGGUAAAUAUGUGCUAUCCUGGAUGAUGGAAUUGCAUAGCAUCCUAAGUUUCUUUCUAUAUUUUCCUGAACAGAUUUACUGAAAAUGUUUUUCAAGGAUAUUCAACAAUAACUUUAAUCUUCAGACUUUCUCAUUGUUGCAGUCUCUAAUGCUUUAGUUAAUCCUAUUAGCCUAUUGUUAGAUCAAUUAAAAGAGUGUUUUAGCCUUCUGUUAGUGUUUCAUCUUAUAUACUUUCUCUCAUUGUUAGAUCAGUUGUGAUUCUGUGUGGUUCAUGUUUCCGGGUGUAAAAUUGUUCAUACAAUCUCACUUUUGCAUCUAAUUAGUGAGCCAAAAAGAAAAUUUUUAACAUUUUAAAUCCUAAUUAUCUCUAUUUCAGCCAAUGCAUAUUUUUUCCACCUAAAAGUCUUUGAUGCAUGUCUUCUUUUUUUUUUUUUUAGUAUUGAAACAUACAUUGUUCGAAAUUUGUUGAGCACUUGAAACUUUACAAGUUAAGAUUUGGAAUUUUAUGAUAUAUGAUAACUGCUUUGUAUGUUUGUUGUUGAUUAAGCACGUGGGAUACAACUCGGUCUUAGACACUUAAUAAAGGUUUAUCGUUUGAAAUUAAUGGGGCACAUGUUAUUCUCAUGAUAUUGGCUGCAAAUGCUGCAGAGUGAUUACAGAAACCAACGCAGAAAAAGCUUUAUAGGUAACUUUUACAUUUAUAGCAUUUCAGAAUUCGCAUAAAUACCAGAAAACAUCUUGAAAGACUACCAUUUCAAGUGGAUCUUUUCUUUCAUGUGGAAACCAAGCUUCCUUUUUCUUAACUCAUUCUAUUAAAACUUCAAAUUAUGUUCAAUUUGUUGAUUGGCUGUUAGCACUUAAGUUGAUCUAUUUAUUUCCAAUGUACCCUUUUUUAUGCAUGAGUGCUUUUCUGUUGCAUGUUUAGAAGAUGAAUGCAUCAAUUCUUAGGUAACCUUCUUUUUGUUCUGUGACGUAGGACAGAGUAGGACAGCGGAAAUUAGAUUGUUUAGCGGAAGUGAAACGACAUAAAACUUAAAUUGAAACAUCAUAUGCUUCUGUUUUAUAGGACUGGGGGGGGGGGGGAUAAAAACAGUAUAUUUUGUUGUUGCAUGUUUCAUUUAAUUCAAACUUUCAAAUAUACACUCUCUCUCUUCAUUAUGCACAGUAUGUUGAUGUGAACUGAAUCUAAAUAAUUUGUCUUUCUGUCGAAAAUAUUCAUAGUAUGUCCUGCAUUACAGUUUCAAAACCCACAGCAGCACGUGGGCAAUUUUAUUUUCCCUCUCCCUAUAUGUAGUUUAAUAUAAUUCAACGAGUUCAAAGAGAAUGAUCAGAAUGAAGGUUUGUAUUAGAUCCGAUGUGCUUCCUCUUUCUAUGCAUUUUGGUUCAAAUUAGGGUUUUAGGUUGAAACCCGAAACGAAAAGAGAAUAAAGUUUUCAGGAUGUUCGGAUUUUGUGUUUCGAUGAGAGGAAAAAAUGAGAAAUUUGUUAAGAAAAGUUGUGGUCGGAUUUUACAUGUUUACCGUUUUCAAGGUACGGUGUUCAUCGAUCUUAACUUUAAAUUUGUUUCUCAAUUUUUUUGUAGUUUUGGAUUUGUAAAAACCCUCGAUUGAAUCGGGUGCUGGUAUGGUCCCUUACAGGAAAAAAAAGUUUCAUUUUUUUCCCCUUAAAAUUUUAGUUUUUGUUAUUUUCUUUUUUCUUCACAAAGGAACUUAGGUGGUAGCUGUAUUACUAAUUAGCUACAGAAUUUAUAUAUUCUUAUGAGUACGGUAUGGGUGCAGGUUUGCUAUGUUGCUUUUUGGGAUGAAAUUACUUUAAAUACAAAGGAAAAUUUGAUCGAUAUUAUUGGGUUGUACGCAGAAAUCUAAGUUUUACCUAUUUUGAUAAUGCUUGGUUUUUGUGUAUUGAGUUGGAUAGACAGUUCAUAGGUUUGGUUCCAUAUUUAUUCGGAGAAGAAAAACACAAAGAGGGCAACACAAUAACCCUAGGAUGAUUAUAUAUGGAAUGAAUUAAAUCUAUUAACGAAUUAUAUUUUGGGUGGUGUUAGGGAGAAACGCCUACACUCCAAAUAUUUAUGAAUUGGAUUCAUUAUAAAAUAGGUAAAUUGUAUGCAUUACUUCUUUUGGCACUAAAUCUUUUGUUAAAUUUUAUUUUGCUGACUUUUAGUUUUUGACUUUCCUUUGGCAGGACUUUUAAUUAAGCAUGCAUCUUUGGUGUAAUAUUAUCAUAUUCUUGAGGUUUGAAUUUUUUACUCUUACUUUUGUGACCAUUAUAUGUUUGCGUAUCUCUCUUUUGGGUUAUCCAUCAAUUAAAAAUUAUUAUGUGAGGAUUUUGAUUGUUGACUUAUCAUUGGUAUAUUUCAAGUGGUUUUUGAUAUUUUGAUAGGUGUUGGAAAAAAAAGAUGAAAUUGUUUUGCGCUCAACGCAUAGUUAAUCUUAAAAUAGGGUUUAUUAAAUUGGUUUGAUGAUAUAUAGGUGGUAACAAAUUAAUGAUGUCAACUCCUACAAGGAAGAGGCUGAUGAGAGAGACUUCGAGAGGCUGCAACAAGACCAGCCUGCGAGGAUUAGUGGGGCGCCUCAGGAUAACAAUAUAAUGUUGUCGGCGAGGUUAGUUAUUUUUUAGGCUUUGCUUCUACAAACGUGAACUCUUUACAUGGAAACCGAAUUUUAUGUGAAUUUUAAUAGUUAUAUAUCAAACUCCUCUGCACUGAACUCUGUGUAUUACAACAAUUAUAAUUAGAACUUGGAUGAAAUGGGCUCCAUCCAGCAAAACUCCUGCCCUAACAAUAAUAAUUAGAACCAAAUUUGAUAAUUUCUCAUAGUUUAGGCCAUUUGGCCAAGUCAGAAUGAGAAACAUAGAUGUUUUCUUUAUCUUAUGCUAUUUGUUUGGCUGUAAAUCGUAUGGAGUAAAUCUCAUGGUGUCAUUCUAAAUAAACUGGAAAUAUGUCUCAUGCAAAAUUAAUGUUGAUGUUUAUCAAUGGAAAUAAGUUUUGAAGUGAUUACCUUUCUUUAUACAAGUUCUCUUCACAAUGAAACCUAUAUUAUAGUGUCACUUUUACUUGCUUUCGCACAAAAGGGGUGUCUGGACAUGUAAUUGGCGUGUCAUUACUCACUAAAUCUUUUUUAUCCUUAUCUUCUAUAUUAAUAUCACCAUUUUUUUGGGUGCUCAUUGAGUGGUUUGGCAGGUAAUAGAUAAAGGUUUUAAUGCAUUCAUUUAAUGUUAUUACAGAUCUGCUAAAUUCUUCAAGAAGUCCGGUUUACAGAACUGAAGCUGUUUAAGCACAAGGUGUCCCAGUUUAUAGAUGAGGUAUUAUAAAAUUUAAAAAGCGUCAAUAUUAUCAUUACUGAUCCUUAACAUUUAACUAUCAAAGCUUGAGUUUAUAAUAAUUAAUUCUUCACUGAUGAUAUGUUGUGAUGGGGUUUAGUAAUUUUCAGUAUUCUUCAAUUCUUUUAAUCUGCAAAAUCAAAUAGCCCAUGGAAUUUAUGGCAUACAAUUAGUUUCCUUUCAGUUGGGUUGAAAUGAUAUUGAUUGUGUUGUUAUGAAGCUCCUUUUUAUAGUUAGGUUGAAAAUCAUAUUGAUAGAUUCUUUAUUUGGUUGGUCCUAUCUGUAACAAAUGGGAUUGUUUUGUUUGAUGUUUGAAUCAAAAUUUGAUCUUUUUUUGUGUGAAAUUAUGAUGGAAUCGCAAAUUUGUGAGGUAUAUCUUAGAUUAUUGGUUGCAUAGUCACCUUCCCACAACUAUCACAUUGUCUCUUGACUAGAUGAAUUUUUAUAAUUUCUAGGAUCUACGGUUGCAAUGCUUUUGAUGCAUGCAAUCAGGAGGAUGCUACUACUCUUAUGGAGCUUCUUUGGCAUGGUAAGUUGAAGUUGCAUAGCAUUUUUUUUUCGUUCACGAAAUUCGUUAUCUUGCUAUCCUGGCAAUUAGCAGUGUCUGACAACUGGUGAAGUAUAUGAAUAUAUGUGGAAGUUUGAAUUAUACAAAUGAAAGUGAACUUUUAACAACUCUAACUUAGAAUUUUUAUUAAUUUCUUUCAUUUGUGUUCGACUAUUUUACUUUUUUGGUAUAUAAGUACAACUAUAGAUCGAAAACCACAUAAAUUACCUAACAGCCAAGGAAUUGUUUGUGGUAGAACAUAACAUGAUGUAAAGCUCAAAUUUUGGGCACUUAAAUAUAUGUUUUUUUUUUUUCAAUUACAAUCAGUCAGCAUGAAAGUUCAAUUGGAUUUGUUCUGGUCUCCAAAAAUUUUUCUUUGUUUGGUUACCGAUUAAUUUAUGUGGUGAGAGUUUAGUUUUUGCUUUUCUGCCUAUGUAUAUAUGAUUUGAAAUGGACAAUUCAAUUUUCUAUAUAUAAAUUUGUAGUCGAAGAGUUCGAAGGAGAGGUGAAUUAGAAACAAUGGGGGGAAGAGUGAUGGAGUUGAGGAGUUGAGAGUUAAUGAGGUAUACUUGAAUUUCUGUAUGAUGUCCUUGGUAUUGGGAGAUCAUUGAGACUAACUAUCUGGUUGAUUAAUCACGAUGUCCUUGGUAUUGGGAGAUCAUUGAGACUAACUAUCUGGUUGAUUAAUCACUAAUUUGAACUAUUUGUGCUUGGAAAAUUAGCUACUUGAACAAGUACUGAACGCUUUCUAUGUUUUCUCUUAUUAACUGCUGAAAUAGGUGCCUGCCCUAUAGGACACAUAUUUUGCCUUCUUAACUACAAGGGAAAAAUAUGUGUGAAUUGCAUGUUGCUUAUGUUUCUUAUGGAAACAGAACUUUUUUUGGCAACCAUGUCUUUGUGAUCAAGAAUGUUCAGUUUCUUCCUACUAAUUGUGCAAUGUCUUUACAUGUCAACUUAGUGGAAUGUAUAUAAAAGUCAAACUACUUAUCUUAUCGAUCUCAUUCACUCAUGUGUCCCUCUGUUCAUUCAUGAUUGUGUUGAAUUUUUUCAGGUAAAAUGUGUCUUAUUCAUGCAGUUACGCCUGAAAUAGUGGUUCCCACUGCAACACGUGGGCUUAUUUUCUAGUUAUGUCUAUUUUUGUCAUUAUACAAAAUUUCCAAAAUUUUACAUUAGUAUUUACCAAACGCUUUUAUACUACUUUUCAUACUUACAGCAGUUUUAAAAAUACAGUUUACCAAACGUUCAGCUGCUUUAUUUUACAGCUGAUUAUUCUUAAAGCACAACUGUUGACCCUAAAAACUACAAAGCCUACGUGGCGCGCAGGCCGAGUAAUUAAUGAGCUAACUACGUCCUUCGGUGAAUGCGGGGCGUGCCAACUCGUCGGCCGAGCUCGGCCGAGGAGUAAAUUUGUUGAUGUUGCGUUGGGUCGCGCUACUGACUUCUGCGUCUUGCCAUUGCGGCCGAGAAAGGAACACGUCUCGGCCUCUUGGGCUCUCGAACCUGAAGACAAGGUUACUAUUCUUACGAAGUUCAAAAUCAAAUUCGGCUUUCAAUGUGCCGAAUGUAAUAACUGUAACACCUCACUUCGCCGAGAAGGCUGAUGAGAUGACCUCGACCAAUAAGGAUUUAGAAACCCUUCUCGACCGAGACUUGGAUAGGUAAUCAAUCGUUCUCGCCGCAGUGCUGUUGAUGCCAACGGAAGGUACUGCGAGACCGACUGACUCUACAGUGACAGAGCUAUCUAUGCCGACUUAAGAUAUCACCGGUUGCUUCCACAGUGCUGUUGAUGCCAACGGAAGAUGUGUCAGUGAAAAAGGAAAAAGAAAAAUCACAAGUUGUGAGAGUUUGCGCAGGGCAAUUUUGUAUUGAUUUUGUGGGUCUCGUUCCGUUGCCACUGCCUCUCUAUUUAUAGAGCUAACUUAGCAUAAAACCCGGCCGUGACCAUCAAUCACCACCACAAAUAAUAAUCGUUACGCGAGGAUGAUUAUCCAAUGAGAAUCGUAGCACUCAAAUCUCUUUGGUGCUAACGCAUUUCAGCCAAAACCACAUAACAAAUCAUGGCAUGCCAAUUCCGUCUUUUGCUAAAGAUAAGCAUUGUCGUUCAAAUCCUAGUCCCAAAGCCCUGGCAUAUCAAGCUUUAUCCAUAGGAUAUUCACUUCACCUAUUUGGCAACCUUGAAUUUGCUAAUAAUUAUCCCAUGCAUGCAUCACAUUAGCUUACGUAAUUAAUCUUUCAAGUUGGACUCCACCUUGAUCACCAACUGAUGCCACCACGUGCUAGGACUCUUCUCAUAAUGCAUGAUGCUUAAUCCCCGCGUCGAAUGAUAAGAAUCCCACAUUAAAUCGAACUGUUCUGCUUGCUUCGGUAUAGUUUGCGUCACAUUUAUCUUGUAUAAAAAGUGUCAAGAUAAUUCAUUAUUAAAAGAUCAUUAUUAUGAUUAAAAAUCAUAAUAUUAUCCCCUAACAACAAUAAAAUUAUCUUAACUUUCCUAUCCGACGGUGUGGAGCAAUGCUCACUCAACGGCCUUGAUCGCACGGGCCGAUGAUGUAAAUUGAGGUCCAAACAACAACAGAAGCAGUUUUAAAAAUAAGAACAGCAAUCCCAAACUGGCCCUUAGUCGAGGCGAGUCCUCCUUUGUCCCAUUGAACUUAGUCCUGCCAGUGAACAAACACGGAUUACACUACCUUUUAACUUAAGCUAGUCCAGUGAGAGCUAAAAAGGCAAACAAACAUCCCCUUAAUCGUUUCUGUACAGAGACUGCUAAAGAAACAGCAUGAUCAAAAUCAAAGAAUCAUGAGGCGGCCCCAGCAAGCCCCUCAGCGGCUCUACGUCCCUCCGUCGUCGCGCGACGGAAACAGCCACGACAACUACGAAGACACCGACCUCGACAACAUCGAUUACGACGACAACGAUGGUUCCAAGGACCCCGGGAGUGACGACAACAACCACGGCAACGCUGGCAGCGGUGAUGAAGAAGUCGAUCCUCUGGAUGCUUUCAUGGAGGGGAUUCAUGCGGAGGUGAGGUCAGCUCCGCCGCCGAAGCUGAAAGUGAAGGCCGAGAAGUACAGGGACGAUGAGGAGGAGGAUCAUAUGGAGAGGUUUCUGAGGGCUAAAAGGGACGUGGUGCUCACGCUGGCAUCAGAUGCUUUACACACCAGAUAUGACUCCGAUGAAGAGGUAUAUGCGACCGCCAAGGCCGUCGAUGCCGGGUUGUUGGAGUACGAUUCAGAUGAUAAUCCCAUUGUUCUGGACAAGAGGAAGAUCGAGCCGAUUUCAGCUCUCGAUCAUAGUUCAAUCGACUACGAGCCGUUUAAUAAGGAUUUUUACGAGGAGAAAGAGUCGAUUUGAGGUAAAUUCCAACCGAACUGAGAAUUUGGUUUCUUUCUUUUUUUCUUUCCAUUCACAUUUGUUUUUUAAAUUUUUGUGUGAAUUUAGUCGAAAUGCGUAGCAAAGUAUUUAAAUUUAAGUGGGAGAGAAUAUUGACCGGUAGAAGUUCUCAAGGAGAGAUUUGAAAUGGAAGACUAGAGUUAACUGGUGUUUUGGUUUCCUUGUUUAGGGAUGAGUGAGGAGGAUGUUUUUUAGUACAAGAAGAGCUUGGCCAUCCGUACGUCGGGGUUUGAUGUACCGAGGCCAGUUAAGACAUUUGAAGAUUGUGGAUUUUCUUCACAACUCAUGGCUGCCAUAAAAAAACAAGACUACCAAAAGCCGACACCAACACAAUGCGUAGCUCUACCCAUAGUUCUUUCCCGGAGAGAUAUAAUUGGUAUUGCGAAAACUGGUUCUGGAAAGACUGCCACUCUUGUCCUUCCAAUGAUUGUCCACAUUAUGGAUCAGCCAGAGCUUCAAAAAGAAGAAGGUCCAAUUGGAGUGAUAUGCGCUCCUACUAGAGAGCUGGCGCACCAAAUAUACUUAAGAGUCCAAAAAAAUUGCAAAAUCACAUGGGAUACGUAUCUCUGCUGUAUAUGGUGGAAUGUCUUAAGCUUGAUCAGUUCAAAGAACUUAAGGCAGGAUGUGAAAUAGUUUUUGCUACUCCUGGGAGAUUGAUCGACAUGCUUAAAAUGAAGGCACUGACAAUGCUUAGGGCAACUUACCUAGUACUUGAUGAGGCUGAUCAGAUGUUUGACCUUGGGUUUGAGCCUCAAAUUAGAUCUAUUGUUGGUCAGAUUCGGCCAGACCGACAGACAUUGCUCUUUUCUGCGACAAUGCUCCGUAAAGUUGAAAAAUUGGCUAGGGAGAUUCUCUCAGAUCCUAUAAGAGUUACAGUGGGUGAGGUGGGAAUGGCCAAUGAGGAUAUCACUCAGGUUGUUCAUGUAAUUCCUUCUGAUGAUGAGAAGCUGCCCUGGCUUUUUGAGAAGUUACCAGGAAUGAUUGAUGAGGGUGAUGUUUUAGUAUUUGCUUCAAAAAAAGCUGCAGUGGAUGAGAUCGAGUCACAGCUUGCUCAGAAAGGUUUUUAAGUCACAACUCUGCAUGGUGACAAGGACCAAGCAUCUCGGAUGGAUAUUUUGCAAAAAUUUAAAUCUGGCAUUUACCAUGUUCUUGUUGCAACUGAUGUUGCUGCUCGUGGUCUUGACAUCAAGUCAAUUAAGUCAGUUGUGAACUUUGAUAUUGCAAAAGACAUGGACAUGCACAUCCAUUGAAUUGGUAGAACAGGUCGGGCUGGUGAUAAGGAUGGCACUGCGUACACUCUUAUUACACAGAAAGAGGCACGUUUUGCUGGUGAGUUGGUUAAUAGCUUGGUUGCUGCUGGUCAGAUUGUCUCCACGGAGCUCAUGGACCUUGCGAUGAAGGUAAUUUUGCAUUACUAUUAACAUUUUUUUUUUGUGGUUUAUAUAGCGAGUUUAUACAUGCAUCCAACUACUUGCCUUUUUGUUUUAGAGAUGGUGGUUAUAACCUUAGUUUGUAAUCCUAUAAUGCAUUUAAGGCGAAUACAAGUUAUUAAUAUGUUCUCUGGUAAAACGUGCUCUUUUUAAUGCAAUAUGGAUUCUGGACAAUUACACCUACUGGUGUUUGUCUCACAAAUAAACUACGUUAUCUUCACUCUACUAUAUAGGUGCAUAGGUUGCUUCUGAUUUAGAGUGCGCUUUCGAGAGAGAUGGAUUUGAUGACCAUUUGGUCUUCAAGGCCUUAUUUUGGAAAGCUUUAGUAUGUCCUUGGAAUUACAGGGAUCUUGAGAUCGUUGACUUCAUAACGUCAAGAUAGUCAAUUUCAGGAAAUGUGCUUAGUUUAGGGAGAGAGUAAUUAGACAGUCUUUAGUAGUCCCAUCUUUACUUCAUACCAUGCUCUGCUUAGAAAAGGGGUUGUUGGGGGUGUAUGUUGGCUUGUUGGGUUGUGGAUUGAAGCAUAGAGAUGACUUGAAGAUGAAGCUCAGUCUGGGGACGUAAUAACUUUUGUGUAUUAUUAAGUACUCGCUUGCAUUCUGGGCUACCAAUACAUCGGUUGAGGCCAACCAAUUUGCAUUUAAGAACUAAGAGAAAAAUCGCAUUUUAAGUACUAAAUCUUAAUUACCACAUGGACCCUUAGUAAAUUGUCACUUAUUUUCCCUUGUGCCAAUAUAUCUCAUAGACAUAAAUGCACAGCUUAUCAUGAUAGGUGGCUGCACCUGCAUUAGUUUUAGAAGUUUUACACUAUGAGAGCCACUCAUGCAUCAUUUCUUCAGUCUUGUGACUUUUAAUUCUUGCCUUGCUGCUUGUAGCUUUGUAUUUUAUAUCCAUCAUAAAUACACUGGUUUCCAUCUCCUACAUGGAUGUGCAGUUAUUUUGGGUGCACCUUGUCUGUGGAACUUUUGUUGCUUUCCCUUACUAUGUUUCUUGUUUGAUAGCUUUAGAUGUUAUGUUAGAUUUCAGAUUUUACAUUCUCUAUUUUAAUGGGAUUUACCUUGUUUAUUAUCAGGAUGUUAGAUUCAUAUCAAAAUGUGAUUCAAGAAAAGGAGUUAUAAACUUUAAUCAUAUUAAAAUUUCAAUUUUCUUAAGGUUCUUUUGCAAUUUCAUAUUAAAUAAGCCUUUUUCUACAAUUCAAAUGAUGAUAUUAUAUGGAUUCUGCAGGUGGAAAGAAAGGUAGAGGGAGGGGCGGCGGUGGUCGAGGUGUGCGUGGGGUGGAUUUUGGUCUGGGUAUUGGAUAUAAUACGGAGUCCAAUAGUUCUUCAUCGAAUACUGUUCCUAGUCGAUCUGUUGCAGUAACUCCUCAGAGGACAGGAAUGAUGUCUCAGUUCAAGACUAAAUUUGUUGCCGCUUCAUCUAACUCUCCAAGUCAAGGUUCAGCUAACAGCUCUAGUGUGCCCAACAGACAGGCAUUACGAGGAUUUGUAUCCGGUGGUUCAAUAGGUGGUGAUGUAUAUAGAACUCAGGCAACCAGUACAAUUACUCCUGCUCCUGCUCCAACAUCAAUGGUAAAUAAAACUGCUACUCCGAACACUGGACAAAAUUCAAGUCAGAAACCCUCCGAAAGGUUAAUUAAACUGAUGCUUGGUUAGAAUUUUUUAUGUCUUUACUUAUUUGAUUGGUGUUGAGCAGUUUCAUUUGUGCCGAUUGCAGUUCUAGAGAUAAACCCAGAGAAAGGCGGAGGCGCUCCGUUUGGGACUGUUAACCGUACAGUUGAACUACACCACUCUCGCAUAAUGAAUUACAAGUUUUACUUUUGUUGUAGGUCAAGUCCUGAUAUUCCUAUAUUAUUGUUGAUCUUUGUCACUUUCUUUGUCGCUCUGUUUAUAAGUUAAAAGAAACAGAAGAUUUUGUAAACUCAGAUCGACUUGUUGCACAAAUAGUGGAUGAUUUAAAACAUAGACUGUUCGUAUCAUUAAAAUACGUUAUGAAGUAGAUUCUACAAAAAGUUGUGCCGUGUAAAAAAAAUUGUGAUGUUUCACAUGUGCUCCGUAUGUUAUUUAUAUUAAUCAUUCUGAAUUACAUCAUAACUCAACGACUUGGUAUAUAAUACAAUAAGGCCUUGUUGGAUGUCAAUGAUUUGAUUGGUUAUGACUGGAUUAGAUUGGCUUAGUUUGGAAAAUUCACUAGAUUCAGUGAAUGUUGAAAGAAAAUAUGGAUUGCUAUUUUGUUCAAGUGAAGAUGGAAGAGAAAAAGAAUAAGACAAGUAUAACAAAUCAAAUAUUGACGGAGCAUGCAUAGGUUUUUAAUUACAACUAUUCGUCAAUUGGUGCUUAUAAUUUUUGGUUUUAAAUGCUAUUAUCUCUUAAAUAAAAUAAUUAUGUUGCUUUAGUCUCCUCAUCGUAUUAUACGUGUCGAAUUCGUGUGAAGUCUGGUGGGACAAGAGAGAGAUAAGGAGGUUGACUUUGAUCAAUUGACCUCCUUUCCAUAGCCAUUUUUCUUUACCUUCAUCCCCUUACACAAAGUCCAUUCUUAAGAUCUCUAGUUCUCUCUCAAUGGCUGCUAAAAGUUCCCGAGAUUCUUCUUCGUCCUCUUACCAGUGUUCCUAUCAUGCCUUCUUGAGUUUCAGAGGCCAGGACACGCGCAGGGGCUUUACUGAUCACCUCUAUAGAGCUUUGGAGCUAGCAGGAAUCCACACCUUUAGAGACGAUGAUGAAAUCAAGAGAGGGGAGAAUAUUGAGUCGGAGUUAGAGAAGGCGAUAAAGGAGUCACAAGUAUCCAUAAUUGUCUUCUCCAAGGACUACGCUUCCUCAAGGUGGUGUUUGAACGAACUUCUGAAGGUCGUGGAACGUAGAAAUACUGAUCGUAGACAUGUGGUUCUGCCAGUUUUCUAUGAUGUGGAUCCAUCCGAUGUCAGGAAGCAGAGUGGUACUUUUGCUGAAGCAUUUGCCAGACACGAGGAGCGAUUCAGUACGGAGGAGAUGGACAAGGUGGAGCUGUGGAGAAGAGCUCUUAGACAUGUUGCAAGUUUGGGAGGCAUGGUUUUAGGAGAUCGGUAAUUUCUAUUCUCAUUAUGUUCUCACGCUAAUUGAAAGUGUCUUUUAAAUUAAGUAAAAUUGUAGAUGGCAGUGAAACUUGAAGUUGUUCGCCUAUAUAUACUGCAACUUUGAUUUAUAUGUUCCUAUCGAUUCAAAUGAAUUACAGGUAUGAGGGGCAGUUCAUCCAAGAUAUUGUUGGAGAGAUUAGAAAUAAAGUGGAUCACGUAGCUUUAGACGUCGCUCCCUUUGCAGUUGGAAUGGAUGCUCGUGUGAGACGCCUAAACAUGUGGUUACAAGAUGGAUCAAAUGAUGUUGGUUUAGCUGUCAUCUGUGGGAUGGGUGGAAUUGGCAAGAGCACCAUCGCGAAAGCCGCUUAUAACCGCAACUUUGAUAGAUUUCAAGGUAGCAGCUUUCUUGCAGAUAUACGAGAAUCUUCAGAACAACCCAAUGGUUUUGCUCUCUUGCAAAGAAAACUUCUUUCAGAUAUCCAAAACGGGAAAGCAAAGAAAGUAUACAAUAUGGAUGAAGGAACAAUCAGGAUCAAACAAGCCGUAGGUUAUAAAAAAGUUCUUAUUGUUCUUGAUGAUGUGAGCAACCGGGAUCAACUCAAUGCAAUUCUUGGAAUGCGAGAGUGGCUUCAUUCAGGAAGUAAAAUUAUCAUAACAACUCGACAUGAACAUUUGUUAAAUGCUCACGAUGUUUUUGAAAAGUUUAUGGUUCAAGAACUGAAUGAGUACGAAUCACUUGAGCUUUUCAGUUGGCAUGCCUUCAGACAAUCCCAUCCGGAAGAAGGUUACAAGGAGCUUUCAAGACAUGUGGUGCAGCACUGUGGAGGGCUUCCUGUAGCUCUUCAAGUUCUGGGAUCUUCUCUAUCUGGAAAAAGUGUAGAAGUAUGGCAAAGUGCAUUGCAGAAGUUAGACGUGAUCCCUAAUGACAAAAUUCAAAAAGUUCUGAGGAUAAGUUUUGAUUCUUUACAGGAUGAUCAUGACAAAAAUUUAUUCCUUCAUAUAGCCAGUUUCUUCACAGGAAAGACGAUGGAUUAUACAAGUACAAUGUUGGACAGCUUAAAGUUUUACACAAGGAUUGGGAUUGAAAAUCUAGUUGACAGAUGCCUAGUGAAAAUUCAAGGCUCGAACAGGUUGUUGGUCAUGCAUCAAUUGGUGAGAAACAUGGCAAUGGAAAUUAUUUGUGAAGAAUCACCUGAUGACCCUGGAAAACGUAGUAGAGUGUUGCAGAAAGAUGCCUCUAAUAUUUUGAGAAAAUUAAGUGUAAGAACUAUGUUUUCAUGUAUAUGUAUUUUUAGUUAUGAUUUGUUGUCCAGUACUAGUUAUAUACUUAUUCAAUGCUCUGAUUUGUUAGCAGGGUACGGAAAAUAUUAAGGGCCUCAUGCUUAACCUUGCUAGCAAAAUAACGUUUGUUGGAUGUCAUAAAAAACGAUGCCAUGAUGAAGAUUAUGAUGGAAAUUGUUCAAGACGACGUCGUCUUGGUUUCUUCUCUUGGAAGCCAGUUAGCUUUCCGUCCACAAACUCAGCUUCUGCAUCAAAUGAGAUAGAUUUCAAAUCUGAGGCGUUUAGAAGGAUGCACAAUCUUGAAAUUCUCAUGCUCAACAACGUCAACGUCAGGGGAAGCUACGAAGAAUUUCCAAAAAGUUUAAUAUGUUUAUCUUGGAGAGGAUUCCACUUAAAAUCAGUACCAGAAAAUUUUUAUUUGGAAAACCUGGUUGUUCUUGACAUGCGAAAUAGUAGCCUACAACAUGUUUGGAAUGGGAUCAGGGUACGUAACUCUCUCUCUCUCUCUCUCUCUCACUCACUCUCACACACACUUUCUCUCACACAUGUCCAUUAUAUCUUCUUAGAAAUUGAUUAAUACUUCUUAUUGAAAACAGUUCUUUCCGAGGCUGAAGAUUCUUAAUCUCAGUCAUUCGCAUGGCCUUAGGACAACCCCUGACUUCUCAGGACUCCCUAACCUUGAGAGAUUGAUUCUUAAACAUUGCAUAAAUUUGGUUGAGGUUGAUGAGUCCAUCGGAUACCUAGAGAAACUUGUUGUUUUGAAUCUAGAAGGCUGCAAAAAUCUCAUGAAGCUUCCAAAAUUGAGAUCUAUUCAGGAUCUUAUUCUUUCUGGUUGCUCAAAGCUUGUGCUUGGUGCCAAUACGACUGCCACAACUGGUCACUUACAAUCUACAGCUUGUGAAUUGAAGAAACUCAAUCUGCUAUCAGCUAAAUCAUGGUAUUCAAUCUGGUCGCGGGUGUCCCCAAGAAAAAAUAUUGAACCAAGCAGUUUCUCAUUGGCAAGUUUACCACAUUCCUUGACAAGUUUAAGUCUGGAUAGCUGCAAUCUAUCAGAGAUUCCGAGUGCCCUUACUAUGCUGUCUUCGUUAGAGUACUUGGAUCUGAAUAAGAAUCCAAUUACAAGCCUACCAGAGAGCAUGAACAAUCUUGUUAAGCUUCACACUCUUGCAGUAGAUGGUUGCAGAAACCUCACAAUGCUUCCAGAGCUCCCACAUAGUUUGAAACAAUUGAAUGGUAGAGGUUGCACAUCAUUGAAAAGAAUAACAAAUUUACCGAACUUGCACAUAUUACCGGCCACACAUCCCUUCGGCAUGCAAAAGGACAUAGAUUUAAAGUAUUACAACAUAUUAUUGGACUCAAAUUUAUGGUAUUGUGGGAAACUAGUUGAUGUUGUAAGCUUGUUUAAUACACUACCAUUGAGCAGCUUUGACAUAAAACUCCUCAAAGAUAUCGAUCUAUUCGAUUUGAAACCCAACGGUGGCGUUGAGGUCCAAAGGAACAGCGAUUGUGCAAGUUUUGGCAAGCCCAGGCGCUCCAAGGUUCUUCUCUCUCUCUCUCACUGCUAUGUACAAGUGCUUAUAAUAUGAUCUAUGGCGUAAACAAUUAGAUUGUAAUCACAUCACCAUGAAACUGCAGGGAACUUUUGAAUGCGGCAUAUUUAGCAUAUUUGUCCACGAGAGCAAGAUUCCAGAUCGGUUCAAUUACAGGAGCAUGGGUAACAGUGUGUUCUCUAUUAUUGUUCCUUCACAGCCUAAUAUCAAGAUCGUAGGUUUAAAUGCAUGUAUAUUGUAUGCCCGGCAAUCGGAUCGAAGCCCUGAGAUUGCACUUGGAAACUAUCAUUUCUAUUCGCUUGAACUUAGGAAUGAGACAAAGGGCCUUAAGUGGCGUUUACCUAUGUUCAAUGAGGUUGAAUGGAGGGUGAUGAACGAAGAUAUGUUAUGGCUAAGCCAUUGGAUUAUGGGGAACGAUGAAUUGGAAUGCGGGGAACAAGUGCGUUUUGAAAUAAUCGGAGUGCAAGACGGUUUCGUCACAAAGGAGAUUGGAGUCCAGUUUGUGUACGAGCAGCAAAAUAAGGAUAAGGAGGAUGUCCCAUCAAGUAGUGAAGAUCCAAUGAUCCUACCUGACAGAUCGUUUCGGGUCUGGAGCAAAGUAUCGCCUUGGCACUGGAGCGUAGGUUUCGCUGGAAGGGGUGGCCCUAUUGGGAGAGAGACCGGGGUGGAAUACAUCCAUAACAAUGAGAAGAAAGUUAUUUCAACUGUCAUGUGCGCGGCUCAAUACAUUCUCUGUAACCAUGAAGUGAUCGAUCUUGAGAAUGAAUCCCGCAUGACCCCGUAGUAACAACGAGUGCUCUAAACUAUUACCCAGUUUAAUUCAAAUUGAUGGUGAUGAUGCACAAAUCACUAAAUUCAAAUGUGUAUUGGUUGUUAUGCUUCGUUUCUAUCUAUUUUCAAUUUUUCCCUAAAAAAUUGUUUUCAAUAAUUUAAUAUACAAAAUUUCAUACCAAACAAAUUCUUGCCUGUAUAAAGUAUGAAUUUAAAACCUGUUUUUAAGAAAAAUAAAGUUUCAGACCCCAACUAGAAAAUAAGCCCACGAGUUGUGGCGGGAACUAACUGUUUCAGGCGUAACUGCGUGAAUAAGACACAUUUCACAUGUAACUGAAUAAAUAAGACACAAAGUGCAGGAAGUAAAGCUCAUAUUUAGCAGUGUUAUUUUAACAACAAUUGUUCAAGUGGUGGAUUGCCCCCGGUGGGUUGGGCAUUUCUCUUAGUCCUACUGCAUUCCGGGUUCAAAGUUCCAACCAUCCCCCGUACCAGUUUAAGCACACCAAAGACCAAAUUUAGCAUGUUCUUUCGUCAUCCACCCAACCCCAGCAGAUAUACAAAAUUCAAAUAGAACUUGGCAAAUUCAUCCUCUUAAAAUACAAAACGAAAAUAAUUUAUGAUCACUGACCUCUGAGAAUCGAAUGAUAUUCGGAUUCUUCAAUGAUCUGUGGUUCUUGAUUUCCCCUUGAACAUGUUCAUCCAUCUGCAUCACCAAAAAAAAAAGUAUAUUUAAAAAAAAAUACAAAAUGAAAAUAGUUUAUGAUCACUAACCUCUUUGGAUCGAAUGAUAUUCGGAUGGUCCAGUGAUCUAUAGUUCAUGAUUUCCCUUUGAACAUGUUCAUCUAUCUGCAUCACCAAAAAAAUAAUAAAUAUUUAAAAAAAAAUACAAAAUUUAAAGGAUAAGAAUUGCGAAGAUUCUUAGGUCUUAGUUCGAAAUGUAAUAGCUCAUCUCACCUCCAUAUAUUACCAAAUCUUAGUCUAUAUGAUUUUGCCAGAGCCACCGAAUGUUGAAUAUAUAUCUGUUGAAUGUUCUACUACCAUCAACAUUAUAAAGGUUUCUAAUCGAAUCAUAUAUUUAAAAUCCAAGCAUGAAAGUUUUACAAAGAUAAAUAAACAAAUGUAAAUAACUAAUUAGGCAAUACACAGCAGAGAGGGGAGAGAGAGAGAGAGAGAGAGAGCAAUUGAAGGGAAUGCAUAGUUAUCUCUAUCUUCGGAAAAAAGAAAAGAAAAAAAGAGAGCAGUUGAAGGAGUGAGAAGCAAAGCAGCAUACCAAGUGGAGGGUAAGCAAUUAAGCAUAGUCAUCUCACGUACGGAUUGCCUGAGAACUGAUCUUUGCUUCUCUUCCUUAUGAUCCUCUUAAAUGCAAUUCUACACAUUUCUAAACCAAAAUUGCAAAGCAGAAUUCAAAGAAAUUUAAAGAAAUCUAGUAAAGAUUCAAACUUUUUUAUUAUCCAAAAGAUGUACAUAACCCCAUGUAACAAAAACAAAUUUAUGACACAAAAGAAAUUAUCUUUAGCCAACAAAAGCAAAAAAGAGAAAGAGAGAGAUUUUGCUUUUUGCACUAUGCAGAAUGUGCAGAGAAUCAAAAUAUCAUAACCCAUUUAACAACAUGAUAUUUUAGGCAAAAAGGCAUCACCUUUAGACCCCAAAUGAAAGAAUUUGAGAGAGAGCGCAUACGUGGUUGCCAAGAAGAGGAAGAGAGCAAUUCUAUUUCCUGUAAAAAUGAAGAAACAGAGCAUUAACAAACACACAUGCACAAAUCUCAAAAGGAAAUUGGUAAGAAAUAAUCGUAAUUGAGAAAAUAAUCAAAAAACUAGAGAGCACACAACUGGAGUCUAAUUCUACAGAACCCACGAGUCGACAAACAAAUAUCCAAAAUUAACAGAUUACAGUAACAACAUUCCAACAAAAGUAAGAAGACCAGAAAAAUUAUCUAUUCUAAAGUACAUUAGUUCCAUCAUGCAUAAAUCAAGGGAGUCACGGAAGGCCAGUAUCUUAAGGUAAUCCAACAUGUUAAAGCAUCCAAACAGAGACUCAGAAUUACAAAACGCAUGAAAAUUCACAUUCCAACGUGUUAUGGAAUCACCAAUUUCAGAUCAACCAAAAUCAAAUAAAUUUAUAUCAGUACGCAUCAAACCCACCAAACCCAAAAUCAAAAGAAGGUGAUCAAAUGUUUGAUUUUGCUAAAUAUUACAAAAUAAAAUAAAUAAGAAUAUGUACAAAUCAACAUGCAUACCUUGUAGCGGUGCAGGGAACAGUAGCGUGAGCUGCAUCGAGGGCAUGUGUACUGGGAAAAUUGCUACUGGCAGCUGCAACUAACAAAAACAAAAACAAAACAAAAUUGAAUAAAAUCAAAAUCGGAAAAAUUUCCAGAAAAUAAAUAAAACAAAUUAUCAAGCUUUGUUGAUGAAAGAGAGGUGGGGUUGGUGAAGAACAUACACGCGGCUAUGAGCAGUAGACAAAAGAUUUCAAAAUGAUUUCUUCACUUUUCAAUCAGGACAUGCACGAAUAUAAAAAUGGCAGAGAGGAUUAAAACCAUACCAAACACUAGAAAAUCAAGUAUAAAAAUCGUACUUACCUUGUGAAUGAGGACAUGCAGACACAUGAUGGAUGAAGGACAGCAAAUCCCGCAUACACGAACCUAACUUGCCACUGUUCGCCACCCCCACCCCUCCCUAUCUCUCUCUCCCUGCAAUCGCGACGAUUUCUGUCACUGUCACCCUCCCACUCCCGAAUCGAAUAUCCGCACGAAAUCUCUCUCUCUCUCUCUCUCUCUCUCUCUCUCUCUCUCUCUCUCUCUCUCUCUCGCUCGGUUUCUCUCACUGUCACCCUCCCACUCCCGAAUCGAAGAUCCGCACGAAAUCUCUCUCCCUCUACAAGCGGCAUGGCCGCUGUCCCUCUCUGUCUGCCCUCACCAUCAAUCCCAAUCCCAAAAUUAAGAUGACAAAAGUGCCCUGCAACCCUUUAAUUCUAGCCGCGUGAUCCUAACCCUAGAUGAAUAUUUCUGGAAUUUGAACACCCAAAGUAUCUCAUCAAAUGUGGAUGUACCCACAGUAUGAAUCUGAGAAUUUCUCAAUUCAACUCUCGAAAUUACUGUGACAGUAUUAAUAUAUCAUGUGGAAUGAGGUGGUAUUAUGGUAAAAGAUAGAACUUUAGCUGAUGGUAAACAACAUUUGGGAAUUUGAUGUAAGCCGGCUGGGAAUCCCAAAUGUUGUUUACCAUAAGCUAAAAUUUAAUCUCUGAUUAAAAAAAUAAUAAUAAAAAGCACACCUCAAACUGACAAGGACCAUAAUUUUCAAGUGACACUGCUUUUCAAUGGUUACCAUAAAAAAAAUAAUAAUAAAAGAACUGAUCAUUUGAAUUAUUCAUGACAGAACCAAUUUUGAUUUGAAAUAUGAUGGCCAAGAACAAAUCACACUGCUUUUCAAUGGUUACCAUAAAUUUUCAGAAGUUACAGAAGAUUUUUUUAUCAAAUGAAAAGACAAUGGUCACAUAUAUCUACAAUUAACCACCAGUAAGCGUGAAAUAUUACAUCACAAUGCAAUAGCAGCUAUACAGGAUGCCAUGCCAUUCAUACUAUGACAAAUCACAAAAGUGACAAUUAAAGGGCACCUAACAGACACCCCCAUCUCUCUCUCUGCAAUAGCAGAAAUCCCUCGGGUUUCAGAAAGCAAAUGGAAAACAAAAUGCUUUUACAUCCCCUACCCAUACCCAUACCUCCCUUUACCCGUUCCCUUUACCCUCGCAGAAAAUCCUCCCAUCUCUCUCUCACCCUUGUCCCAUCUCUCUGUCUGCAAAUCGCAGAAAAGAAACCCUGAACAAAUCACUUAAAUCCCUCGCCUAAAUCCUCCCACAUUUCUCUCAGACACCCCCUAUCUCUCUCUCUUUGCAAACCCUAAACCAAAUCUCCUAAAUCCUAUCUCGGACACCCCACACAAAGCCAAGAAGCCAAGAUAUUAAAGCAAUCUCUACAUAAUACUAUGGAACAAUGAAGCAAAAUGGUACUUACUUGUUCCUUGUCCAAAACCGUUGGUGCCACCGCACAUUGUUAUCAAUUGUGGGUUGAUCAAAUCCUUCAUGGCUUAGACUGCAUGAAGAAUUAGAAACUAAAAGAUGAAUAUAUGCUGUAAAUCAUCAUAUAAAUGUAAUUGCAUUUAAAAAAAGAAGGGAAUGAAAAAAUUGAAUUCUAUUUCAUCAGUAUGUAACUGCAUGAAAAGUUACAUUGAAUGCAAACUCAAUCAAUUUCCCCAAAGUCAUUGUUAACUGAAAAUCAAUACCAAACCCAUAUAUACCACCAUUGAAUUUGCGAAACCCAAAAACAAAAUACAAAAAUUUACUCAUAUAAUCACAGAAAAACAUGAAAUUUGAGCACACAUUUGGCAAAGUUAAAGGAUAAAGGCACUCACAUCAUCGUAGUACUCUUUGGGAAGAUCUUCUAAUACUGGUUCUUCCUUUUUCUUGCUCUUCCUCAGAGCUGCCAUAAAAAAACCCAGAGAAGCACACAAAUUCAGAAAAGAAGAGGUCCAAAACUGCCAUAAAAAAUCCAGACAGCAUACAAAUUUAUCAGAACAAAAACCAAAUGAUGUGAGUGAUAGUGAGAGAGGUUGUGUUAGGCACCUGAAACACGUUUUGGUUUCAAUUGAAACGGCCAGAGCGUUGCAUGUGAGGAAGAUGACGAUAGGAUAUCCACAUUCUUUUUUCUUGGGUGAACUAACCAAACCAUAUUAUAUACUAAAACGACAUAAAAAAUCAUUAACAAAAUCACAACAAAAUAGAACAAAAACAUUCACAAAAGAAUUCCCCAAGUUUUCAAAUGGAAAUUAAACAUUUACAUAGCUUAUAUAAAAAGCCAAAAUAUAAAAAAUUAAUCAAAAGGUUGAGAUAACUCACAUCCCAGUAAUGCUUAUUGCUGAUAUUAACACCCACUGACAGCAGCCCUCGGUUUGUGGAAUUCCCACGCCCAACUCCAUGACCUCUCUCUCUGCCAUCCCUCUCUCCCUCACAACCAUACCCACUUUCGACCCACCCCUCAAUCCCGACACCAACCCUUGAUUUAAGGAGGAAAAAUCAAUACAACCACCCUUUUCGCAAGCCUCACUCCUCCCGCUCCCUUCCCCUCCCUGCCAAUCCCAUGCCCAUCUCCCUUGUUGUAGCUCUGCAACCCACGUUUUUUGGCACCAAACACUAUGUCCUAGGAUGAUGUGACAAUUUAUCAAAGUCAGAAAAUGCAUUAUCUCAGUUUAGGUUGGUAGCAUAUAUGAUCCCCGUGCAGCAACAUAGAAUACUUAGUAAAAGUUGCAUUUCUGAGAACAAAUAACCAAGAUGCUUGACCGAAAAAACAAUGCAGAUGCUUUAGUAAUACAGAAUUACAGUUUUAUUCAAGCUUCUCAGUCACAAACUAACCUUCCUUUGUCGAGCAGCAAGGAAGAGGGGGCGAAAAUUGAUUCCUGGAUGAGCUUUUUCGUUCAAAACUAAGUCGAGCUGCAAGGACGAAGGGUCGAGGAUUGUUCGUGAGCUGGUGUUGCGGAUAUAAACAUAUAGAAAGCUCCACUGUGUCAUAACAAACACAAAUCAAAUAUGAUCACCAUGUCACAUUAAUUACCUAAAAUUCAAAAUGUUAUAUACAUUAGUAUGUUGAACAAAACUCCGCCUAUGUAAGUUUAUCUUACAUUGCCGGUCCCAAGCCCGGAUAAAGGAGGAGGGGGAGGGCGUCAGGUAGUCGACAGCCGGCACUCCAUGAUCACGUCGAAUCCUUAUGAAAAUGAAUCCAGAACGAAAUCGCGCUAAAGCUAGGGCGUCACCCGUAAGUGGCGCGCUGUGUAGCCCGAGCACAGUGAUAAGUGAGCAAGGGUCGCUGUAUCUCCAUCGGCACCCGGAUACAGUGUUAAAUGAGCAAGGGGGCCAUAGAAACUUCUUUUCGAACGACUCCACUCAAAGUUGUUUGGGAGCAUAUGCUCCUAUCAACUUUACACGGGACACACAAAAGAAGUACUUUGAUCCUAUUAGACGGGAGAGGGUGAAGAAGCUAGGACAGAAGGGUAGAGUUCAAGAGAGCAAAAUGCGUUUAGGAACGUGGAAUAUAGGAACCUUGACGGGAAAAUCUAUGGAAGUAGUGGAAGUUAUGGUGAGGAGAAGGAUAAAUAUUAUGUGCCUACAAGAAACUAAGUGGGUUGGUCGUAAGGCAAAGGAUCUAGAAAACUCAGGGUUUAAACUAUGGUAUUCGGGCACAAAUAGAACGAGAAACGGUGUUGGCAUCAUCGUGGACAAGACCUUGACACAAGAUGUUGUAGAUGUCAAGAGGGUAGGAGAUAGAAUCAUGGCAAUCAAGAUUGUAAUAGGACAAGAACUUAUCAAUGUGAUUAGUGCGUACGAACCUCAAGUAGGGUUGGAUACGAGUUCGAAGGAGAAAUUUUGGGAAGACCUUGGAGACUUGGUGCGAGGAAUUGCUCAGACGGAGAAGUUAUUUAUAGGAGGAGAUUUAAAUGGACACGUGGGCAGGGAGACAGGCAACUAUGGAGGUUUUCAUGGUGGCCAUGGUUUUGAGGAGAGAAACGAGGAUGGGGAAGCUAUCUUGGAUUUUGCAAUGGCAUAGAGGAGGGGGAGGGCGUCAGGUAGUCGACAGCCGGCACUCCAUGAUCACGUCGAAUCCUUAUGAAAAUGAAUCCAGAACAAAAUCGCGCUAAAGCUAGGGCGUCACCCGUAAGUGGCGCGCUGUGUGGCCUGAGCACAGUGAUAAGUGAGCAAGGGUCGCUGUAUCUCCAUCGGCACCCGGAUGCAGUGUUAAAUGAGCAAGGGGGCCAUAGAAACUUCUUUUCGAACGACUCCACUCAAAGUUGUUUGGGAGCAUAUGCUCCUAUCAACUUUACCCGGGACACACAAAAGAAGUACUUUGAUCCUAUUAGACGGGGGAGGGUGAAGAAGCUAGGACAGAAGGGUAGAGUUCAAGAGAGCAAAAUGCGUUUAGGAACGUGGAAUAUAGGAACCUUAACGGGAAAAUCUAUGGAAGUAGUGGAAGUUAUGGUGAGGAGAAGGAUAAAUAUUAUGUGCCUACAAGAAACUAAGUGGGUUGGUAGUAAGGCAAAGGAUCUAGAAAACUCAGGGUUUAAACUUUGGUAUUCGGGCACAAAUAGAACGAGAAACGGUGUUGGCAUCAUCGUGGACAAGACCUUGGUACAAGAUGUUGUAGAUGUCAAGAGGGUAGGAGAUAGAAUCAUGACAAUCAAGAUUGUAAUAGGACAAGAACUUAUCAAUGUGAUUAGUGCGUACGCACCUCAAGUAGGGUUGGAUACGAGUUCGAAGGAGAAAUUUUGGGAAGAUCUUGGAGACUUGGUGCAAGGAAUUGCUCAGACGGAGAAGUUAUUUAUAGGAGGAGAUUUAAAUGGACACGUGGGCAGGGAGACAGGCAACUAUGGAGGUUUUCAUGGUGGCCAUGGUUUUGGGGAGAGAAACGAGGAUGGGGAAGCUAUCUUGGAUUUUGCAAUGGCAUAUGAUCUCUUCUUAGCCAACACCUUCUUUAAGAAGAGAGAAGAACAUGUGAUCACCUACAAGAGUGGGUCGUCAAAAACACAAAUAGAUUUUCUUCUAAUGAGGAAAGGGGAUCGUAUAACUUGUAAGGAUUGCAAAGUUAUACCAGGAGAGAGCGUGGCUAAUCAACAUCGCUUGUUGGUGAUGGAUGUACAUAUCAAAAGAGUAAGACAAAAGAACAAGACUUGGAAGUGCCCAAGGACUAGAUGGUGGAAUCUAAAAGAAGAAAAAACAAGCCAUUUUCAAAAGAGAAGGUAAUCACCCAAUGUGUGUGGGAUAGAGAGGGGGAAGCUAGCCAAAUGUGGAAUUCCAUGGCUAGUUGUAUCCGAAAAGUAGCAAAAGAGGUAUUAGGAGAGUCCAAGGGCUUUGCCCCACACCAAAAGGAAUCUUGGUGGUGGAAUGAGGAGGUACAAACAAAGGUGAAGGCUAAGAAGGAAUGUUGUAAAGCCUUAUACAAGGAUAGGACCGAUGAAAAUGGUGAAAGGUAUAGAAAAGCGAAGCAAGAGGCGAAGAAAGCUGUCAGAGAAGCUAAGUUAGCGGCUUACGACGAUAUGUAUAAACGACUAGAUACCAAAGAAGGAGAGUUGGAUAUCUAUAAACUAUCUAGAGCAAGGGAAAAGAAGACAAGGGACCUAAACCAAGUGAGGUGCAUCAAGGAUGAGGAUGGAAAGGUUCUUGCUACAGAGAACGCGGUUAAAGACAGAUGGAGAGGUUAUUUUCAUAAUCUUUUCAAUGAAGGACAUGAAAUGAGUGCUUCUUUAGGGGAGUUGAGUAACUCAGAAGAGUGUAGAAACUACUCUUUUUAUCGUAGAAUCCGGAAGGAAGAAAUGGUUGUAGCUUUGAAGAAGAUGAAGCAUAGAAAAGCAGUAGGCCCAGACGAUAUACCAAUCGAAGUGUGGAAAGUUUUGGGAGAGACAGGUAUAACAUGGCUCACUGACCUUUUCAAUAGGAUUUUGAAAACGAAGAAGAUGCCAAAUGAGUGGCGAACGAGCACUUUGGUGCCUAUCUACAAGAAUAAGGGCGACGUACAAAAUUGCAUGAACUAUAGGGGUAUUAAGCUAAUGAGUCAUACAAUGAAGCUCUGGGAGAGAGUCAUUGAGCAUAAAUUGAGGCAAGAGACACGGGUUUCGGAUAACCAAUUCGAGUUCAUGCCAGGGCGCUCAACCAUGGAGGCAAUCUAUCUCUUACGAAGAUUGAUGGAAAGAUAUAGAGAUGGGAAAAAGGAUUUACACAUAGUCUUUAUAGAUUUGGAAAAAGGAUUUUAGAGAAAGGAGUACGAGUAGCAUAUAUCCAAGCUAUAAAGGAUAUGCAUGAAGGAGCAAAGACUGCCGUAAGAACUCAUGAAGGACAAACCGAAAGCUUUCCCAUAACUGUAGGAUUACAUCAAGGCUCAUCCUUAAGUCCUUACCUUUUUGCGUUGGUAAUGGAUGAGUUAACAGGACAUAUUCAAGAUGAUAUUCUUUGGUGUAUGCUUUUCGCAGACGAUAUAAUGUUGAUAGAUGAAACUCGGGAAGGGGUAAAUGCAAAGCUUAACCUUUGGAGAGAAGUGUUGGAAUCUAAAGGUCUUCGCCUAAGCCGAGCAAAGACAAAAUAUAUGGAGUGCAAGUUCAAUGCAAAUGGAGGCCAAAACGAGUUAGGGGUGAGGAUCGGAGAUCAAAAAAUACCAAAGAGCGACCGUUUUCGUUACCUAGGAUCUAUCUUGCAAAAGAACGGAGAAUUAGAUGGAGAUCUCAACCAUAGAAUACAAGCUGGAUGGAUGAAGUGGAAGAGUGCAUCCGGCGUGUUGUGUGACCGCCGUAUGCCACUGAAGCUCAAGGGAAAAUUUUAUAGGACGACAAUAAGGCCGGCGAUGCUGUAUGGCACAGAAUGUUGGGCGGUGAAGCAUUAACACGUACACAAAAUGGGUGUAGCGGAGAUGAGGAUGCUUCGUUGGAUCUGUGGGCACACGAGAAAUGAUAAGAUUAGGAAUGAGGAUAUCCGGGGUAAAGUAGGAGUAGCCGAAAUUGAAGGAAAGAUGAGAGAAAAUCGGUUACGAUGGUUUGGACAUGUGCAAAGAAGGCCUACUGACGCUCCGAUUAGAAGAUGCGACUAUGGGACAGAGGUUCAGGGCCGAAGGGGUAGAGGAAGACCUAGGAAAACUUUGGAAGAGACCCUAAGAAAAGACUUAGAGUACUUGGAUCUAACGGAGGACAUGACACAGGACAGAACACAAUGGCGUUCUAAGAUUCAUAUAGUCGAUCCCACUCAGUGACUUGGAUUUUCCAAGUCUCCAACCGAGAAGUUUUCCUCACUCGGGAAAUUAAGGGAACACUACCUCAACCUACAUGCUCCACUCACAAAGCUUCAACAUACAAGCUUCAACAAAAGAAAAUUCAAAUAACUUAGCGAAGAAGGCUUUGGUGUAUUUAACACAAUACGUUGAAAUGAAGGAAAACUUAUUUAUUGAUAGCCCUGAUAAGUUACAAAUAUGUACAUAUACAUGAGUCAAAAUAAACAAACAAGAGGGAGCCUUCACAAAGGUCGCUUAGGAGAAGUCUCAGCAGUCGGUAGAGCCCCAGAAAGAAAAGGCACCGGAGGGGGAUCAUUCGGAGCCUCAGUACUGGACAGAACCCUAGAAGGAGGAGGCAUCAGAGGUUGAUCACUUGGAGCUUCAUUACGCGGUACAGCCCCAGAAGACGAAGGCAAUAAAUGCCUUUGGAACAAACCCACAAAUCUCUGAUGAUCAAGUAAAACCUGACCAUCAGAUUCUUUCAUCUGGUCAAGCUUCCUCUUCAUGUUUGUAGCAUAGUCAUGUGCGAGCCGGUGCAACUAUUUAUUCUCAUGCUUGAGCCCUCUAAUCUCCUGUUUGAGACUCAUCACUUCAGCCGCCAAUGAUUCAACUUGGCGGGUUCGAGCAAAUAGGCGUUGGGCCAUAUUAGACACAGAACCUGCACACUGAACACUGAGAGCCAGAGAAUCCUUAACAGCCAACUCAUCAAACCGUUUGGAAAGUAGUCUGUUAUCUUUGGGAGUGAGAACGUUCCUGGCCACUAUCGCAGCGGCCAUAUCAUUCUUCAUCACGGAAUCCCCAACGGUAAGAGGACCAGUAGGGGAGAUGAAGGAUGGGCGCCAUAUGUUGUUUGGAGAAGGCGGGGCUGCCUCUUCAACAAGGUUCAAGUCAAAACGACGGUCGGAGGGGCCAGACAUUUUCAAAGGUGUUGAAGAGAGAAGAGGUCGGACAAAUCAAGAUCUUAGAAGUGCAAGAAUGAAGCUUCUACUGGUGAAGAUUCAAGUGUGCUUUGGAACUUAAUGCUAGCCUCUAUAAAAAUCUGCACUAGACGAAGCUUCAGAAAUCGAAGAGGUGCCUGCUCAGAAAUCGAAGAGGCAUUUGCUUUCUCAAAAGCUGGGCUGCUCAGAGACCACGAGGGUCGACCUCAGAAAUCGAAGAGACGUUUGCUUUCUCAAAAGCUGGGCUGCUCAAAGACCACGAAGGCCGAUCUCAGAAAUCGAAGAGGCUUGCUUUCUCAAAAGCUGGGCUGCUCAGAGACUACGAGGGCCGAUCUCAGAAAUCGAAGAGGCACAUACUUUUCCAGCCUUGUCAACACCUGUCACACGCACACUCAGCUUUGCGGAAAUUAUUGGCAUUCUGUCGAAGAUUUCUGAUGAAGUAGAAAGCACAUGAAUCGUACUGUUCAAUCACCCACUUCCCACACGCAACAGUAGCUCGAGGGUACCACAGAUAACUUUGCCAAAGUUAUCUGACAAAGUUGAGACACGUGAAGCUUACAGCUCCCACUACAUCGCUCUGGCCAAGAAGGGUAAAAGAAUAACAAAGAAACAACACUAACAAAGUUUAGACACAUAAAUUUUGAAGGUCUAGCUACCAUAUUAUUACCCACAAGGGUAAAGGAACAGUACCAUUGCUAGAUAAUUGGAAGGUCCCGGUGUGUCAACCUCUGUACUUCGUGGCACGAUAGACUAGCAAACAUGCAUAACCUUUACUCACAUUCGAGAAAACACUUCCAACAAGAUUGCUUGCUCCAAUAUCGAAGAGGCACCGCCUUCCGAAUCUCGAGAGCCAGACUCCCAACAUGAUUACUUUCUCAAAAAUCGAAGAGAGGGUAAAGGAACAGUACCACUGCUGGAUAAUUGGAAAGUCCCUGUGUAUCAACCUCUGUGCUUCGUGGCAAUGUAGACUAGCAAACAUGCCCAACCUUUACUCACAUUCGAGAAAACGCUCCCAACAAGAUUGCUUGCUCCAAAAUCGAAGAGGCACCGCCCUCCGAAUCUCGAGAGCCAGACUCCCAACAUGAUUACUUUCUCAAAAAUCGAAGAGACACCGCUAUCCGAAUCUCGAGAGCCAGACCCCCAGCAGGAUUGCUUUCUCAAAAAUCGAAGAGGCAUCAUUCUCCGAAUCUUGAGAGCCAGAUCCCUGACAGGAUUGCUUGUUCGAAAACCGAAGAAGCACCACUUUCCCAACUUCAAGAGCUGGAUCUCCUUAGAUAAAGCUUGUCUGUAAUCUUCACACGCAACAUCAGCUUUCCAGAUACCACAGACCACUUUUUCAAAGUGCUCUGACAGAGUUAAAACAUGUGAAGCUGGCAGCUCCCACUACCGUGCUAUGACCAAGCAGGGUAAAGGAAUAGCAUUAUUACUUGAUGUUAGGGAGACUCAUAUAUAUGUCGACCUCCAUCCCCAAUGGACAGGCAGACCUGCAAAAAUGCUCAACCCUUCCUCUUAUCUGAGAGGGCACUCCCAACAAAGCCUUUCGAAAUAUUCAGCUUUCUUUCUUCCCGAUAAUACCUCUGCAAACAAGCUAUACUAGAGCAAGAAUAUCUCAUAUCAUCAGGGUUAAAAGCAAGAGUAUCCCAUAUCAUGCUUUUUCCCUGUCUUUUCCUUUGACCUUGUUCUUACCUGCAAAACAAGGAGAAAGAGAGCAAUCAGUCAGCACUUGGAAUCAAGCUUCCAGCCAGGAACUGACUGCCUGGAACCCCUUACCUGAGUACUUACCUGGCAUUGCUCUCGAGUACUCAUCUUCAACAUCUUAUGCUUCCAGGGAAGAUACCGCAUCUGCUUGAGGAACAGAUAGGGCAAGUGAGAAGGAUACAAAGAAGCAUGUGGAGACAAGCGUAACAGCACACGUGCCAAUACAUCCACUACUCUGUCAAAAGCAAAAGUAUCCCAUAUCAGCAGGGUCGAACGUACUCUAGAUUUGAUGGACUUGUUUUGACCCUCAAAUUCUUCAGUCGGCCUUAUACUUUGGAGGAAACCAAAAAACCCUCCAGCCCAGUUCAAGAAUAAGCCUGUGGAAAGUUACUUCUUCAAAAGCAAAAGUAUCCCAUAUCAUCUCUUCUCAUUUUUCUUCUCUUUAUCCUUCAUGCUGCCUGCAAGAUAGGGAGAAUGUGAACAAUCAGCCGGAGCUCUGAUUGCUUACCUUGUCUGUCACCUCUUUCAGCAGAUCCCCUAGCUCGGCGACUUGGGGGACUCCUACUACAUGGUUUGUAUCGCGCUUGACCAAGCCUGAAAUUACAAGUAAGCUUCAAGUGAAAUUGAUACAUUACCUUGUGCAUCUCCACCAGUUAAAGAUACCACCCCUGGAUGGAGGAAGAGUACUUCCAGAGAAGAUGCCACAUCUACCUAUGAGACAGAUAAGGCAAGUCAAGACGAUACCACACUCCGGUACUUAGAAGUUUCGUGAUUACGAGAUCAUUCUCCCACAAUAUUUCCUAAUGUCAUUUGUACUAAAUCAUUCACUUGUACUCACUAAAGGAGAGUUUGAACCUAUGUACUUGUGUAAACCCUUCACAAUUAAUGAGAACUCAUCUAUUCAGUGGACGUAGCCAAUCUGGGUGAACCACGUACAUCUUGUGUUUGCUUUCCUAUCUCUAUCCAUUUAUAUACUUAUCCACACUAAUGACCGGAGCAAUCUAGCGAAGAUCACAAAAAGCGAUCGUUUUCGCUACCUAGGAUCUAUCUUGCAAGAGAACGGAGAAUUAGAUGGAGAUCUCAACCAUAGAAUACAAGCUGGAUGGAUGAAGUGUAAGAGUGCAUCCGGCGUGUUGUGUGACAGUCGUAGGCCACUGAAGUUCAAGUGAAAAUUUUAUAGGACGGCAAUAAGGCCAGCGAUGUUGUAUGGCACAGAAUGUUGGGCGGUGAAGCAUCAACACGUACACAAAAUGUGUAGCGGAGAUGAGGAUGCUUUGUGGGAUGUGUGGGCACACGAGAAAGGAUAAGAUUGGGAAUAAGGAUAUCCGAGGUAAAGUAGGAGUAGUCGAAAUUGAAGGAAAUAUGAGAGAAAAUCGGUUCCGGUGGUUUGGACAUGUGCAAAGAAGGCCUACUGACGCUCCGGUUCGAAAAUGUGACUACGGGACAGAGGUUCAGGGCCGAAGGGGUAGAGGAAGACCUAGGAAAACUUUGGAAGAGACCCUAAGAAAAGACUUGAGUACUUGGAUCUAACGGAGGACAUGACACAAAACCGAGCGCAAUGGCGUUCUAGGAUUCAUAUAGCCGACCCCACUUAGUGGGAAAAUGUUUUGUUGUUGUUGUUGUUGUUGUUGUAUUAGUAUGUUGAACAAAUUAGUUACAUUUCAUUAUACUAAAAAAUUUACAGAAUAUGAGAAAUAAAGAAUUUGUAUUGUUUAUAUAAAAAUAGAAUAACAAAGAACAUCAUUGACUACCAUUUUAUUCGGUAGUUUCCUCCAACUGCAAUUGUUGAGAUUGUAGGAGAUCUUCGAAUAAAGCCUUCAAUUCAACCAUCCGUACACAAACAUAAUAGACAAUGUUUUUUAGCGAAUUAUGGACAAAGCUUAAUAUUCAAAUGCAAUGAAAUGGAAAACACAAUCCAAUUCUAGGACGAAUUGAAUCCUUAUUAAUCCUUCCUGGUCUAGUACCUAAGAACCAAUGAAGUGGCAAUAUAUGGAUAUGCAUGCUAUAGGAAACCAUUCAUUUGUAGAUGGUAUUGUGUCACCAAUAUUGUAUUUAAAAAUCUACCCAAGAUAAAGAUGCAAUAUAUAGUUUGGUAAAAAAUCAAAACGAAGAGUUAACAAAGGAAAAGGAUUAAGACGUUGAAAAUACAAAACUGGAUUCUUUUAUUUGGUAAAGACGGUUCCCCCACUGGCUGUCCGAAAUCACAAACACUUUUUUACAUAGAAACUUUAUAAACUAAUAGAUUAAAAUAAGGGAGUUUUGACAAAACACUCCCGGUACUGUUCAUUUUUAACGAAAAACCACUUUUUUACCUUUAACUGGUACUAUUCACUAUACCUUCAUAAAGGGUUUUUCGUUAAAAGAGAAGUUUUUUUGGACUUUUUGUUAGUUUUCCUUUAAAUCUAAGUGUUAUAAAUGAAAAAUCCUGGGAUUGAUAGCAAUGGCAUCAACAGUGCCACCACAUCCCAAAUAAAUGAAUGAAAAUAUAGUGAUUAAUGUCCAACAAAGAAGCUCAAGCUUGAAAUAAACCAAGGCAUAAAAGCUUACCAAACUUUUCAAAUGGCUAAAUUGUUCAUUUAACUUAAUAACUUCUUCCUACAAUCCAUAAGUAAGACCAUUAGAUGCGGUAAAUAAAACAUCAUACUUCAUAUAUGGCAAUCUAGCAGAGAAACCAAUUGCAUUCAGAUGGAGCCUAAUUUGUGGAACUACAUUUAUAUGCACUGAAAUGCAUUAUCAUGUUGUCAUAUUUAAAACUGAGGUUAUGCAGUAUGCUAUCUUUAGCAUACACAAAAUUUUUGCACCUCAUUUUUGAAGUUCUGCACUUCAUAAUUUAUAUACUUUCAGUUUCCCUUCUAAUGAAGGUAUGGCUGCUUUCCAUUUGGAAUUUUCGCAAGACAACGUUAUGAUAUUCCUAAUUUAGAAUGCGUUUCCAUUCUAAUGAAUGCAAGCCCUAAAUCAUAAAUAUUGUAUAAUUAGAUCUCAAUUACUCUGAUGUGUUUGAGCACGUGGCAGGGCAUGAGAAUCAGAACCACUCCUUGUUGUUCUCUGCUUCGUGAUUUGGUCAUCAAACAAUACUUCAUUCCCUCCAUCCUUUAUCACGUCUUCUUGGUGAUCAUUUGUUCAUCUCCAAACUGUAUCCACAAAAAACUACAAAUUAAUCCCAAAAACAAUCAUACAAAAAAAUUGCGGAUUAGAUUUGAUUACGUACCAUUUUUCACCUUAAACAUAGACAUUUUAAACCAGAAACCAAAAUCAAACAAACAUAAAGAAAUACGACUGACAGAAUCACACUGUAAGACACCACCCCCUCGCUUCCACGGUUCCACCCACAACACCAAAAACAACAAUAACAAUAAUAACAAUGUACACUCAGACAAAACAAAAAUGCACCACAGCCCUCCAGUGCUAUAACAGCACUUCUAGGACAACUUUGAUAUCUAUGGACUGUUCCCUUCUCCAUGUUACAACGAUAGUAUUAGAGCUCUUACAACAUCACAGAUGCAUGACCAAGAGUGUAUUCGACAACCUUUUCUCUGAUCCUUUUCAUCAGUUGGUCCUAAAGAUUCUAUUCUUCUAAAUUCAUCUUCUUUUUGGGUAUCCACAGACAUUUAUCACUUCAUAUGUCGAACACAAAACACCUAACAUUUUGGGUGACAAAUUAGAAGCAACUAAUCGGAAUCUGGGUACUGAGAAUUAAAUUACUCUUUGUUCUUAUAGUCCUGAUGGAAAUUACUCAUUGAUUCAAAAUUAAUCAAACUAAAAUGCAAGAAAAGCAAAAUCAACAACGCAUAUCAGAAUAAUAUGAAAAGAUCCCAACAAACCAACCAAACAAUUAACAUUAAAAAAAAAUUGCAAACUUGGAGGGAAAGAAGCACCAGAAAAAAUAUACACAUCCAAUGCUUUUAAUCCAAAGCUAGAAGUAUGAAUAACUGAGUAAGUUAAUGAAGGCAAAGCAGAGGGUAGGAAGCAGAACAUACCAAGAGACCAAUAGGGCAUCCGAGCCGGUCUGCCGAUGAACGCCGUGUCCUGGUCGACAACGCCCAACGGCGUCGGCCUGGCAAUGAAGUAAAAGUCGAAAACACCCCCAAUGACCUUGUAGGUGAGAGAAGUCCCUCUGUAGAACACAUCCAUGCCAUUACUGUUGAGCAGCAGAAAAGAGUGCGCGUAAGCCUCGUUGCCCACAUUCUGAAGAUCCAUGUAAACCCGGGUGGGACCCGUACAAAUCAGUGUUGAGAUUGAUCGCCGAGACUUCAGUAGUGACGAGGGUGUAUGGAUCGUUCGGGUAGAGCUUGAUCCCGUGUGGCUGAGUGUUCUCUCCGAGGCCGUACAGGGAGGCGUCUUUCGGCGGUCGGGUGGAUAUCUCGAGGUACUGGUCCUUAAACACCAGUUCGCCAUAUGGGUCUUUGGAUUCGGAGCUCGAAUUGAAGAGGACCUGCCCGUCGGACUUCCUCUUGAAGGUGACCCAAAUGAGUCGGAGAUGUGGCUAAGAAUGAGCUUAGAGCCGGAGUACACUGAGACUUCGAUGGGGUUCUUCGUCUUCGCCUGAAACACGUUUUGGUUUCAAUUGAAAAUGCCAGAGCCUUGCAUGCGAGGAAGAUGACGAUAGGAUUCCAGAGAUAGAGAAAAAAGGAGUAAGACGACGGAGGCGAGAGAAGGGAGACGGCGGCAAGAGGAGGAUAGGACGGAGGCGAGACCGUCUGUAUCGUGGGUCUGUGAGACGUACAAGGCAAGGAGGGUUUGAGAAGGAAACGGAAAAGGCCUGCUUUACCAUUGUUAUUCCCUUCCCGCGAUCAUCAACGCGUGCGCAACAAGAUCAGCGGCAGAGAGAGCAUGUGGCAAAUUUGUAAAUAAAUUGAAAUUCAUCCCAAAACACUGUUUAUUUGAUUUAUUUGAAUAGUGCAAUUGGAAUCCCUUCUUUAGACUAAAGUAAUUUUUAAGUAGAAUUCCAACCGAGCCGUUAGAUUUUAUGCAAGCCAAAACCUUACCAUUAUUCAUACUUGUCAGAAGGCCUCAGAAGUCUCCACUAAAAUGCUUCCCUAAGCACGAGUACAUAAUGAUGCCACUGACAACUAGCUCGUCGAUCACCUCAGCGCUGCGGUUAAUUGCUUCUGCACAAGGCCUUGAUCACGAAUCAAAGAAUCAUGAGACGGGUAGUGUAGCAUAUCGAUCAAGGCCUUGUGGUACUGUCUGGUAGAUAUUAAUAACUUUGAGUAUAUGUUCACAUAGGUUGCCCAUUUCUGCCCAAUGGCAGUUGCAAAUACCAAACUCGUCAAUAACUUUUGCACAUGUACCGUCUAUGACAAUAUUGCAGUUAAGAAUCUUCAAAGCUUUACGCCAAGAUGUUAAACCACUCGCCCACUCAUCUUUCCAAUAUUGUGCAAAAUCAUCCUUCUCAGAAUAUUCAUCAAGCCAGAAGAAGGAAUGUACUUUUGUACCCAGCUUAUCAACCAACCAAUCAACUCGUUUGUACACUCUAGGUUUCUUCUCGUUCAAUAACCUAAGCUUUAGUGGCUGUGCUAGAACUCCAUUGCCGCAGAGGUUUCCUGGCUAGCAAGAGGAAGAGUUUGUAGUGCAGAUACCCACAUCCCUGAGUCAAAAGACAUUUUUCUUGUACGAGUUAUUCAAGAAUAAGGAUCCUGUUUAAAGAGAAGGGGGUGAAGGAAUUAAACGACACACUUAUUACUUCGUAUCAUAAGGCAAAAUAUACCUCUACUAAAGAUGAUAGUAAUCCAUAAAAUCUUAUUCAUCAAGAAAAUCUUCUAUGAAGUCCUCAGACAAACGCUCGGCUCCUCGUUGUUGACAGAUGUUAUCCACUGCCUAACGAAGCCUUCUUGACAUUGUAGUUCGCAUCUUAUUGUCCACACAUUUCUUUACUAAGUUUUUAUGCCAUGCAUGAGGAACCCGCCAAAAGCUUAUCAACACUGAACACUGAAAUACAUCCUUGAGUAUAACGACAUAAAACUGUCAGUAUCAAGUUUGGGCGAGGACUGAGCAACCAACCGGAUGGUGAGCACAUCAGCUAGAGGAUCAUCCACUAUGAAACCACCCAACUUCCAAAUAGGAUUUUUCGUUUGAACUCUAUUGUAAAGAGCUCUCAUCCAUUUAUGGGCAUUGGAACUUCCAAACUUUGGAGCCACUAUCCACGCCACCGGGAUAGUAAUAAUGUUGCAACAUGAACAUAUUCGGUUUCUCAUUAUUAUUAACAAUUGUAGUUAUAAUAAAAGGUUAAACAAACUAAACGGACCUUCAAUUUGGUUGUUUCGAACCUUGAAUCAGAAAGCUAUAAGGUUGUGAUUGUUGAAGCAAAUCAUCUGUUGCAACUGCCACUCUGUUUGAAUGCCCAAAGUGAAAGGGUCCACAUCAGAGAAAUCCUAAUAGAAGAAAACAUGACUCUGAUGGUUUUCUAGCCACAUGCUAAUGCUAACCGCAUCAUCAGCAUCCAAUUCAUAUAUAGAGCGUCGAAUGACCCUGCCUCCGAACAUACCUAUGGGUUAAAAGGUCAUCACGAUUAGAUGGACCACCCUGUUUCUCUACAGAUUCAUUGUGUCUCUGCAUUAUAGUCUUCACAAAGACCCCUGCAUAUAACAAAGAUUGCACAUGAAGAAGCAGAUCUUCAGAGAUACAAGGGGCAAAUAUAGCACGUGUUCCAGCAGCCAUCUUAUCUUGUGGACCAUGGCAUGGCGCUCCUUUCCUAUCUACAUGCUUAUCCUGAUUAUAUAUGAUAAGCGCCACUGAAGAAUACCAAGUAUACCAUCAACCUUUGGUUUGUUAGGCGUCUAUGGCUGCCGCCGUCGCCUCGCUUCAACAUGAAAUCUUGUUGGACAUUCUUUAUUAGAGCAUUCACCCCUUAGAAAAUCGUCAACUCUAGGAAACGAAAUUAUAGCAACUUCAUCUUUCUUGUCCCGCCAACCUUCCACCUUUGACCACACAAGAUCAGAAGAAGAAAACUCCAAUGCAGGUGGAUUUUCUUUGCAACUGGCUUCGUAAAGUCACAUGUUAAUAACAGUAACAGAGGUCCUUUUUACUCUACGCAAUACAAAAGAAAGUCAAAAACUUCAUAUCUGAUAACAAGAAAACAAACAAACAAAAAAGAAGAAACAAUAUAAUUCUUGCAAUACAUUUCCUUCCCAACAAGAGAAGUUCAAAACUUUAGUAAACAAUUAAACUGAUUUCGUCUAUUUUCAUAAAUUCUCAGAAAUUAACAGUCGAAAAACACAAAUUAAAGGGAAAAAAAGUGAAAUUCUUUGGGUUUUCAAAUAGAGAAAUUAUAUUCACACACCUAAAAUUACUUCUCACACACAUUUUUAUUUUAUUUUUUAUUUUCUACACACUACUAACACUUGAUAGAAAAAGAUUAAAAAAUUAAAAGGAUGUGAGAGAAGUAAUUUAGGAUGUGUGAAUAUUAUCUCCCUUUCAGAUAAGUGAAGUCACUAGCUUCAGAGUCACAGAUUGAGCUAUAUCGAUAUGUAUAGUAUCAGGCCAUUUAUGCAAAAAGAUCCCCAUUUUUUCAAAAAAAUGGGGAUUAGGUGUGGGUUCACUCCACAUCGAACUUUAAUGAUCUGAAUUGUCUAUUUUGUAUAGAACCGGAUCCCCUGCAGAUCCCUAAAAACUAAGCCUCCUGAGCAAAGAAUUAGGACCGUUGAAAUUUGAUCAAACUACUACAAACAGGGCCCCUCUAAAAGUUAUAAUAAUUGUAGCCAUUGGAUUAAAUUUCAACGGUCCAAAUUCAUUGCUCAGGGGGCUCAGUUUUUGGGGAUCGGAUUCCAAUUUGUAAGUCUCAUUUCAUAGAUUAUUCUUACAAAAAUUCAAUUUAAUCCAAAAUCAUUUACCUAUUUUGUAAGUCUCAUUCCAUAAAUGUCAUUAUAUACAUCAUUUCAUGUGCUACCACAUUAUUUGGUUCAGUAGCCACUUUACCCUUGGUUCUCUCAGCAGCUACAUCUCCAUUCCCACAGUUAUUCACAUUUGAAGAUAAUACUUCCUCAUUUCCUAAUUCUUGAUCUCGAUUGGUAAAAGAUGCACAUCCAUUGUGGUAUCGUUACUUUCCAAAUUAGCUGGUCCACUUAAGGAUGCGUUUGUUGCACCGAAAUGUCUCAAACUGGACUAAUUUCAAGAACUAAGCUGAUCUGAUUUAGACUAAACUAAACUAGAUUAAAGCAUUUGGUGCAGUAUCAGACUAAGAAGCAGGAUAAAAAUUAAUUUUCCUUUUUUUUUUCCAAAAACAAAGAACUCUAUCUGUUUCUCCAUUUUCUUUGGUCAAACUAUCUCUUCUCAUUUUUCUCCAUCUCUUCCAUUUUCCUUUCCUGUCCAACUCGUUUUUCCUUUUCUUCUCGAUCACAAAUAUACACAGUUCACAUGCAAACCAAUUUUCCAUCAGACCAAACAAAACCCAUCACCUGCCUCAUCAAUCCAACAAAAUUCCCAAACUUUCCCACCCUAAAAUUUGACAAUUCCAUUCAGAUUAAACAAAAGUUAGAGCUGAAAAACUAAGGAAAGAAAAAAAAAAGAGAAAGGGGAGGGAGAGUAAACAUAUCACCAAUAGUAGGAGGCGGCUACGCCGUAUAGCUUGAGGACGAGCAGUAGCGUAAAGGAGAAGAGGAGGCUGUGGGCCGCCAAGGCCUGCACGGACUUCAACACUCUCCGCUAGUUCAUCAUCACAGUAAAACAAUGUCGUCCGCUGCGAAAGUCGAGACUUCAGAUUGUGAGAAAUCUCAGGAGGAGGUUGCUGUUUCAGUAUGUGCCAUUGAAACGAAAGAGGCAAGAAAUAUUCUUUCUCUCCUUCUUCUUUUUCGUCGUUCGGGUUGACCCAGAUGGCAAAAAAUCCCAAAUCACCGACCUAGAUGCCAAAAGGGCACUGGGUUUGCAGGACGAUGGAGAUCGGCGACAACCGUUUCUGGUUUGGUCAUUGGAGAAAGGGGGUUGAUGCUGCUCAUGUAGGUUUGUAGGACGCUGCUCGCAUACGAGGGAGACGGGACUAGCAAUUCCGUUGUUUUUGGGGGCUUGCUAAGACCUCCAAGUGAGGGAUUUAGUCGAGGCGAGUCCUUCUUUGUCUCAUUUAACUUAGUCCCGCCGGUGAACAAACACAGAUUGCACUAACUUUUAACUUAAGCCAGUCCAGUGAGAGCUAAAGAAGGGAAACAAGCACCCUCUAAUUGUUUCUAUACAGAGACUGCUAAAGAAACAGCAUGAUCAAAAUCAAAGAAUCAUGAGGCGGCCCCAGCAAGCCCCUCAGCGGCUCUACAUCCCUCCGUCCCUCCAUCGUCGCACGGCGGAAACAGCCACGACAACUACGAAGACACCGACCUCGACAACAUCGAUUACGACGACAACGAUGGUUCCAAGGACCCCGGGAGUGACGACAACAACCACGGCAACGCUGGCAGCAGUGAUGAGGAAGUCGAUCCUCUGGAUGAUUUCAUAGAGGGGAUUCAUGCGGAGGUGACGUCAGCUAGGCCGCCGAGCUGAAAGUGAAGGCCGAGAAGUACAGGGAUGAUGAGGAGGAGGAUCAUAUGGAUAGGUUUUUUAGGGCUAAAAAGGAUGUGGUGCUCACACUGGCAUCGGGUGCUUUACACGCCGGAUAUGACUCCGAUGAGGAGGUAUAUGCGACCGCCAAGGCCGUCGAUGCCGGGUUGUUGGAGUACGAUUCAGAUGAUAAUCCCAUUGUUCUGGACAAGAGGAAGAUCGAACCGAUUCCAGCUCUCGAUCAUAGUUCAAUCGACUACGAGCCGUUUAAUAAGGAUUUUUACGAGGAGAAAUAGUCGAUUUCAGGUAAAUUCCAACCGAAUUGAGAAUUUUGUUCCUUUCUUUUUUGUUUUCCAUUCACAUUUAAUUUUUUUUUUAUGAAUUUAGUCGAAAUGCGUAGCAAAGUAUAUAAAUUUGAGUGAGAGAGAAUAUUGACCGGCAGAAGUUCUCAAGAAGACAAUGGAAGACUAGAGUUAACUGGUGUUUUGGUUUCCUUGUUUAGGGAUAAGUGAGGAGGAUGUUUUUUAGUACAAGAAGAGCUUGGCCAUCCGUACGUCGGGUUUUGAUAUACCGAGGCCAGUUAAGACAUUUGAAGAUUGUGGAUUUUCUUCACAACUCAUGGCUGCCAUAAAAAAACAAGACUACCAAAAGCCGACACCAAUACAAUGCGCAGCUCUACCCAUAGUUCUUUCCGGGAGAGAUAUAAUUGGUAUUGCGAAAACUGGUUCUGGAAAGACUGCCACUUUUGUCAUUCCAAUGAUUGUCCACAUUAUGGAUCAGCCAGACCUUCAAAAAGAAAAAGGUCCAAUUGGAGCGAUAUGUGCUUCUACUAGAGAGCUGGUGCACCAAAUAUACUUAAGAGUCCAAAAAAUUUGUGAAAUCACAUGGGAUACGUGUCUCUGCUGUAUAUGGUGGAAUGUCUAAGCUUGAUCAGUUCAAAGAACUUAAGGUAGGAUGUGAAAUAGUUGUUGCUACUCCUGGGAAAUUAAUCGACAUGCUUAAAAUGAAGGCACUGACAAUGCUUAGGGCAACUUACCUAGUACUUGAUGAGGCUGAUCGGAUGUUUGACCUUGGGUUUGAGCCUCAAAUUAGAUCUAUUGUUGGUCAGAUUCGGCCAGACCAACAGACAUUGCUCUUUUCUGCAACAAUGCCCCGUAAAGUUGAAAAAUUGGCUAGGGAGAUUCUCUCAGAUCCUAUAAGAGUUACAGUGGGUGAGGUGGGAAUGGCCAAUGAGGAUAUCACUCAGGUUGUUCAUGUAAUUCCUUCUGAUGAUGAGAAGCUGCCCUGGCUUAUUGAGAAGUUACCUCGAAUGAUUGAUGAGGGUGAUGUUUUAGUAUUUGUUUCAAAAAAAGGCUGCAGUGGAUGAGAUCGAGUCACAGCUUGCUCAGAAAGGUUUUAAAGUCACAGCUCUGCAUGGUGACAAGGACCAGGCAUCUCGGAUGGAUAUUUUGCAAAAAUUUAAAUCUGGCAUUUACCAUGUUCUUGUUGCAACUGAUGUUGCUGCUCGUGGUCUUGACAUCAAGUCAAUUAAGUCGAUUGUGAACUUUGAUAUUGCAAAAGACAUGGACAUGCACGUCCAUCGAAUUGGUAGAACAGGUCGGGCUGGUGAUAAGGAUGGCAUUGCAUACACUCUUAUUACACAGAAAGAGGCACGUUUUGCUGGUGAGUUGGUUAAUAGCUUGGUUGUUGCUGGUCAGAUUGUCUCCACGGAGCUCAUGGACCUUGCGAUGAAGGUAAUUUUGCAGUACUAUUAACAAUUUUUUUUUUUUGUGGUUUAUAUAGCGAGUUUAUACAUGCAUCCAACUACCUGCCUUUUUGUUUUAGAGAUGGUGGUUAUAACCAUAGUUUGUAAUCCUAUAAUGCAUUUAAGCGAAUACAAGUUAUUAAUAUGUUCUCUGGUAAAACGUGCUCUUUUAAUGCAAUCUGGAUUCUGGACAAUUACACCUACUGGUUUUUGUCUCACAAAUUAACUACACUCUACUAUAUAGGUGCAUAGGUUGCUUCUGAUUUAGAGUGCGCUUUCGAGAGAGAUGGAUUUGAUGACCAUUUGGUUUUCAAGGCCUUAUUUUGGAAAGCUUCAGUAUGUCCUUGCAAUUACAGGGAUCUUGAGAUCGUUGACUUCAUAACGUCAAGAUAGUAAAUUUCAGGAAACGUGCUUAGUUUAGAGAGAGAGUAAUUAGACAGUAUUUAGUAGUCCCAUCUUUACUUCAUACCAUGCUCUGCAUAGAGAAGGGGUUGUUGGGGGUGUAUGUUGGCUUGUGGGGCUGUGGAUUGAAGCAUAGGGAUGAAUUGAAGAUAAAGCUCAGUCUGGGCCCUCUGGGGACUUAUUAACUUUUGUGUAUUAUUAAGUACUUGCUUGCAUUAUACCAAUACAUCGGUUGAGGCCAACCAACAUUUAAGAACUAAGAGAAAAAUCGCAUUUUAAGUACUAAAUCUUAAUUACCACAUGGACCCUUAGUAAAUUGUCACUUAUUUUUCCUUGUGCCAAUAUAUCUCAUAGACAUAAAUGCACAACUUAUCAUGAUAGGUGGCUGCACCUGCAUUAGUUUUAGAAGUUUUACACUAUGAGAGCCACUCAUGCAUCAUUUAUUCAGUCUUGUGACUUUUAAUUCUUGCCUUGCUGCUUGUAGCUUUAUAUUUUAUAUCCAUCAUUACACUGGUUUCCAUCUCCUACAUGGAUGUGCAGUUAUUUUGGGUGCACCUCGUCUGUGGAACUUUUGUUGCUUUCCCUAACUAUGUUUCUUGUUUGAUAGCUUUAGAUGUUAGCGUGAGACGUUAGAUUUCAGAUCUUACAUUCUCUAUUUUAAUGGGAUUUACCUUGUUUAUUAUCAGGAUGGUAGAUUUAGGUCAAAACGCGAUUCAAGAAAAGGAGGUAUAAACUUUAAUCAUAUUAAAAUUUCAAUUUUCUUAAGAUUCUUUUGCAAUUUCAUAUUAAAUUAGCCUUUUUCUAUAAUUCAAAUGAUGAUAUUAUAUGGAUUUUGCAGGUGGAAAGAAAGGUAGAGGGAGGGGCGGCGGUGGUCGAGGUGUGCGUGGGGUGGAUUUUGGUCUGGGUAUUGGAUAUAAUACGGAGUCCAAUAGUUCUUCAUCGAAUACUAUUCCUAGUCGAUCUGCUGCAGUAACUCCUCAGAGGACAGGAAUGAUGUCUCAGUUCAAGACUAAAUUUGUUGCCGCUUCAUCUAACUCUCCAAGUCAAGGUUUAGCUAACAACUUUAGUGUGCCCAACAGACCGGCAUUACGAGGAUUUGUAUCCGGUGGUUCAAUAGGUGGUGAUGUAUAUAUAACUCAGGCAACCAGUACAAUUACUCCUACUCCUGCUCCAACAUCAAUGGUAAAUAAAACUGCUACUCCGAACACUGGAGAAAAUUCAAGUCAGAAACCCUCCGAAAGGUUAAUUAAAAUGAUGCUUGGUUAGAAUUUUUGAUGUCUUUACAUAUUUGAUUGGUGUUGAGCAGUUUCAUUUGUGUCGAUUGCAGUUCUAGAGAUAAACCCAGAGAAAGGCGGAGGCGCUCCGGUUGGGACUGUUAACCGUACAGUUGAACUACACCACUUUCGCAUCAUGAAUGACAAGUUUUACCUUUGUUGUAGGUCAAGUCCUGAUAUGCCUGUAUUAUUGUUGAUCUUUCUCACUUUCUUUGUCGCUCUGUUUAUAAGUUAAAAAGAAACAGAAGAUUUUGUAAACUCAGAUCGACUUGUUGCACAAAUAGCGGAUGAUUUAAAAGAUAGACUGUUCAGAUCAUUAAAAUACAUUAUGAAGUAGAUUCUACAAAAAGUUGUGCCAUGUAAAAAAAAUGUGGUGUUUCACAUGUGCUCCGUAUGUUAUUUAUAUUAAUCAUUCUGAAUAACAUCAUAACUCAACGAUUGGUAUAUAAUACAAUAAGGCCUCGUUUGAUGUCAAUGAUUUGAUUGGUUUUGAUUAGAUUAGAUUGGCUUAGUCUGGAGAAUUCACUAGAUUCAGUGAAUGUUGAAUGAAAAUAUGGAUUGCAUAUUUUGUUCAAGUGAAGAUGGAAGAGAAAAAGAAUAAGACUAGUAUAACAAAUCAAAUAUUUACGGAGCAUGCAUAGGUUUUUAAUUACAACUAUUCGUCAAUUGAUACUUCUAAUUUUUGGUUUUAAAUGCUAUUAUCUCUUAAAUAAAAUAAUUAUGUUGUUUUAGUCUCCUCAUCGUAUUGUACGUGUCGAAUUCGUGUGAAGUCUGGUGGGACAAGAGAGAGAUAAGGAGGUUGACUUUGAUCAAUUGAUCUCCUUUCCAUAACCAUUUUUCUUUACCUUCAUCCCCUUACACAAAGUCCGUUCUUAAGAUCUCGAGUUCUCUCUCAAUGGCUGCUAAAAGUUCCCGAGAUUCUUCUUCGUCCUCUUACCGGUGUUCCUAUCAUGCCUUCCUGAGUUUCAGGGGCCAGGACACGCGCAGGGGCUUACUGAUCACCUCUAUAGAGCUUUGGAGAUAGCAGGAAUCCACACGUUUAGAGACGAUGAUGAAAUCAAGAGAGGGGAGAAUAUUGAGUCGGAGUUAGAGAAGGCGAUACAGGAGUCACAAGUAUCGAUGUCUUCUCCAAGGACUACGCUUCCUCAAGGUGGUGUUUGAACGAACUUCUGAAGAUCGUGGAACGUAGAAAUACUGAUCAUAGACAUGUGGUUCUGCCAGUUUUCUAUGAGGUGGAUCCAUCCGAUGUCAGGAAGCAGAGUGGUCCUUUUGCUGAAGCAUUUGCCAGACAUGAGGAACGAUUCAGUACGGAGAUGGACAAGGUGGAGCAGUGGAGAAGAGCUCUUGGAGAUGUUGCAUCUUUGGGAGGAAUGGUUUUAGGAGAUCGGUAAUUUCUAUUCUCAAUAUAUUCUUGAGCUUAUUGAAAGUGUUUUAAAUUAAGUAAAAUUGUAGAUAUGUUCCUAUGUAUACAGCAAUUUGUACGAUGAGCAAUCAUCUCCGUACGACAUAUCAUUUACUACAACUUCAUGUAAAAGAAAAUAACUUAUUUCUGCUUCAUGUAUUUUGAUUCAAAUGAAUUACAGGUAUGAGGGGCAGUUCAUCCAAGAAAUUGUUGAAGAGAUUAGAAAUAAAGUGGGUCACGCAGCUUUAGACGUCGCUCCCUUUGCAGUUGGAAUGGAUAAUCGUGUGCAAGACCUAAACAUGUGGCUACAAGAUGGAUCCAAUGAUGUUGGUGUAGCUGUCAUCUGUGGGAUGGGUGGAAUUGGCAAGAGCACCAUCGCGAAAGCCGCGUAUAACCGCAACUUUGAUAGAUUUCAAGGUAGCAGCUUUCUUGCAGAUAUACGAGAAUCUGCAGAACAACCCAAUGGUUUUGCUUGCUUGCAAAGAAAACUUCUUUCAGAUAUCCAAAAGGGGAAAGCAAAGAAAGUAUACAAUAUGGAUGAAGGAACAAUCAGGAUCAAACAAGCCGUUGGCAAUAAAAAAGUUCUUAUUGUUCUUGAUGAUGUGAGCAACCGGGAUCAACUCAAUGCAAUUCUUGGAAUGCGAGAGUGGCUUCAUCCAGGAAGUAAAAUUAUCAUAACAACUAGACAUGAGCAUUUGUUAAAUGCUCAUAAAGUUUUUGAAAAGUUUAUGGUUCAAGGACUGGAUGAGGAUGAAUCACUAGAGCUUUUCUGUUGGCAUGCCUUCAGACAAUCCCAUCCAGAAGAAGGUUACAUGAAGCUUUCAAGACAUGUGGUCCAGCACUGUGGAGGGCUUCCAUUAGCUCUUCAAGUUCUGGGAUCUUCUCUAUCCGGAAAAUGUGUAGAAGUGUGGCAAAGUGCAUUGCAGAAGUUAGACGUGAUCCCUAAUGACAAAAUUCAAAAAGUUCUGAGGAUAAGUUUUGAUUCUUUACAAGAUGAUCAUGACAAAAAUUUAUUCCUUCACAUAGCCAGUUUCUUCACAGGAAAGAGGAUGGAUUAUACAAGUAGAAUAUUGGACAGCUUAGAGUUUUACACAAGGAUUGGGAUUGAAAAUCUAGUUGACAGAUGCCUAGUGAAAAUUCAAUGGAACAGGUUGGUCAUGCAUCAAUUGGUGAGAAAAAUGGCAAUGGAAAUUAUUCGUGAAGAAUCACCUGAUGACCCUGGAAAACGUAGUAGAGUGUUGCAGAAAGAUGCCUCUAAUAUUUUGAGAAAAUUAAGUGUAAGAACUAUGUUUUUCAUAUGUAUGUAUUUUUCGUUAUGAUUUGUAUGUGCAGUACUAGUAAUAUACUUACCCAAUUCUCUGAUUUGUUAGCAGGGUACGGAAAAUAUUAAGGGCCUCAUGCUCAACCUUGCUAGCAAAAGAACGUUUGUUCGAAGUGAUAAAAAACGAUGCCAUGUUGAAGAUUAUGAUGGAAAUUGUUCAAGACGACGUCGGCUUGGUUUCUUCUCUUGGAAGCCAAUUAGCUUUUCCUCCACAAACUCAGCUUCUGCAUCAAAUGAGAUAGAUUUCAAAUCUGAGGCAUUUAGAAGGAUGCAGAAUCUUGAAAUUCUCAUUCUCAACAACGUCAACAUCAGGGGAAGCUACGAAGAAUUUUCAAAAAAUUUAGUAUGUUUAUCUUGGCGGGGAUUCCACUUAAAAUCAAUACCAGAAAAUUUUUGUUUGGAAAACCUGGUUGUUCUAGACAUGCGAAAUAGUAGCCUACAACAUGUUUGGAAUGGGACCAGGGUAUGUAACUCUCUCUCUCUCUCUCUCACAAACACACACAAAUUAAUAGGGGCCAUUAUAUCGUCUUAGAAGCUAAUUCAUUUGUAUUAUUAUUGACACAGGUUAUUCCGAGGCUGAAGAUUCUUAAUUUCAGUCAUUCGCAUGGCCUUAGGACAAUCCCCGACUUCUCAGGACUCUAUAACCUUGAGAGGUUGAUUCUUAAACAUUGCUUAAAUUUGGUUGAGGUUCAUGAGUCCAUCGGACACCUAGAAAAACUUCUUGUUUUGAAUCUAAAAGGCUGCAAAAAUCUCAUGAAGCUUCCAAUAUUGAGAUCUAUUCAGGAUCUUAUUCUUUCUGGUUGCUCAAAGCUUGAAAUGAAGAAACUCAAUCUGGUAUCAUCUAAAUCAUGGUAUUCAGUCUGGUCGUGGGUGUCGCCAAGAAAAAAUACUAAAUUAAGCAGUUUCUCAUUGGCAAGUUUACCACGUUCUCUGACAAGUUUAAGUCUGGAUUGCUGCAAUAUAUCAGAGAUUCCAAGUGCCCUAACUAUGCUGUCCUCGUUAGAGUACUUGAAUCUGGAUGGUAAUCCGAUUACAAGCCUACCAGAAAGCAUGAACUAUCUUGUUAAGCUCCGGACUCUUAAAGGAUCUGAAUGCAGAAACCUCACAACACUUCCAGAGCUCCCACGUUCUUUGACGAGUUUAACGCUGGUUCGCUGCAAUAUAUCAGAGAUUCCAAGUUCCCUAACUAUGCUGUCCGCGUUAAAGUACUUGAAUCUGCAUGGUAGUCCGAUUACAAGCCUACCAGAAAGCAUGAACAAUCUUGUUAAGCUCCAGACUCUUAGAGUAUCUGGUUGCAGAAACCUCACAAUGCUUCCAGAGCUCCCACGUUCUUUGACAAGUUUAAAUCUGGCUUGCUGCAAUAUAUCAGAGAUUCCAAGUGCCCUAACUAUGCUGUCCUCAUUAAAGUACUUGGAUCUUGAUGGUAAUCCGAUUACAAGCCUACCAGAAAGCAUGAACAAUCUUGUUAACCUCCAGACUCUUGAUGUAACUGGUUGCAGAAACCUCACAAUGCUUCCAGAGCUCCCACGUAGUUUGGAACAAUUGCAUGAUAGAGGUUGCGCAUCAUUGAAAAGAAUAACAAAUUAACCGAAGUUGGCCAUGUCACCGGACUUAGAUUACUGGUUUUCUUGCAUAGUAAUGGACCCAAGGCUAUGGUAUUGUGGGAAACUUGUUGAUUUUAGAAGCUUGUUGGAUACACUAGCAUUGGUCUCAUAUCUCUCAGAUCUAUUCGAUUUGGAACCCAAAGGUGGCAUUGAGGUCCAAGGGAACUAUUGUGAGAGUUUGGGCGUCAAGGUUCUCUCUCUCUCUCUCUCUCUCUCUCUUAUGUACAGGUGCUUAUAAUAUGGUGAAUAAGAUCUCUAUGGCGUAAACGAUUAGAUUGUAAUGACAACAUCACCAUGGAACUGCAGGGAACUUUUGACUGCUGCAUAUUGAGCAUAUUUGUUCAGGGGAGCAAGAUUCCAGAUCGGUUCAAUUACAGGAGCAUGGGUAACACUGUGUUCUCUAUUAUUGUUCCUUCACAUCUUAAUCUCAAGAUCGUAGGUUUAAACGCAUGUAUAUUAUAUGCACAGCAGUCGGAUCGGAGCCUUGAGGUUGCACGUGGCCAUGAUCACCGUUCGCUUGAACUUAGGAAUGAGACAAAGGGCCGUAAGUGGAACUUAAGAAUGCGGAAUGAGGUUGAAUGGAACUUAAGAAUGCCGUUGGAUCAUGGGGAACAAUGAGUUGGAAUGCGGGGAAAGAGUGUGUCUUGCAAUCAAAGAGGACAAUGGUUUCCUCACAAAGGAGAUUGGAGUCCAGUUUGUGUACAAGCGGCAAAAUAAGGAUAGGGAGGAUGUGCCAUCAAGUAGUGAAGAUACAACGAUCCAACGAGAAAGAUCUCCUUGGGAGUAGACCCAAAGUUUCCUUGAAACCACAAGACCCCGUGUUCCGGGGGGUGUAGAGACGGGGAUUCAAUGCAUCCAUAGCUGCGAUAAGAAAGUAAUUUCAACUGUCAUGUGUGCGGCUGAAUACUAUUUCUGUAACAGUGACAGGAUCGAGAGGCUCUACCGCAGUGGGUCGUAGGCUUUCGGACUUUUAGCCAAAAUAACCCAGUUUAAUUGAUGUUGGUGAUGCCCAAAUCACUAGAUUCAGAUGUGUAUUGGUUGUUAAGCUUUCGUUUCUAUCUAUUUUCUGUUUCCUCCUAAAAAAUUGUUUUCAAGAAUUUAAUAAAAUUCCAUACCAAACAAGUUCUUGCCUAGAUAAGAGUAUGAACUAGCAAAAAUGCCCGUGCUGCGCUGCGUGGUUGUGUGACACGCAUUUGGUAAGCUUCGGGGGAGAUAAGAGUAAUGGUAGAACUUAAUGAAACUUGGUUGAUUAGAUUUUUUUUUUUUUUUUUUUUUUGUUCAUAGUAACGGGCAUUGUGCAGGUAAGUCAUUUUCUUCAGAGAAUUGGGGAACAGGUUCAUGGUCUUCUUUACACAAAUCUAUGUUUAGUUUACCACAUAGAUUAGUGGCAACGAUCACACGACCAUCGCCAACUACCGCUACUUCGAAAUCAAAAAACCGCAAACUAAGGUUAAGUGUUGGUAAAGAUGAAAGGUUAUAUGUAUUAUGUGACUAAUGACUGAUGUUGCCGAGACACGAAAAACAUGAAGCUUCCUGGAACUAUUUGGUUUAGUGAAAAGUAAAUUUCGAACAUUGUUUCGUGGUGUUACGCAUGCCAACCACAUACUCUGCGGGUGCUCACAAGGAUUCGACAUCUUCUUCCUGAUGCUCCAGAACAAUGGUGGCAAGAGCAAGUCUAUAAGCUGAAGAUCUCAAAUUCCUGACUAGAACAUAUAUUUCCUUUCGUCUUCGCUUAGCUGGCACCAAAUCCCAUUGUUCCUCUCUGAGACGAGCGAGUACAACUGCCUCGCAAAAAGCUUCUGCUACUGGCUUCUUGCUGCAUAUAAAAUAAAAUGCAAUUUAGCACAUGGAAAAUGAUGAACGCAUAGCAAAAUAGAAAGAAAAGAUGGUCGUUGUAAAGUGGCAAGAGGCUGUGAACUAACAUCCCUCUAACAAAACCAGUGGUGACGAAGCCCAUUGGCGAACGAUAAGUUUCUCUAAGAACAGGGUCCUCUGGCAUUUGGAGUUCCCACUUACCAGAAGAUUGCUCUGUGAAGUACGAAGCCACAGCAGAUUGAGGCAUUUGAAGUCCUCCAUCGAAACUCUCUGACCUGCAAGACACACACAUGAAGCUUAUUUUUCAAAAUUAUUGGUCUGCAGCAUGAAUGGUGCUCUGAAAUACGUAUAAAGUCUUUCAAAAAUAGCUGCAAAACUUCAAGUCACUCCCACGAUUAAAAUUUUCAACGGUUACAUUAAAUCUCAGAAAAUUUUCAUCAAUGCAAGUUCUGAAUAAGAGACGUAAUGUAAAUAGGUCACAUUAUCUCCUCUACUAGUAUAUAAAAGACGAGAAAAUUUCAAGCACCACCGUUGUAAUACAAUCAUAAGCUUAUAGGAUAGCAUAUAAAUCAUAAGCUUAUAGGAUAUCAAAGAAAAAAUGACUACCUAGUCCACAGUGAUAUGUCCGUCAGUCGAGGAGCUCCCUCUUCAAGAAAACCUUCCUUGUAAGCAUGGAGUAAUACUCCAACAAAACAUAGUUUAUGAUUGUACUUAAAUCUAGUAAACUGAUCUUGGCCCGGACCAAGCUUGAUUUCGACCCUCAUAAACUUCGUGAAACUUCUCUCCUUAUCAGCGACAUAUGGAAACAGACGUAAAUGACAGCCUUGAAUUUCACUCAAGAAAUUUGUCAGCAAAAAACUCGUCUGUGCGAUAAAACCAUCAAAUGAAUUUCCAUGACAGCCGGCUAAUGUAGUAUCAGAAUUUCCAGAGUCUGAAUUAGUGAUGAAUAGCUUCUGAUGCCAUGUUGCUGCCUAAAACUUUCAGCAUCUCCAACUGCAUUUGAUUCUUCGUUUAAAGCAACUUGGAUACUAUUCCAUGGGGAUAAAAUGGGAACCCUCAAAGGUCUUAUGGCUGGAGGAUGAAGUUCCUCUUUAAGAUUAGAGGCAGCAGCUUCGGUCUCCUUGAGGCAUAAAUAUGCAUCGCAAUCAGGAAAAUCUGAAGGAAUAUAUGGCAACCCCAUCUAGAAAAUAAAAGGGACUUAGAUGCAACAUUCGAUAACCUGAUAUUAAAUAUUAUAAUUUACACGUAAUAAGUUUCAAUGCUUACUUCACACGAAAUCCAGCGCUUCUCUCUCAACCCCAUUGCAUGAGCCCCCUUAGAGACAAGAGAAAUCCAAAAUGCCUUGACCCAGCUUAAGGGGAGUAUAACAGACCAUCUGUAAGGCAAUAAGAGAUAGACUUCUAAGGUAACUUUAAAAAUAUAUCAUACUCAAUUGAACAGAUGAUAAAGUUUGAUGCAUUGAUGGAAUUUUAAGGCGAGUCAGAAAAAAACAGAUUGUCACAUUCUACUUUCAUGAAAUCCAGAACUUCGAAGAUCACGUUAUCAAUUAUUGCACAAAGAGUCAGCAGGAACAUUUAUGCCAUGACUUUCAUGUUUCCGAUAAAAAGACAUAGAACUCCAUAAUAUAUAUCUUAUGAGAAACAAAAUAUAUUAACAGUUUAUAAACAGUACGAACAUACAACUCAGGAGAAAUGGUGCCCACUGAACCCACAUAUAAGCAUUAAUACAAGUACAUAAAAUAUGCAGCAAUUAGCUUAAUCCACAUAACACUAAAUGGAAGAAUAAACCAGGAAAAAAAGGAGUUUACCCAACAUGCAAGCCUCUUCCGUUACUAUCUUCAAAAGCAUAAUCGGGCAAGAUCAUGAGCCCUGUGACGUGGAGGAAGUAUUUAGUUCCCCUGAACUUCAAUCAUCGAGGCUGAACAAAUUCCUAUUCUGGUCAUGUUUUUCCUUGCAAAGAACAGCCUCUUCCACUGGAGGGCUUACUCCACUGCUAACAUCCUACAAAUUGUUUGCUCUGAUCUUGCCAUUACCUGCAGGUUCAUCUGAAAAUCGUCCAAAGAUAACAUGCUUUUUGUCUUCAGCUCCUAGUACAUCACCUAGUAUACUAGCUGAACCUAAAUCUUGAGCAUCUGCAGUGUUUCCCUUCUCUGUUAAUGUGCAAGGAUCCUUGACAUUAAGGGACAAAAUUGCAUGAGAAGGAAUUUCCUCCUCAUUUUUAAGAUGAAUUGUAGAUUGGGAAUCCUCAUCCGCCUUGGCAGCUGAAUGUCUCAUCAACUUCCAAGAAUUAUCUCUAGUCCUAUUCAGCCAGACAACAAAAUUAGCCAUCUUUAACCUCAUUACUUGGUUAUGUCACUGAAAUCCUCUCCGUAACUCACCUGGUAGAAGGGAUUAAUGUCCUUUGAAGGAGUUGAAAUGCUUUUGAUCCCACUAAUUCUAAUUUUGCAAGUUGACCCUCAAGUGAGAAACAAUUAAUCACGAUGUCCCUGCCCUCCAUCUAAGAUAAUAAAGCAUUAUAUGAAUAACAGUAAAUAAUCUACCGAGAACAUGUAGUAUCAUCUAACAGUAUGAGUUCUCUAUUCUGACAUCUACCAAGUCUAGACUAGAGGCAAACUUUGACACCUAAGCACAGCACAAAAACCACUUGAGAUAGCAUUUGAAAAAAAAUGUUGGCUUAUCAGAGAAUCAAGUACAAAGCAUAGAAGUAGACGAGUUUCAGUAUUGCCCUAAAUCAUCAUUCACUCAAAGAAUUCAAUACCAAACCAGGGCUGUUGCAUUCUAUCUUAAGAUCCAUAAAUCAUUAUUUCCUUCCUUCUGACGUGAAGUCAGAUGAGAUUAAGCCUCUAUACACUUGCUAUUGAUGUAUGUGUGAACAAAAAGAAGGAAUGGGUACCUCUUUUUGGCAAGCUAAUUUCAAAGUGUCAUAAGCUUCAGUGAGAGCAGAAGCAUGUAUCCACACCCAAAGCUGGCGAUCAGUAGAAGAGUGGUUUGUACUCUCUAGUCCUUUAAAUUCAUCGCCUUCACAGUCAGCUGCAUUAUUAUCUCUAUUUGGUUGGCCAGAAGGCCGCCACAUACAGUUCACAGGAGCAAUUGGUUUUGAAAGAGGUGCUCCCAAAUGAUGAAGCUGCAAAAAAUGGGUCAUCAAGUCAAUACCUCAAGUCAUCCACAUUCACAAAGAAAAGUGCAAUAGGAUAACUUACCAUAGCAUUAUCAUAUAUGACGCCAGAAAUAACAGAACGGGAAACAUUUUCAGAACGAGUUGACUGAGGAGACACCAUUACCAUGCCUAACACUGAUAGUAACGAAUCCUGGAUGCAUAUGAAGUAGGGUGUAACAUCAUAAUUUAGUAGCAGAAAAUAACAUAUUGCAACACUUUUCCUUUUGAAGAAAAAUAAAUUAAAAGGUAUACAAUUUCAUAGGAAUAAAUUCAUAAGAUAGAAAGUAAAUGCCUGCCUCCGGCCCCUCCAAUUGGAUAGCUACAUGAUAGCUUGCAUCAUGAACAAGCACUCCAUCCCUGAACCACUUCAAGACAGCUCUGGACCCCCUUCCUCUACAUUUUAUUGUUUUUUUUUUUUUUGAUAAAAUAGAUAUACAAGCGAAUUAGUUAUUUAUUGAGAAAUAGAAGAAAUAAUAAGCGAAAAGUAAAGAAUAACACUGCUAAAUUAAUAUGCGUUUUACCUGCCCUGCAAACCCAAGGGAAGGUAGUAACCCCAAAGCUCUGUCAUUGCGAACCGCUUCGCAUGCCAAACAUGUGUUCUAAGCCUCUUUGUACCAUCCCCUGAUGUGCAGAAACCCUUUUCAAGGUUCAUUUUAAGCUCAGCUCUCCUACGAAUGCGAUGAGGAACAUUCUUGUCAUCUUUCUCUGGAGGCAAUGUCAAAGCAUUACUCUGAUCAAGUUUUCUCUAUUUUCUAAAUCUUUUUUUGGCGGCUUGAUUGUCGUAAGCAGUGGUUCUUCUUCUCUUGCUUCUCCGAGACCGGAAAUCAUUGUUCAAUCUGUUAGAUACAAUUGAAUGGAGUGUCUCAAGCUCUGAACCCCGUGAUUCUGCAAACUUUUGGACAUUGAUUUUUCGAGGCGGAGCUGAUGAAACCUGUUGCCGUCUGAAACCAUCGGUAGCCAUUAGACAAAAUUAAACCCCUCAGAUGAAGAACGAUAUUAUACCAGUCUGCCACACAAUUAUAAUCGCCUCUUCACUCUUCGGACAUCAUUGGUCUCUAUUCGCAGUACUACUCUAUUACUCUGAAAUGUCCAAAAACAAAUUGUAAGAUUCUUCAAAGCGUAGCAAUCGCAACUGGUUCCAAUUCCAAUUACUUUUUAUGGCGCAUUUACGUAACGUAAUCAAAAUAGAGGAAUUGAAUUGAGGAGGACUCAGAAUCGGAUUCUAUUGAAGCUGUUGGAAUCGGAUUCUAUUCGCAGUACUAGUACUGUGAAAUGUCCAAAAACAAUUUUUGAGAUUCUUCAAAGCUUAGCAAUCGCAACUGUGGUUCCAAUUCCAAAUAAAUAUAAAGUUCGAAACAAUAGAAAACAUCAGAUACGAAAUUCACAGUCUAACUAACAUGAUAACAUCAAUGAUACAACAACUUCAACUUAACUUUCGAAAACCAAUAUGUAAUGACACAAAGCUAAAUGAGCAACUACUGCGGUAUCCAAUAAAUAUAUAAAGAUUGAAACAAAGAAAACAUUAAGAUAAGAAAUUCUGAAUGCAAUGUGACCAACAAAAUCAAUUACUUGGCACUGGCACUGCCACUGUAGGAAUUUAACAAAAGAAACUCCUCACAUCAACCACCAGUUGCAUUGCGUGUAUCAAAACUCACCAGAUAUGCUCACAAAUUCAUACUAACAAUUAUUUUAAAAACAAAAUCAAAAUAAGAACAAGGAUGCAGUGCAGUGCAGAUUCACUCGAAAACUAAGUGAGAUUGCGGGAUUAUCGGAACUGAAUGGCUUGGAUUUGCGUUUCAGCUUCUGGUUAUCUAGUGGUAGACGUCACAAAAUUAGUAAAAUUAACUAAUUUGAAUGAAAAUAAAGAAUAAAACUUUACCAUGGGAAUCUGCAAGCAGAGAUAGAGAGAGAGUACCUGAGGACUGAGAGAAGAAGAAUAUGUGAGAGGGAGAGGAGAGAGAUUUUGCAGCUGAAGAGUGGAGAAAGAAAGGAGGGAAAAGGGGUACCGAGCAAGUGGCAGCCUACUUGAUACCUGGAGCAAUUUAAUUGAUUACCGUUGGAUCAAUCUCAACGGCUGAAACUAAACACUUUCUGUAUCCAAGAAAAACAAGGCAUCGGACUGAAAACUCCAUUCAGGACUCGGAUUGAUUCAUCAGCGCGCUCACUCUCACUCUGUUGUUUUAAGUGAUGGAUCAUAUAAACUAAGGAAGCCAGAUCGUCGUUGUUUUCAGAGAAACACAUCUUCUCGGCCCUCUCAACUCCGAAACACACACGAGGGAGGCCAAAUGGGCCUCAGCCUUCUUCCUCGCAAUCUCACAACAAACCCAUACCUCUACCAAACGGCCCUCGCAACCUCUACCACUUUCGCUGAUUCAAUCCACGUCUUCGUCGAGGUAAAGACUUCAUCUUUUUCAAUGUUAGAGUUAAUGGGUUUUACCCCUUUACCUGAUCAAGUAUGUAAUCGCCAUUGUAAACUUGCAUGCUAGUUCUUCUCUGAUCAAGGCCAGGAAGUCGACCGAUGCUAAAUUGGAUUAUUCUCACAUCACGGUAAAACAAUUUUUGAAAUUACUGCCUGAAGUUUACUGCAUUUUCGUCACUAAUCUAAACCCAGAUAUGAGAUAUCGAAUAAGUAGCAAAUUGAUUUUGGGAUUUUAGGUUGAGCUUCGGACAGUUGAUGGGUUCUUGAAGGAUAGCACUCAAGAGUUACUACUUCAUUCCCGUUUAUGACAAGGUAUUAUUUCUUAUUCUUUUUCGGUGUCAGAUUUCGCUGGAUCUUUGCAUUUCACGUGCUCUCAUGCUUCAGUGAUGAUGUUGUGUUGUCUGUUAAAUUAUCGGAGGAGAUGGCGAAGAGCUAGACCGGUAAACGGUCGGAUUUAUUGGAUUUGAGUCGGGUUGAAUCCGAUCUGUUAAUUUAAUGGGUCAUUUAAACCCAACCCGUUAAAUUGACUGAUCAUCCGAACCCAACUUGUUAACAUUUUAUCCAAAUCAAUUACAAUCCCGUUUUAUAUAGUAGAAUUCGACUUUCUAUCAAUUAUAUGCAUCUCCUAAUCUUAACAUGGAUGAGAAAAUUGUAUAAGUAAAACACAACUUCGGCAGACCCGACAAUGAUGAGCCCUGCGAGGCUUGUAUUUAGAACACUUUUCACAGCCCCCAUGUCAGAGAUCAAGAAUCAAAAGUUUCAAAAUUAGCUACAGAGAGAAGAAAUCAGCAUUUUUAAUGUGCGGCUAGACGCACUGCCAUAAAGUACUUGAUGACGUGAACUCUUCAAAAAUUCAAUGAAAGUGGGUUGCAGGGGGAAGAGAGAGAGAGCUUUGCUUUUAAUAGUGCAGUACUGCAGUAUUCCGUCGAGUUGAAGAAGACGUCGGAGAGAGUGGUAAUUUCUGAGGAAGAAGGUGAGGGGGAAGUUCUCAGAGAUGACGUGCACACUACUGCAAUAGUGCAAUGCGAGAGAGUGAGGGUUUCAUUAUUACUAUUGAAAUUACACAAAAGCCCUCAAUAACGAGUGUUAACGGGUGGUUAAUGGGUUUCGCAGGUUCAUCCAAAAUAACCCGUUAUUUAACGGGUGCUUAAUGGGUUGACCCCGUUAACUACCCGACCCGAUAAACACUCAUCCACAUACUCAUUUUAACGGGUCAGAUCGGGUUGGGUUAACGGGUCGGAUUUAAAAUGCCAGUGCUACGAAGAGCCAUACACUUGGUAUUGCUUACUCGACUGAAACUCUCUGGUUGGGACUGUUAAUUGUACAGUUGAACUACACCACUCUCACAUCAUGAAUGACAGGUUUUGUUUUUGUUAUAGAUCAAGUCCUGAUUUGCCUGUAUUAUUGUUGAUCUUGGUAAGUUUACUUAUUUAGCUUUAGUUGGGUUCCUAAUUAUGCAUGCUUGUACUUUUUGUUCCAUACUUUGAAAUUGGCUUCAACCGCAAGAUCAUUCAAUUUGGUCACUUUUUUUUUAUAAUUUGGAACUAGUCCCCUAGACCAACCAACCUUCUUUAUAAUUUGACUCCUUCACGUAAAGCCACAUGCCCCCAAAAAUACCCUAAACCCGAAAGUCAAAUUAACUUUUGACCAAAAAAACCAAAUAUUGUCAAAUUAACGGUUUGAUUAAUGGAGGUAUGAAAUUGCUAAAAAAUACAAGUUUGUGUAUGAGAUUAAAAUGCUCUAAAGAUGUUGUAUGAGGUUACAAUUACACUCACACUUAGGAUGUAAAAUGUUAUUUACUUAAUUUUAAUUGUAAAUUUUGAAGUUUUCAAGGGCAAUUUAUGGUAUUUACAUUUAGAAUGCUUCACAAUAUAAAGUCUCCCACUUUAUAGAUAUAGACAAUUUAAUUGUAAAUUUUGAAGUUUUCAUGGAUAAUUUAUGGUAUUUUGAAUGUUUCAUCCUAUAUAAAAUUUAUGGUAUUUUGAAUGUUUCAUCCUAUAUAUAUAUAUAUAUAUAUAUAUAAAGGUUUAUGUACACCUCGUGUAACUUUUUUUUGUCCUAGUUUCAUCAAAGAACUGCUAGUGGGGGAUUCUCCACAAAAAUUGAUAGUCAAAGUCCUCUCAAAUUCUAUAUUAUCCUCAACAUCCCAUUCACUUACGAGGAAACUUCGUCGUCAAUAAGUGUGGAGUGCCUGGUGGCUAAUGGGAACCUUCCUCUUCAUAUAUCAUAUUAUGUCUUGUCCCUCUCAGAAACUGCAUAUAAUUGUCCUUGGCCUUGCAUAUGCUUGCCCUGCUUUCAUUCAUUGCGAGAACCAAGAAGCAGAGGGUUUCUCUAGAUGGAUGCUUUCCGAGAUUCCUCUUCCUCCUCUUACCGGUGUUCCUAUCAUGCCUUCUUGAGUUUCAGAGGCCAGGACACGCGCAGGGGCUUUACUGAUCACCUCUAUAGAGCCUUGGAGCUAGCAGGAAUCCACACGUUUAGAGACGAUGAUGAAAUCAAGAGAGGGGAGAAUAUUGAGUCGGAGUUAGACAAGGCGAUACAGGAGUCACAAGUAUCGAUAAUUGUCUUCUCCAAGGACUACGCUUCCUCAAGGUGGUGUUUGAACGAACUUCUGAAGAUCGUGGAACGUAGAAAUACUGAUCAUAGACAUGUGGUUCUGCCAGUUUUCUAUGAUGUGGAUCCAUCCGAUGUCAGGAAGCAGAGUGGUACUUUUGCUAAAGCAUUUGCCAGACAUGAGGAGCGAUUCAGUACCGAGAUGGACAAGGUGGAGCAGUGGAGAAGAGCUCUUGGAGAUGUUGCAUCUUUGGGAGGCAUGGUUUUAGGAGAUCGGUAAUUUCUAUUCUCAUUAUCUUCUCACGCUAAUUGAAAGUGUCUUUUAAAUUAAGUAAAAUUGUAGAUGGUGGUGAAGCUUGAAAUUGUUCGAUUUUGGUUUAUGUGUUCAGUGUUCCUAUCUAUACUGCAAUUUGUACGAGGAGCAAUCAUUUCCGUACAUGACAUAUUAUGUAAAAGAAAAUAACUUAUUUCUACUUCGUAUAUUUUGUUUCAAAUGAAUUACAGGUAUGAGGGGCAGUUCAUCCAAGAUGUUGUUGAAGAGAUUAGUAAUAAACUGGAUCCCGCAGCUUUAGACGUUGCUCCCUUUGCAGUUGGAAUAGAUAAUCGUGUGCAAGACCUAAAUAUGUGGUUACAAGAUGGAUCAAAUGAUGUUGGUGUAGCUGUCAUCUGUGGUAUGGGUGGAAUUGGCAAGAGCACCAUUGUGAAAGCUGCUUAUAACCAAAACUUUGAUAGAUUUCAAGGUAGCAGCUUUCUUGCAGAUAUACGAGAAUCUUCAGAACAACCUAAUGGUUUUGCUCGCUUGCAAAGAAAACUUCUUUUAGAUAUCCAAAAGGGGAACGCAAAGAAAGUAUACAAUGUGGCUGAAGGAAUAAGCAGGAUCAAACGAGCCGUAGGCUAUAAAAGAGUUCUUAUUGUUCUCGAUGAUGUGAACAGCCGGGAUCAACUCAAUGCAAUUCUUGGAAUGCGAGAAUGGCUUCAUCCAGGAAGUAAAAUUAUCAUAACAACUCGACAUGAACAUUUGUUAAAUGCUCAUGAAGUUUGUGAAAAGUUUAUGGUUCGAGAACUGGAUGAAGAUGAAUCACUUGAGCUUUUCAGUUGGCAUGCCUUCGGACAAUCCCAUCCGGUAGAAGGUUACAUGGAGCUUUCAAGACAUGUGGUGCAGCAUUGUGGAGGGCUUCCAUUAGCUAUUCAAGUUCUGGGAUCUUCUUUAUCUGGAAAAAGUGUAGAAGUAUGGCAAAGUGCAUUGCAGAAGUUAGACGUGAUCCCUAAUGACAAAAUUCAAAAAGUUCUGAGGAUAAGUUUUGAUUCUUUACACGAAGAUCAUGACCAAAAUUUAUUCCUUCAUAUAGCUAGCUUCUUCACAGGAAAGACGAUGGAUUAUAUAAUUACAAUACUGGACAACUUAGAGUUUUGCACAAGGGUUGGGAUUGAAAAUCUAGUUGAUAGAUGUCUAGUGACAAUUCAAGGGACGAAGUUGGUCAUGCAUCAAUUGUUGAGAAACAUGGCAAUGGCAAUUAUUCGCAAAGAAUCACCUCAUGACCCUGGAAAACGUAGUAGAGUGUUGCAGAACGAUGCCUCUAAUAUUUUGAGAAAAUUAAGUGUAAGAAAUGUGUUUUUCAUGCGUAUGUAUUUUUAGUUAUGAUUUGCAUGUGCAGUACUGGUUAUAUACUUACCCAAUGCUCUGAUUUUUUUGCAGGGCACAGAAAAUAUUAAGGGCCUCAUGCUCAACCUUGCUAGCAAAAGAACAUUUGUUGGAAGUGAUAACAAACGAUGCCAUGCUGAAGAUUAUGAUGGAAACUGUUCAAGACGACGUCGGCUUGGUUUCUUCUCUUGGAAGCCAGUUAGUUUUUCCUCCACAAACUCAGCUUCUGCAUCAAAUGAGAUAGAUUUCAAAUCUGAGGCUUUUAGAAGGAUGCACAAUCUUGAAAUUCUCAUGCUCAACAACGUCAACGUCAGGGGAAGCUACGAAGAAUUUUCAAAAAAAUUAGUAUGUUUAUCUUGGCGAGGAUUCCACUUAAAAUCAAUACCCGAAAAUUUUUGUUUGGAAAACCUGGUUGUUCUAGACAUGCGAAAUAGUAGCCUACAACAUGUUUGGAAUGAGACCAGGGUAUGUAAUUAUCUCUCUCUCUCUCUCUCUCUCACACACACACAAAAAUUAAUAGGGGCCAUUAUAUCUUCUUAGAAGCUAAUUAAUUUGUAUUAUUAUUGAAACAGGUUAUUCCGAGGCUGAAGAUUCUUAAUUUCAGUCAUUCGCAUGGCCUUAGGACAGUCCCCGAUUUCUCAGGACUCUAUAACCUUGAGAGGUUGAUUCUUAAACAUUGCAUAAAUUUGGUUGAGGUUCAUGAGUCCAUCGGAAACCUAGAAAAACUUGCUGUUUUGAAUCUAGAAGGCUGCAAAAAUCUCAUGAAGCUUCCAGUAUUGAGAUCUAUUCAGGAUCUUAUUCUUUCUGGUUGCUCAAAGCUUGAAAUGAAGAAACUCAAUCUGGUAUCAGCUAAAUCAUGGUAUUCAGUCUGGUCGUGGGUGUCGCCAAGAAAACAUACUGAAUUAAGCAGUUUCUCAUUGGCAAGUUUACCACGUUCUUUGAUAAGUUUAAGUCUGGAUUGCUGCAAUAUAUCAGAGAUUCCAAGUGCCCUAACUAUGCUGUCCUCGUUAGAGUACUUGAAGCUGGAUGAUAAUCCGAUUACAAGCCUACCAGAAAGCAUGAACAAUCUUGUUAAGCUCCAGAGUCUUAAAGUAUCUGGUUGCAGAAACCUCACAAUGCUUCCAGAGCUCCCACGUUCUUUGACAAGUUUAACACUGGCUUGCUGCAAUAUAUCAGAGAUUCCAAGUGCCCUAACUAUGCUGUCCUUAUUAGAGUACUUGGAUCUUGAUGGUAAUCCGAUUACAAGCCUACCAGAAAGCAUGAACAAUGUUGUUAAGCUCCAGACUCUUAAAGUAUCUGGUUGCAGAAACCUCACAAUACUUCCAGAGCUCCCACGUUCUUUGACAUGUUUAACACUGGCUUGCUGCAAUAUAUCAGAGAUUCCUAGUGCCCUAACUAUGCUGUCCUCAUUAGAGUACUUGGAUCUUGAUGGUAAUCCGAUUACAAGCCUACCAGAAAGCAUGAACAAUGUUGUUAAGCUCCAAACUCUUAAAGUAUCUGGUUGCAGAAACCUCACAAUACUUCCAGAGCUCCCACGUUCUUUGACAGGUUUAACACUGGCUUGCUGCAAUAUAUCAGAGAUUCCAAGUGCCCUAACUAUGCAGUCCUCAUUAGAGUACUUGGAUCUUGAUGGUAAUCCGAUUACAAGCCUACCAGAAAGCAUGAACAAUCUUGUUAAGCUCCAGACUCUUAAAGUAUCUGGUUGCAGAAACCUCACAAUACUUCCAGAGCUCCCACGUUCUUUGACAGGUUUAACACUGGCUUGCUGCAAUAUAUCAGAGAUUCCAAGUGCCCUAACUAUGCAGUCCUCAUUAGAGUACUUGGAUCUUGAUGGUAAUCGGAUUACAAGCCUACCAGAAAGCAUGAACAAUCUUGUUAAGCUCCAGACUCUUAAAGUAUCUGGUUGCAGAAACCUCACAAUACUUCCAGAGCUCCCACGUUCUUUGACAUGUUUAACACUGGCUUGCUGCAAUAUAUCAGAGAUUCCAAGUGCCCUAACUAUGCAGCCCUCAUUAGAGUACUUGGAUCUUGAUUGUAAUCCGAUUACAAGCCUACCAGAAAGCAUGAACAAUCUUGUUAAGCUCCAGACUCUUAAAGUAUCUGGUUGCAGAAACCUCACAAUACUUCCAGAGCUCCCAAGUUCUUUGACAUGUUUAACACUGGCUUGCUGCAAUAUAUCAGAGAUUCCAAGUGCCCUAACUAUGCUGUCCUCGUUGGAGUACUUGGAUCUUGAUGGUAAUCCGAUUACAAGCCUACCAGAAAGCAUGAACAAUCUUGUUAAGCUCCAGACUCUUAAAGUAUCUGGUUGCAGAAACCUCACAAUACUUCCAGAGCUCCCACGUUCUUUGACAUGUUUAACACUGGCUUGCUGCAAUAUAUCAGAGAUUCCAAGUGCCCUAACUAUGCUGUCCCUCGUUGGAGUACUUGGAUCUUGAUGGUAAUCCGAUUACAAGCCUACCAGAAAGCAUGAACAAUCUUGUUAAGCUCCAGACUCUUAAAGUAUCUGGUUGCAGAAACCUCACAAUACUUCCAGAGCUCCCAUGUUCUUUGACAAGUUUAACACUAGCUUGCUGCAAUAUAUCAGAGAUUCCAAGUGCCCUAACUAUGCUGUCCUCGUUGGAGAAGUUGGAUCUGAGUUGCAAUCCGAUUACAAGCCUACCAGAAAGCAUGAACAAUCUUGUUAAGCUCCAAACUCUUAAAGUAUCUGGUUGCAGAAACCUCACAAUACUUCCAGAGCUCCCACAUUCUUUGACAAGUUUAACACUGGCUUGCUGCAAUAUAUCAGAGAUUCCAAGUGCCCUAACUAUGCUGUCCUCGUUGGAGAAGUUGGAUCUGAGUUACAAUCCGAUUACAAGCCUACCAGAAAGCAUGAACAAUCUUGUUAAGCUCCAGACUCUUAAAGUAUCUGGUUGCAGAAACCUCACAAUACUUCCAGAGCUCCCACGUUCUUUGACAAGUUUAACACUGGCUUGCUGCAAUAUAUCAGAGAUUCCAAGUGCCCUAACUAUGCUGUCCUCAUUAGAGUACUUGGAUCUUGAUGGUAAUCUGAUUACAAGCCUACCAGAAAGCAUGAACAAUCUUGUUAAGCUCCAGACUCUUAAAGUAUCUGGUUGCAAAAACCUCACAAUGCUUCCAGAGCUCCCGCGUAGUUGAAACAAUUGUGUGAUCGUGGUUGCACAUCAUUGAAAAGAAUAACAAAUUAACCGAAGUUGGGCAUGUCACCGGGCUUAGAUUACCGGUUUUCUUGCAUAGUAAUGGACCCAAGGCUAUGGUAUUGUGGGAAACUUGUUGAUUUUAGAAGCUUGUUGGAUACACUAGCAUUGGACUUAUAUCUCUCAGAUCUAUUCGAUUUGGAACCCAAAGGUGGCAUUGAGGUCCAAGGGAACUAUUGUGAGAGUUUGGGCGUCAAGGUUCUCUCUCUCUCUCUCUCUCUCUCUCUCUCUCUCUCUCAUGUACAAAUGCUUAUAAUAUGGUGAAUAAGAUCUCUAUGGCGUAAACGAUUAGAUUGUAAUGACAACACCACCAUGAAACUGCAGGGAACUUUUCACUGCUGCAUAUUGAGCAUAUUUGUUCAUGGGAGCAAGAUUCCAGAUCGGUUCAAUUACAGGAGCAUGGGUAACACUGUGUUCUCUAUUAUUGUUCCUUCACAUCUAAGGGGGGUGUAUUCAAUUAGGAUUUUGAGAGAGUCUCUAGGAAUUAAUGAUUCCAGGUGUAUUCAAUUGGGAAUUUAAAAGACUUUAUAAAAGUCUUGGUGUAUUCAAUUGAGAUUCUUAAAGACUUCUUACAAUUCCCUAUAAAUUCAGGUGUAUUCAAUCAUAACUUUUUGAAAGUCUCUAAAAGUUUAGGUAUAUUGAGAAAGGAAUUGGAUUUGAACGGAUUUGUGAUUUGGUGGAUUUUGGAGGAUUUCAAGGUGAUAUGUAUACCAAAGAGCUUGGCAAAUCUCACCUCAACCCUAGAAACUUUGAGACAUGUUGAGCGUGCUGCUCUCUCCUCCAGAGAGCGUCUUCUCCUCCCCAGAAACAUGGGCUCCAAGGUAAAAAAUUUCUCACCUUGUACAUGCUAUCUUUUUUUCUCCCCUUCAAGCUUCAUGAUUUUCUUGUUUUGAUAGUGUUGUUCUAGGGUUAGGGUUUUUCUGGUUACUUUGGAGUUAAGGUUUUUCUUGUUAGGGUUAGGGUUUUUCUGACCAUCAAACUUUGUGAAAUUUUUAUAUAUAUAUUGUGAAGAUACAAGUAUUGAUUUUACCGUUUGGAUCCAAAAGUUGUUGAGUUUCUGCUUUGAUUACUUUGGAAUACAGUAUAGAUUGGGUUAGGGUUUGGAAUUCUCAAGUUUGUAUAGGUUGUUUUCCUUUUCCAUCCCGUAAUCAGUGGAGCACUGAUCCUUUUCUUUUCAACUGCAACAUUCUUGCAACCUCAUUCUUUUUCUUUUCAUCUUAAUAAAAAAUUUAUUUCAUGCCUCAAAGUUUUUUUUUUUAGUCGAAACAUGGUAGGGUGAAGUUGUUUCCUUGAUUUUUCAACCUUUGUAUCUAGUCUAUUCCUGAUCAGCCUGUAAUAGGGCUCGUACUUCUUGGCAUUCUUUACGGUAUCAUAAAUCAAAUCAAAACCAAUGGAUUUCCCCCUCCAAAAUGGGUGCAGAACUUGAAUAUGAAGAUGGAAUUUGGGUCCCUCACCUCUGAAAACGUUGUCUAUACAAAUAAUUUGUCACUCCAAAAGUUGUUGAGUUUCUGCUUUCUCUAUUCUUUUAAAAUGUUUUUUGCUCACUUAUACGAAUUAGCUGUGAAUAAAGAAUCCAUGUGAUCAUAUACACAAACUAAUUACGUUUAUUAUCUUAUUAUAGGGAGUUCAUUUGGAGUUGCAAGGAAGUGAUUUCAGAGGUGAGGCAUUUAUGUCCAAUAUUCUUCUGAACUAUCGUCCUAAUAUUUAGAACUCACCUUGAUAUGUAAAUGUAUGACUGGAACGAAUUUAUGACUCCAAACUGUAUUAGCUGCUUGUAACUUUGAUUUGGAAUUCAUAUAUAUUCUUAGUUGAUGGGAGGGUUCAGCUCAUGACUCCAAACUGUUACAUGAUGUUGUAUCAAGGAAGAACAGACUUAAAGUUCCAGAAGGUUCGUAUUCAUUCAUUUAUUUACACUAGGACGUACCAUAAAUAAUAACUUUAUGUGUUUUAUUUUUAGGUAAAUUUUUUCUAGUGGAUUGUGGAUUUGCAAAUCGUCGUCAAAUUUUAGCUCUGUUUUGAGGUGUUCGAUAUCAUCUCCAAGAUUUUGCUGGUAACGAUCGUGACCCCGUAAAUGCAAAUGAGUUGUUCAAUCUUCGACAUGCUUCCUUGAGAAACAUAGUGGAGAGGAUAUUUGGUGUAUUUAAAUCUCGAUUCAUAGUUUUUAAGUCUGCACCUCCAUUUCCAAUGAAAACACAAGCAGAGUUAGUGUUAGCUUGUGCAGGAUUGCACAACUUUCUUCGCAAAGAGUGUCGUUCUGAUGAAUUUCCAAUCAAACAAGAAGAUGAUGAAUUUGAAAAUGAUGAUGAACUAGGUAAUCAAACUCAAGAGCAACGGCGACAGAUUGCUAAUGCAUGGAGAGCUAGCAUAGCUACAAAUAUGUGGACAGAUGCUAUGAGUGAGAGCAUUCAAAGAUGACAAAUAUAAUUAAUUGUUUUUACGGAUUGGAGUAUGCAAUUUGUGUUUGAAAAACUUUGAUAGUUAGUAUUUUGUAAGCCUUAACUUUCAAGAUUUUGGAUGCCAAUGUUUAAUUCACUUUGAUAGCUACUUGAAAACAUUGCAUGUGAACUUGGUAUUGGGAUUUGGUAUUAGUAGGAUGAAACUGAUUUUGGCUUGUAAAGGGAAGGAAAAUGUUGAUCAAAUUCUCUAAAAUUCUCUAACCCCAUGUAAAGAAUUCUCUCAUAAUUCAUGUGAAUUCUCUGGAAGUUAUAAUUAAUUCACUCAAAAUCUCUGGGAAUUCAUUUUUUUUUCCUCUCAAACUCUCUCAGAUUCCAUAGAUUUAAAUUCCUGGAGACUCUCAAAAUCCUAAUUGAAUACACUCCCCUCUCAAGAUCGUAGGUUUAAACGCAUGUAUAUUAUAUGCACAGCAGUCGGAUUGCCUUGAGGUUGCACGUGACCAUGAUGACCAUUCGCUAGAACUUAGGAAUGAGACAAAGGGCCUUAAGUGGAACUGCCACUUGUGGGAUGAGGUUGAAUGGAAAGUGAUGAACGAAGAUAUGUUAUGGCUUAGCCGUUGGAUCAUGGGGGAACAAUGAGUUGGAAUGCGGGGAAAGAGUGUGUCUUGCAAUCAAAGAGGACUAUGGUUUGCUCACAAAGGAGAUUGGAGUCCAGUUUGUGUACGAGCAGCAAAAUAAGGAUAAGGAGGAUGUCCCAUCAAGUGGUGAAGAUACAACGAUCCAACGUGAAAGAUCUACUUGGGAGUGGAGCCAAAGUUUCCUUGAAACCACAAGAUCCCGUGUUCCGGGGGGUGUAGAGACGGGGGUUCAAUGCAUCCAUAGCUGCGAUAAGAAAGUAAUUUCAACUGUCACGUGCGCGGCUGAAUACUAUUUCUGUAACAUUGACAGUGACAGGAUCCAUCUUCCGAGAGGCUCUGAGGCAGUGGGUCGUAGGUUUUCGGACUUUAGCCAAAAUUGUCGCCUUUUUAGCCAAAAUAACCCAGUUUAAUUGAUGUUGGUGAUGCCCAAAUCACUAGAUUCAAAUGUGUAUUGGUUGUUACGCUUUCGUUUCUAUCUAUUUUCUGUUUCCUCCUAAAAAAUUGUUUUCAAGAAUUUAAUAAAAUUUCAUAUUAAACAAGUUCUUGCCUGGAUAAGAGUAUGAACUAGCAAAAAUGCCCGCGCUCCGCUGCAGGGACUUUUAGAAGUAUGAUCUUGUACAAUCUGAUUUCUUUUGCUAUUCCUAGUUCUUUUUGGCAUCAUGUGCAAAACCAAAUUGAUGGCUAGGAAGAAAAAAUGAAAACACCUGCAUAAAUUAAAUUUUCCAUCACCCCUACAUUAUAAUUAAAUAAAGCAAAUACACAAUAAUCAUCUCACAAUUACAGAAGCAAGGACUAUUAAAUGCCACAAUUAUUUAACAACUACUAUGCAUAAUUCUUAAAAAAUGAGUAUAAAAUUAACCUCUUUUGAAAAACGAAGGAAGAAAGAUGAAAGCUUAUAACUAUGUUGGACUCAAUUAUUUGACAUUAAUUACACAAACCCAAUUCCAUAUAUAUAGCCAGACAAGCUUUAUCCUAGAGAGAAACCAUGCCCAAAUGAUUAUAUAAUCUCUAUACUGUGAAUUCAGAGACUAAAUUUCAUAACUUUGCCAAGCAUUACAGGAACCAUGGAAAGAAUAAAAAUGACCACAAAGAUUGCAAAACAAUUAACCACAGGUGGUGUUUAUAUGCCCACUGAGAGAAAAAAGCUUCUGCAAGUCAAAAAACGUAUUUAUAUAAAACAGGCCUGUACCAUUUGAAAGAGCCUCUUGUAUCCAUUCCAAUUAUACUCAUGUCUACCAUAUCCCUCUACAAUUCCACACCACCAAUCAACCAUAACUGAUUUCAAUACCCUUAGCUGCUUUAGUGGACCAUCUAGUGACACCUAACUGCCACCAAAAUAAAAGACAUGAUCAAGACCAUACAGAUUACAGACUAAGAUUAAAAACAAUUGUUAUCUAUUAAGCAAAACUCGAACUCCUUGACAUGGCAACCUCUUAAUCCAGGAUGUAGAGUAGAAAAACAAAAUUAUUGAAAAACCGAAAAAUAACAAUUUAACUUGCAUAGUAAACGAAUAUUAGUAAAGUUACAGAACUCAAUGGACUACAUAUACCAGUAAAAAAGCGAAACAUCAGUGUUUGGGAAGUUACCUUAUUUGAAAUGUCAGGAGCAUUUGGUGUACAUACAGGGUAGACAGUCCUUGCAAAAUUCAGGGCUUCAAAAUAAAAUAAAAAAUAAAUUCAAAACUAUUAAUCCUAACACCUGUUCAGUAAAGGAUAAAACAAUCUUUCCAUCAAACAAAUUUGAGAAACAAAAAAAGGGAACUAAAUUUAAGUUGAAUAGAGGUGACAAUUGCUUACCUAGAAAUCCAAACGAAAUCCCCCAAAAUUCACGCCCCCAAAACCCUACAAAACACUAGAGUUGAAAACCAGCGCUACACUGGGAUCAUCCACACAGCGACGAACUCCGAUCAUUGUCACCGAUCUCCAUCUCCUUCCAAAGCCAAAACCCUUUUAAGAAAAAGAGGGUAAUGAAUAUGAUAAAGCCAGUAAUGAAUUUUUUUUUGAAAAGAAACGAAAGAAUUUUAUAAAACGAAAGAAUUACAAAAGAGAAACAGUAAACCACGUGGAAAAGAAAUCCACCUGGAGCUAGAAGAAAACUAGCAAGGGCCCCUAACUAAAACUAAAUGAACAGAGGAAAAGCUAGACCAAAUCAAAUAACGGCAGCUAACAAAUCCCUAAAAAUAGAAGAGAAAUUGUAAUCUCUAAACUCCACUGAAACCGAAGCCCAAAGGGCUGCCCAGUGUUUUACUCUAUCCCAAAGCUCCUCAACCCCCACUCCCUUGUAAUCCUCAAAGACUCUUUUAUUACGCUCCAACCAAAUGUUCCAGAAGAGGGCCAACAACAGAGAUCCCCACAAAGUUUUGGCUUUCCUCCCUUUCCCUAGGCCUUCGAACUUAGUGCUUAGGAGCUCAAAACAGCCCUUUGGAGUGACCCAACUUGCUCCAGCUUCCUUGAGCAAAUUCCACCAAAUUUGAAUGCUAUACGGACAGUGGAGGAAAACAUGGUUGACGCUUUCCUCCCCGGAUUUGCACAAAGCGCACCAUUGGGGGGAGAAACAUGCAAAAGGCAUUCGUCUUUGGACUUGUUCACAAGUAUUAACCUUCCCGAGCGCCAAUAGCCACACAAGGAUUUUGACUUUUGGAGGCACUUUUGCUUUCCAAAUCUGAACGAAAGGGGGAAAUUGUUGCACAACUUCAUUGUUGCAAAGGAAAGAGUUAUAGGAUUUGCAAGUGAACUGGCCAGAACCUUCUAAAUUCCAUCUUCUCCUGUCUUCUCUAGAAUGACACAGCCGUACGGACUCCACCUUCUGCACUAAACCAGCCACAUCUUCAAUCUCCGACUCUCUUAGGUUUCUCCUAAAAUCGAAAUUCCAACUGACCGGCUGUAAAGAAGAAACCACCAAAUUGGAAUACUUUGGUUUUUUGUCCUUGCUAAAGAAAAUAAUCUAGGGAAUUGCUCCUUCAACGGUCCGCCCUCCAACCAACCGUCCUCCCAGAAUCUCAGCCUCUCUCCGUUACCAACCUCGAAGAUGCAUGAGUGAAGAAAUGAAGGGUAACCAGCUGAGAUGUCUGUCCAGGGACGCCUGCUCGAGCCUCGACUCGGACAAUUAGCAUCCCAACCAUUUGCCACCAGACCGUACUUGCUCUUUAUCACCCUAUGCCAAAGAGAGUUUGAUUCGCGCGGGAAUCUCCACAGCCACUUGGCUAAUAAGGCGGCAUUCCGAUUUCUCAAAUUUCCCAGACCAAGGCCACCUUCCUCCUUGCUUUUACACACUUUCUCCCACUUGACCAAGUGAAACUUCUUUCCUUCCUCAACCCCUUCCCAAAGGAACCCUUUCAUUAGCUUUUCCAAUCUCCCAAUGACCCCUCGUGGGGCUUUGAACAGGGACAUGUAGUAUAUGGGCAAGGAUCCUAGGACAGCUUGGAUCAAUGUUAAUCUUCCGCCUCUAGAUAAAAAAGCUUUAUUCCAACCCUGAAGUCUCAAUUCCACCUUCUCUACCACCGGGUCCCAGAACUUAAUAGAUUUUGGCUUGCCUCCGAGGGGAAGACCCAGGUAUUUCAUUGGCCAACUGCCCACCUCACAGCCCCAAGAACUUGCUAGCCUUGUAAUUUUCUCGCCAUUAGAAUUAAUUCCCACCAAGGAACACUUUGCUUUGUUAAUCUUCAAACCUGAAACCUUGCCAAAAAUUUGCAGCAAAUGUAAUAAAUUGUUCCAAGCCUCCUCAUGCCCUUCCAAGAAAAAAAUUGUGUCAUCCGCAGAUUGAAGAUGAGAGAUCUCCACGUUAUCUUGCCCAACACGCAGCCCUUUGAUCAAAUGAUUAUCUUGAGCCUUCUCAAUUAAUCUGCUCAGCACGUCUACAACUAGGGUGAACAAGAACGGAGACAGAGGGUCACCUUGUCUCAGUCCUCUUGAAGCUUUGAAUUUUCCCCUAGGUCUCCCAUUGAUCAGAACUGAGAAAGUAGCCGUGCAUAUGCAACCAAGCACCCAUUUUCUCCAUCUAAACCCGAAUCCCUUUCUCAGUAAUACUUCUUCCAAGAAUCUCCAAUCGACGUGGUCAUAAGCUUUUUCGAAAUCAAUCUUAAGAACCAAACCCUCCUCCUUCUUCUGCCUCACCUCUUCGACCACCUCGUUUGCUACGAGGACAGCGUCCAGAAUUUGUCUGUCUUUAACAAAAGCUCCUUGAGAUGGGGAAAUUGUACUGCCCAUGACAUUCUUUAGUCUUGUAGCAAGGACUUUCGCCACUACCUUGUAAAGACUGGUAACUAAGCUUAUAGGCCUAUAGUCCCUCAAGUGCACAGAAUCUGCCUUUUUCGGGAUUAGGCAUAUAUAAGUUUCAUUUGUUACUGUGUUUAUAAUCCCAUUUUCGAAGAAUUCUUCCAACACCUUCAUGAUAUCCGCCUUCAAAAUAUCCCAACAACUUUGGAACAUUUGCAAAGAGAAGCCAUCUGGGCCAGGGGACUUAUCAUUCCCACCAUCGAAAACGGCUUUUUUAACUUCGGCUUCCUCGAACGGCCGUUCAAGCCAAGCUGCCUCGGUGGCAUUAAUUGGACCCCAAUUAAUACCAUCCAGCCCCCAGCACUCCUCUUCGUUGCUACUGUACAGAGACUUGAAAAAAUGAAUGAUUUCAUUUUCAAUCUCCUCUACCCCUUCUACCAUUCUACCAUCUUCCACUUCCAAUCUCUCUAUAAAAUUUCUCUUCCUUCUCCCACUUGCUACCUUAUGGAAAAAUCUAGUGUUGCCAUCCCCGUCUUUGGCCCAAUCCACUUUGCUUCUCUGCCUCCACUUUACUUCUUCCUUCCAAGCCAGAUCUUCCACUAGGAAUCGGGUCUCUUCCCUCUUUCUUUUUGAAUCCGAGUCUAGACCUUCCCUUCCUUCUUUAAAGUCAAUUUCCUCUAAUUUGGCAUGGGCUUCCUUAAGAUUUCUCUCAAUGUCUCCGAAGACCUCCUUGCUCCAAGAUUGCAACUUCUUUUUAAUAAUUUAACUUACUGGAAAAUUUGUAUCCCUCCCAACCUUCGACUAUCGCAGAAAACCACCACUCUUUGAGAUUGUUUCUAAAAUCCGGAUGAUGUAGCCAAGAAUUCUCGAACCUAAAAGGGCCUGGCCCCCACGUCACCUUGUUGGUAUCUAAUUCGAUUGGGCAAUGAUCAGAGGUUACCCUUGCCAGAGCCUUUUGCCUUGCAUGUGGAAACGACUCCUCCCAACCACCAGAGAAUAAGAAUCUGUCUAAUCUUCAGCAAACUGUUUCUUCUCGAAAAUUAGACCAAGUGAACUGAGCGUUGAGCAGAUCUGGGUCAAUGAGUUCGGAGUCCUGGAUAAACUGGUUAAAAAUCCUCAUACUUGCAGUGGACCUUCCCCCAUUAGACUUCUCGUUUUCGAACCUCACCACAUUAAAAUCUCCCCCCACACACCAUCUUGGACUGCAAAGACCAUAAAGGCCAGCUAGUUCUUCCCAGAAAUCUUGUCUCUCCCUAUAUUUGCAAGGGCCAUAGACCCCUGAGAGCCACCAUUCCAAACCAUUCAACUCUCUAAUUUUGAUGGAAACUGAGAACACUCCUACUAGAGACUCGACAACUGAGAUAUGUUUAGUGUUCCACAUUACAACAAUGCCCCCAGAACUUCCUUGAGCAGGGGCGAAAACCCAUUCUUUAAAUCUGCUUCCCCACACACUUGCCACUAGCUUUCUAUCAAUUGUGGCCGUUUUUGUUUCUUGUAAAAUGAUGAUAUCAGCCCGUGCUCGGCGGAAGUAGUCCUUCAAAAGCACCCUUUUCCUUCUGCUACCCAAACCUCUAAUAUUCCAGCUAAUUAUCUUCAUUUAAAUUUAUCAAACCCCUUUUGCUCUUCCUUUUCUCUCCUCUUCCCACCCGCACCCCUGAGCUUUUACCAAGGAAUAAGGAUUUUUUUAGUGGCAUCAGCGAAAUCUUCAUGUUUGACAAAAAUUCGCUAGAUCGUCCAGUAGCCUCCCAUUUGUCAGAGACUCGGCCGGACCUUUUCCUUCUGCUAUAUUUAAGCACGUUGUUGUUGUCGUCAUUUUCCUUGGUUUGAUUUUGUUCGACUACCUCAAGAUCUUGUCUGUAAUCCCGUAGGGUACCCUCCUCUUCAGUUGCCGAAAUCAUUUCCUUGUCUCCAUCGGAGAAUAGAUUCUGCAGUAUACCUUCACCACUGUCAAUUGGAUCGAAAUUAGCCUUCUCAUCUUGGGGCGAAUCCCCGAGCUCAACUUCUGAUUCAGAACCCUGAGACCAAUCAUCUUCCUCAGCAAGGUAAUCGAAAUCCAGAGUUGGAAAAAAGUUUCUUGAGGAAAUAUUGCCGCUGACCGGUUCCAUCCUCUGUGCGGCAGAUGUUACACAAAGAGGAUUGUGACCCAUUAACUCCUCCAUCUCUUCGUCCUGAUCCGAAUCGUCAUCUAGGGAUAGAAGAUUAGAAGCACCGAUUUUCUUUGGCGUUUCUUCCUCGUUGAGGUUCAGCCUCGAUCCGAACUCUUUUGGAAGAACAAGUUUAAACCUUUUCUCUGCAUUGGCUAAGUCUCCGAAUUUCGCAAUAAAUUUCAGAUUGCUGCAAAUUAUAGUGGCUUCGAUUCCCUUCUCGUGGGCACGAAAGGUGCUUCUUUCUGAUGCCAUCUGGACUGUGUGAAACAGAUCUACAAACUGAAAAUUUGGCAUCACCAUUACUUCUUUUCCGUGAUGGAAUAACCCAAUUUCUAUCGCCAAUCACCCUUGCUGAGUGAUGAUUCACACACUUCCUCAUACUUGUUUAUGGGUACCUAUCCAACAAAAUUUUGACUUAGUACCCAAAAACUGUAUCAGCUCACGAACAGAUCAAAUUCAAAGCAGAACCCACAUAUUCUGAAGAUUCUAGAGUUAAAAGAGGAGCAAGGAGGUUCGGUUACGGAAUCCAAAACGCCAUUUUAAUGAGCAAAUGAAUACCUAAACUGGGGUUAACAAUUUUCAGCAAUAAAAAACAUGUCUUUCGAUCGAAGUUGCAUAUAUUACAGAACUUUGGGAUUAAGGAGGAACAAAAAGCCCAAUUCCAAUCAAGAAAAAUAAAAAAAAUUGUAUGUAAAUUUAAGCUUUACCUGUAGAUUGGCAGCAGCAAAAGCAUACUGGAUCCAACGGGAGCCACGUGAGAGAACUGGAUGCCCAGCCUUUGACACGUUAUCAAGUGAGUUUAGGGAUCUGGGUUUUGUGCUUGCCGUUGAAUUUUGGAACGAUCCGGAGAAAUUUGGGUUUUAUGGUUCUAAGGGUUUGAGUGAACCGAAAUUGAUUUGGAUGAGCAACUUUUGGUUUCGAUUCGCGGUGGAGCAAGGAUGAAGAGGUGGAGGAGGAAGGAAUGAAGGGGUGAGAAAAUUUGGAUAGGCAGUAUUCGGUUUCGAUUCGAAGUAGAGCAAGAAUAAAGCUCUUGGAAUUCUUUGAACCACUCUAUGAAUAGUAUGACCUGUGAGUGAUUGAUUGUGUAACAAAAAUUAGUAAAAGAGAGUAAGAGUUAUAUAUGAAACUAUAUCAUUGGAACCACUUUGUGAGAAGUUGUAGUACUAUGGUAUACUCACUAUGGUAUACUCACUUUGUCCUUCGGAUGAUUGAACUUGCACAUCGUACAAAUUUGCAUCUUUGAGUCUUCAUAAAGUACUGCAACAUGCAAAUGGAAAAUGAUCAAUUAACAGUUCAAGUGCUUAAAUGCAUUAUUUCUGCAAAAAGAAUAAACAAUUGAAGUGCUACUUACAGGACAAUCUGGUGCUCCAGGUCUCUCGGGAAGGACUUCAGUUGAGCAACGCCAAAGCACAAAUUCAAUGGAAAGAACCAAUGCAAUUUACUUGUGAUGUUAAGUUGAACAUCCGAUGCCUUGGAGAAAUUAUUGAGCAUCAAAUGAUAAAGCAAUCAGAUUAUAGUAAAUUACUAAAUGAUAUUUACAAAAAUAAAAAACAUCAAGUUAAGAGAACAAUGAAAAACUUAAGAAUUAGCCUUAGCAAAGUUAAGAGAACUUAAUGGUAAAAACAAAAAGCUAGCACUUACUCAGUCGCAUUACCUAGACGCUCUGCUAAAGGUACGGUGCCCACUAAGCUGAAGAAGAAGACCCAUCCCUAACAUAUACAAAGUAAUUGUCAAUGGAUUAGGGGUGAAGUCAAUCUAAAUUAUUGAAAGGAUGUGCAAAAAAGAAACCAUGUUGGACACAUUCUUACACAGAACAAGAAAAAAACUUAAAAACAUACACUUAAAAAGUAAAAAACAGGUAUGAAUAUUAAGUGAACCAAAAGCAGAACAAACCCCUAAAAGUGCUUCAGUUCAGGUGGGUUUUCUAGUAUUUUAUCAAUAAUAUCAGAUCAACAAAACCCUUGAUGCAAAUCCAAUCCGAUAUUGAAAACAGAUGAAUAUAAGAGAGGGAAAAAAACACUUUUAUUGGGCCUCAUAUUUACUGCGGCACAGAAUCCACUAUUCUCCAUAGCAAAAGGAAAAUACCGUAUUCUCAGCUUCAAUUUCUUGGAAAUUAAAUAAGGCAUUCACCAGCAUUCCCGCAUAGAAAUCACAUAAAGUGUAUGACCGAUUCACGAAAUUUCAAUUCAAUCUAACUAUCAAUCUAUAAGUGUGAAAUGACUGAUUCGUAUACAUACAUUAUUCAUUUAACCAAAUCUAAAUGGCUGUAUUGUAUAUAUGGCAGUUAACACACGUAUACGAAAGUGAAUGCACAAACAUACAUAACUGAACACAUUUGAACAUUUGAGUAGGAGGGAAUGUAUAAAAUUUGAUGCAUAUAAACAUAUGUACCAAGUAACAAACCAAUCCAUAGUUUCCCUCUUCAAAUAACAAAAUCCACAGAAACCCAGCAUUGAAAAUUCAAGGACACUCAAAAGAACUGUAAACGAAACCGAAAUGCCCAAAUCUCACUGAAGAAAAAGGAAAGAUUCCAAGAUUACACAAAACCCAAAAUAACACAAACAAAUCUCAAAGCAUUUCUCAAAAGGACAUAUUACAAUCAAAGAAAGUGAAAACUCUAAUAAAUUAGCUUAGAGAAUAAAUUACCUAGCAGAGAAGCCCAUUUUUUGGGAGCAGUUUAGCCACAUGCAUGUACCAACAUUGAAAACAAACAAAAAGUUCAUAAAAAAUGAAGAAGAAUCGAAAGAAAACGAAGCAGAAAGGAGCAUACCUGUACUCGUAGAUAUCAUCAAAGUACUUCUCGAAGUACCGGAUCUGACCCUGCUAUUUAAUCCCAAACCACGAUUUCAAGCAAAAUCUCGAACAGGGGUUUUCAAAUUUCUCAGCUUAAUCUGCGAAAUAAAGACUGUUUUCAAGAAAUUAAACAUAUUAUAUGUGCACUGCACACACUUGCGAACCGGCUUACUUAACUAAUAUUUUUCUAGGUCAAAUUUUAAUUAUUUGAUUCCUUGUAUCGAUAAUAUUAGAUGUAAAUACAUGCAUGUUUAUGGAAUUCAAUGAGAAAAACCAUAUACCUCAGUUUUUUCAGAUGAUCAGUCACCCUCCCCCCUAGUCCCUUGAACGUUAAAAUUCUCAUGAGCUUGCUUGUUCCAUGUCGUGCCUUACUCCCAUUCGGAUCCUUCUCUUUCUCCUAGUUGGAGAGACUGAUUCAAGCAAAAUCAAACAUUCAGACAACACAUCUCUCACUUGAUUGAUUGGUACCAAACGAAGGCCAUUGAUACUUAUUUGUAAUUUAAUUAAUAAAAAAAAUUAAACGCUUCAUAAAAUUAUACAAAAAAUUCCAGAAAUUUACGAAAAUAGAGAAAGAGGUUGUACAAAACCUACACAAAAAUUACUAAAUUCCAGAUAAAAUCAUACAAAAAAAAUCCAGAAAUUUAACGAAGAUAGAGAAAGAGGAAAAACCAAAUAUUUCAGCCCAGAUCCUUGAAGUUCUCGAGGACUUUGGACUUUGCCGGGUUGGAGAGAUAGUUUCUCGGAUCAGAAAGUAGGUGGCGUGGCCGGCCUUGGCGCUGGCCUCGACGAUAAACUUUCCGGUGCUGCCGAUGAAGAGGAUUUUGGGCUUGGUUACCAUCAGGAAUGGGAUUGGGGGGAAUCAGAAUGGGAUGUGUUGGAGAGAGAGAGAGAGAGAGAGAGAGAGAGAUUCAAAGUGGUGCAUGAAAGAAGAGGUGGAGAGUCGGUGAGGAGGAGAUUGAGCUCCUUCUGCAGUCGGCAAUCCCAGAGGAAAUCGAAAUGAAAGCACGCGGGAAUGGAGAGUUCGAGAGACAUCCACCAUCAAUAAGUGGAUAAAACACAGGCACAUAUGAAAUAACAAAAAAUAAGAGAGGGCAAAAAAGGAAAAACACUGUAGAAGUAACAGUGUUUUGAGUCCGCUAGGACACCAUGGGAAUUAACCUGAAAGUUACUUUUUUAGUAUAUACUAGCAAAGGCGCCCAAGCGUUGCUGCGGGGUUGAAAAUUGUAUAACACAUGUAGAAGUUCUAAAAUAUAUAUAUAUAUAUAUAUAUAUAUAUAUAUAUACAGUAAAUAAUACAGUUUACAUACAUUUGCAAAUUUAUUUACUACUCUAUCAACAAUAAGGAACAAAAUAAGUGUCCUGGGACGGAAUGAAGCCUAUGGUCAUAAAUUGUCAAAUUUCAUACAUGUCAAACUUCAUUUAAGAAACUGAAAAACUAUAAAGAAUAAAGUGAUAAACAUAUAGAGCCAAUUCACAAUAGGAAACCGUUGCUUCACUAAAUAAGCAGUACCAACAAAAUAAUGCUUUUUUUGCUGCAAAAGAUUAGAAAAAGGGAAACAAAAUAUUUAUUUCUAUUUUAUAUUAUGCGGAAAAAAACUUGGAAGAAGAAGCAAUAGUGAAAAGAUCAUAUUUAUUUCAAUUUUUUAGGCAGAGAAAAAUAAAACAAAAUACCCAUUUCAAUAAACAACCUAAAACCCAUUUCACGUUUGUGGGUUUCGAUAUUGCACAAUUAUAUAUGGGAAACAAAUGGCUGUUAAAAGAUUCCUAAAAAAAUUUCUACUCGUUUUCGUACAGUUUUUCUAGAGCCAAAUAGAAACCAACAAUGAAGACACAUUAUGAGAAAGUAUUGAUGAAAACACAGUGUACACAUACCUCCUUAAACCUUUCCUCCUUUUGCUUAGCCUGCAAUUGGAAUAGAUUAUGACUUAGGCAUAAACUCAGAAAUCGGUAAAGAAUGAAACCCAAAAGUAAAUUGCAGUUUCUUAUUAUCAUUUCUCUUAGAAAAGACUAACAAAAUUGUUUCUUAAAAAUUUAAAAUAACAAUAUGUAUAUAAGCAGGAUUGUGCUUAAUUUUCUCUAAUUAAAGAAAUGGUUUGCGCAAUUUAGAACCUAAUAUAACAAAAGCAUACAACAACAACAAAAGCCUUUUCCCACUAAGUGGGGUCGGCUAUAUGAAUCCUAGAACGCCAUUGCGCUCGGUUUUGUGUCAUGUCCUCCGUUAGAUCCAAGUACUCAAGUCUUUUCUUAGGGUCUCUUCCAAAGUUUUCCUAGGUCUUCCUCUACCCCUUCGGCCCUGAACCUCUGCCCCGUAGUCACAUUUUCGAACCGGAGCGUCAGUAGGCCUUCUUUGCACAUGUCCAAACCAUCGGAACCGAUUUUCUCUCAUAUUUCCUUCAAUUUUCGCUACUCCUACUUUACCUCGGAUAUCCUCAUUCCCAAUCUUAUCCUUUCUCGUGUGCCCAUACAUCCCAGAAGCAUCCUCAUCUCUCCGCUACACACCCAUUUUGUGUACGUGUUGAUGCUUCACCGCCCAACAUUCUGUGCCAUACAACAUCGCUGGCCUUAUUGUCGUCCUAUAAAAUUUUCCCUUGAGCUUCAGUGGCCUACGACGGUCACACAACACGCCGGAUGCACUCUUACACUUCAUCCAUCCAGCUUGUAUUCUAUGGUUGAGAUCUCCAUCUAAUUCUCCGUUCUCUUGCAAGAUAGAUCCUAGGUAGCGAAAACGGUCACUUUUUGUGAUCUUCGCUAGAUUGCUCCGGUCAUUAGUGUGAAUAAGUAUAUAAAUGGAUAGAGAUAGGAAAGCAAACACAAGAUGUACGUGGUUCACCCAGAUUGGCUACGUCCACGGAAUAGAGGAGUUCUCAUUAAUUGUGAAGGGUUUACACAAGUACAUAGGUUCAAGCUCUCCUUUAGUGAGUACAAGUGAAUGAUUUAGUACAAAUGACAUUAGGAAAUAUUGUGGGAGAAAGAUCUCGUAACCACGAAACUUCUAAGUACCGGAGUGUGGUAUCGUCUUGACUUGCCUUAUCUGUCUCAUAGGUAGAUGUGGCAUUCUCUGGAAGUACUCUUCCUCCAUCCAGGGGUGGUAUCUGUAACUGGUGGAGAUGCACAAGGUAAUGUAUCAAUUUCACUUGAAGCUUACUUGUAGUUUCAGGCUUGGUCAAGCGCGAUACAAACCAUGUAGUAGGAGUCCCCCAAGUCGCCGGGCUAGGGGAUCUGCUGAAAGAGGUGACAGACAAGGUAAGCAAUCAGAGCCUGCAGUGCCUUUUGGAAGCUUAGUCCUAUUUCGAAAAUCUACAAAGAGAACAAUUGUGAACCCAAAUUAAAGCUUUUUCUCUCACUCAAAAGAAAAAUAGAAACUCUAUACAACAACAACAACAACAACAACAACAAAGCCUUUUCCCACUAAGUGGGGUCGGCUAUAUGAAUCCUAGAACGCCAUUGCGCUCGGUUUUGUGUGAGAUUGUGCAUAAUCAAAAGGCUUGAAAACAAUUGAGAUUGUGCAUAUAGAAACUCUAUAUGGAAAAAAAAUUGAAAUUGUGCAUAAUCAAAAGUGGAUCAAAACUCUAAAUAGAUUAUCUUAACGCGUAGGAGAUCAUUGUUAGAAUUUGAAAACAAUUGAAACUUCAUUUUAAACACAAACUUAAUCAAUUGAUUUAUAUUUAAAUGGAAAGAAAGUAGCGGUCAAUUUUACCUAUCUUUUGUUUAGUGUAGCUCCAUUUCUAUCUUUGAUUAAAAGCUUGAAUUUUGACUUUUCUGGACAUUCUAGUGAACUUUGCCAAUAAAAGUUCAAAUUCUGAAACAAAAAAGUGAGUGGCGAACCUGAAAAAGUUCAAAUGACUUUGCCAAUAAAAGUUUUGAAGCAAUUCAUUUUUAGGAACAAAAAUCUGAAAGAGAACACAUGAAAGGGAAACCAACUUUAAAUUUCAUACUAUUUGGCAAAAAAGUGAGUGGCGAACCUGAAAAAGUUCAAAUGACUUUGCCAAUAAAAGUUUUGAAGCAAUUCAUUUUUAGGAACAAAAAUCUGAAAGAGAACACAUGAAAGGGAAACCAACUUUAAAUUUCAUACUAUUUGGCCCACACCUAACCCAUUCAAAAUGCACUGAAGAAACAAAGGUCAGGACUAUAGAACACGACAUGAACUUUUUCAAGUAUAUACGACAUGAACUUUUUCAAGUAUAUAGAAGUUUCGGUAGAUGUCUACUCAGCAGAACACAGAAGUAUGCAUAAUAAGAGAAAUUCCUUAUGCAAUUAGAAACAAUUUCAAAUGAGAAGCUCACUCUGGAGACUGAAAGUUGACCCCUUAACGUGCUCAAGUUCUCCACCAUUUUAACUUUUUCUUUCUCCACGCAUUUAAAUUCUUUCUCAACUUUUAAGAAGCCAUUGUGCAGUUUACUAUUGUAUUGUUGCAAGCUUGCCCUGCUCAGGAAAACACGGAAGUAAGAUUCAUAGAUACAUAAUAAGAGAAAUUCCUUAUGUAAUUAGCAACAAUUCCCCUUAACAUGCUCAGGUUCUCCACCAUAUUAACUUUGUGCUCCUCCAUGCACAAAUUCUUCAUCAACUGUUAAGAAGUCAUUGUGCAAUUUACUACUGUAAUGUUGCAAGCUUGCAAUGUAUUCUUGCGAUCGUUUGCACAUAUCAUUCACUGAAGUUAUUUGCAGAGUUCUGAAAAGAAAAUUUUUCAAAUUAAAACAUUUGUAAGGGAAAUCCAUACCUGUUGGCACGGAAGCAAAAGAAGGAAGGAAUGCAUAUUCUACUUUACCUUCUAAGUAACACUUGAAAGCUCUCUUUGAACUCUCAUGUGCCCUGCAGCCUGAUACACAUAUUAAAACAUUUAAUAAUGUAGACAACUUAACCAAGCUCAGCCACAUUGAAUAUCAAACCCACCUACAAACAAAAUGCUUCUGGAUCUCUUCAGCUGUUUCAGCUGGUUUCUUCACUCCUAUAACAUAAGGCCAAAAUACCCACAUCAAUACUACCUAAGCUCUGUAAUUCCUAUGGAAAACUUGUAUAUAACCAGCCUACUCUUUUCAAAAGGAAUUCGGUGUAUAAAAAAAAUGAGAAAUUCUAAAACUACGCAGCAGAAAUAAAGAAAAAACAAAAACUUACUAUGUCUUAUGACUCUAAUUCCAAUUGCCCUUCAAGCUCUCUAACUUUUGAACCACCAUGGUCAUACUGAUGAAUUCAUAACCAUGAAACCAAAAUCAUUACGUUGACAAAUAAACAUAACCAAAAACAAAAACAACUAAAUUUUUCAAAUGGGUAUCCCAAAAAUUCCCAGCCAAGUUAUCGAAAACUGAGCGACCUGUGCUGAGAGGGUGAUUGCCUUGGUCUGAAGCGUCUGCAGCUUCCUCUCCUUCUACCUCGCAGCUGAUUGCCUAUUAGCUAAAUCCUACAAAACCAAAAAAUUGAAAAACCACAAUUUCUCAUUCAAUCAUAUAAUAUCCACAAAAAUAACCCAAAAAUUCAACAUAAACACACAUAAAUAAAAAGGACGAUGAGGAGGAGGAUCAUAUGGAGAGUUUUCUGAGGGCUAAAAAGGACUUGGUGCUCACGCUGGCAUCGUAUGCUUUACACGCCGGAUAUGACUCCGAUGAGGAGGUAUAUGCGGCCGCCAAGGCCGUCGAUGCCGGGUUGUUGGAGUACGAUUCAGAUGAUAAUCCCAUUGUUCUGGACAAGAGGAAGAUCGAGCCGAUUCCAGCUCUCGAUCACAGUUCAAUCGACUACGAGCCGUUUAAUAAGGAUUUUUACGAGGAGAAAGAGUCGAUUUCAGGUAAAUUCCAACCGAACUGAGAAUUUUUUUUCUUUUUCAUUCACAUUUUUCAUUCUUGUGAAUUUAGUCGAAAUGCGUAGCAAAGUAUUCAAAGGGUCUAUUCAAUUGGAAUUUUGAAAGGGUUUUAAUUCUUUUAAUGGAUUUAGGGGUAUUCAAUCAAGAUUUUAAAUAAUUAUUUGAAAUUCAAGAUGUAUUCAAUUAGAAUUUUAAGAUAGUUUAUUAAAAUCCUUAGAAAUUCGGAUGUAUUCAAUUAGGAUUUUAAAGAAGUUUAUAACAUUUCAGGUGUAUUCAAUUAGAAAUUGAUUUAAAAGAAUUUGAGAAAGAUGAGGAAUUAGAGGGAAUUGGAGAGAUUUUAUAGUGUAUUUUAAGCAUCCACAAAUCUCACAUCUUCCCAUGAGAUUUCGAGGGAAUUGAAUCAAAAUUUUAUGUGGAAUCUCUACAAAUCAAUUAAACUUCAUAAAAAUCCAUAGAUUUAUAAAUCUAUGAAAGUCUCUCAAAUUCUCGAUUGAAUAGACCUCCUAAAUUUGAGUGAGAGAGAAUCUAGACCGGCAGAAGUUCUCAAGGAGACAUUUGAAAUGGAAGGCUAGAGUUAACUGGUGUUUUGUUUUCCUUGUUUAGGGAUGGGUGAAGAUGAUGUUUUUUAGUACAAGAAGAGCUUGGCCAUCCGUACGUCGGGUUUUGAUGUACCGAGGCCAGUUAAGACAUUUGAAGAUUGUGGAUUUUCUUCACAACUCAUGGCUGCCAUAAAAAAACAAGACUACCAAAAGCCGACACCAAUACAAUGCGCAGCUCUACCCAUAGUUCUUUCCGGGAGAGAUAUAAUUGGUAUUGCGAAAACUGGUUCUGGAAAGACUGCCGCUUUUGUCCUUCCAAUGAUUGUCCACAUUAUGGAUCAGCCAGAACUUCAAAAAGAAGAAGGUCCCAUUGGAGUGAUAUGCGCUCCUACUAGAGAGCUGGCGCACCAAAUAUACUUAGAGUCCAAAAAAUUUGCGAAAUCACAUGGGAUACGUGUCUCUGCUGUAUGGUGGAAUGUCUAAGCUUGAUCAGUUCAAAGAACUUAAGGCAGGAUGUGACAUAGUUGUUGCUACUCCUGGGAGAUUGAUAGACAUGCUUAAAAUGAAGGCACUGACAAUGCAAAGGGCAACUUACCUAGUACUUGAUGAGGCUGAUCGGAUGUUUGACCUAGGGUUUGAGCCUCAAAUUAGAUCUAUUGUUGGUCAGAUUCGGCCAGACCGACAGACAUUGCUCUUUUAUGCGACAAUGCCCCGUAAAGUUGAAAAAUUGGCUAGGGAGAUUCUCUCAGAUCCUAUAAGAGUUACAGUGGGUGAGGUGGGAAUGGCCAAUGAGGAUAUCACUCAGGUUGUUCAUGUAAUUCCUUCUGAUGAUGAAAAGCUGCCCUGGCUUCUUGAGAAGUUACCUGGAAUGAUUGAUGAGGGUGAUGUUUUAGUAUUUGCUUCAAAAAAAGUUGCAGUGGAUGAGAUCGAGUCACAGCUUGCUCAGAAAGGUUUUAAAGUCACAGCUCUGCAUGGUGACAAGGACCAGGCAUCUCGGAUGGAUAUUUUGCAAAAAUUUAAAUCUGGCAUUUACCAUGUUCUUGUUGCAACUGAUGUUGCUGCUCGUGGUCUUGACAUCAAGUCAAUUAAGUCAGUUGUGAACUUUGAUAUUGCAAAGGACAUGGACAUGCACGUCCAUCGAAUUGGUAGAACAGGUCGGGCUGGUGAUAAGGAUGGCACUGCGUACGCUUAUUGCACAGAAAGAGGCACGUUUUGCUGGUGAGUUGGUUAAUAGCUUGGUUGCUGCUGGUCAGAUUGUCUCCACGGAGCUCAUGGACCUUGCGAUGAAGGUAAUUUUGCAGUACUAUUAACAAUUUUUUUUGUGGUUUAUAUAGCGAGUUUAUACAUGCAUCCAACUACCUGCCUUUUUGUUUUAGAGAUGGUGGUUAUAACCAUAGUUUGUAAUCCUAUAAUGCAUUUAAGGCGAAUACAAGUUAUUAAUAUGUUCUCUGGUAAAACGUGCUCUUUUAAUGCAAUCUAGAUUCUGGACAAUUACACCUACAGGUGUUUGUCUCACAAAUAAACUACGUUACUUUCACUCUACUAUAUAGGUGCAUAGGUUGCUUCUGAUUUAGAGUGGGCUUUCGAGAGAGAUGGAUUUGAUGACCAUUUGGUCUUCAAGGCCUUAUUUUGGAAAGCUUCAGUUUGUCCUUGGAAUUACAGCGAUUUUGAGAUCGUUGACUUCAUAAUGUCAAGAUAGUCAAUUUCAGGAAAAGUGCUUAGUUUAGAGAGAGAGUAAUUAGACAGUCUUUAGUAGUCCCAUCUUUACUUCGUACCAUGCUUUGCAUAGAAAAGGGGUUUUUGGGGGUGUAUGUUGGCUUGUGUAUUGAAGCAUAGAGAUGAAUUGAAGAUGAAGCUCAGUCUGGGGACUUAUUAGCUUUUUAUGUAUUAUUAAGUUCUUGCUUGCAUUCUGGGCUACCAAUACAUCGGUUGAGGCCAACCAAUUUGCAUUAAAGAACAAAGAGAAAAAUUGCAUUUUAAGUACUAAAUCUUAAUUACCACAUGGACCCUUAGUAAAUUGUCACUUAUUUUCCCUUGUGCCAAUAUAUCUCAUAUACAUAAAUGCACAGCUUAUCAUGAUAGGUGGCUGCACCUGCAUUAGUUUUAGAAGUUUUACACUAUGAGAGCCACUCAUGCAUCAUUUCUUCAGUCUUGCGACUUUUAAUUCUUGCUUGCUGCUUGUAGCUUUGUAUUUCACGUCCCUCAUAAAUACACUGGUUUCCAUCUCCUACAUGGAUGUACAUCUUUAUAGUUAUUUUGGGUGCACCUCGUCUGUGGAACUUUUGUUGCUUUCCCUUACUAUGUUUCUUGUUUGAUAGCUUUAGAUGUUAGCAUGAGAUGUCAGAUUUCAGAUCUUACAUUCUCUAUUUUAAUGGGAUUUACCUUGUUUAUUAUCAGGAUGGUAGAUUCAGGUCAAAACGCGAUUCAAGAAAAGGAGGUAUAAACUUUAAUCAUACUAAAAUUUCAAUUUUCUUAAGAUUCUUUUGCAGUUUCAUAUUAAAUUAGCCUUUUUCUGUAAUUUCAAAUGAUGAUAUUUAUGGAUUCUGCAGGUGGAAAGAAAGGUAGAGGAAGGGGCGGCGGUGGUCGAGGUGUGCGUGAGGUGGAUUUUGGUCUGGGUAUUGGAUAUAAUACGGAGUCCAAUAGUUCUUCAUCGAAUACUGUUCCUAGUCGAUCUGCCGCAGAAACUCCUCAGAGGACAGGAAUGAUGUCUCAGUUCAAGACUAAAUUUGUUGCCGCUUCAUCUAACUCUCCAAGUCAAGGUUCAGGUAACAACUCUAGUGUGCCCAACAGACCGGCAUUACGAGGAUUUGUAUCCGAUGGUUCAAUCGGUGGGGAUGUAUAUAGAACUCAGACAGCCAGUACAAUUACUCCUGGUCCUCCUACAUCAGUGGUAAAUAAAACUGCUGCUCGGAACACCGGAGCAAAUACAAGUCAGAAGGCCUCCGAAAGGUUAAUAAAAUUGAUGCUCGGUUAGAAUUUUCAAUGUCUUUACGUAUUUGAUUGGUGCUGAUCAGUUUCAUUUGUGUCUUUUGCAGUUCUAGAGACAAACCUAGAGAAAGGCGGCGGCGCUCCGGUUGGGACUGUUGACCGUCCAGUUGAACUCCACCACUCUCACAUCGUGAAUGACGAGUUUUGUAUCUUUUGUAGAUUAAGGCCUGAUAUGCCUGUAUUAUUGUUGAACUUGGUCACUUUCUUUGUCGCUGUGUUUUAAGUUAAAAGAAAUAUAAGAGUUUGUAACUUGCUGCACAAAUAGUAGAUGGCCUAAAAGAUAGUCGGUUUAAAUCAUUAAAUACAUUAUAAAGCGGGCCUCACAAAAAAGUGUCAAAAGUUGUGUUAAAAAAUGUGGUGUUUCACAUCUCUGCUCCAUAUGUUAUUUUUAUUGAUCACUUCGAAUUACUUCAUAAUUCAACAAUUGGUACUGUUCCACUUCUCUUCCUCUCUCCCUUGGUAUACAUAAUAUCAUUUGUUCAAAAAAAAAAAAAAACAAUUGGUACUGUUAAUAUAAUACAAUAUGGCUUUGUUCGAUGUCAAGGAUUGGAUUGAUUUGAUUGGCUUAGUGAUAGGAAUUAUAACGCACCACAAAGUAGCACACAAUAAUCCUAUUGAUUUUCCUUAUUAUCACUAAAUUUGUCGAUUGUAGCAUAUGAAAAUAAGGGUCUUUUCCGCAGAAGAUUGUUUUAGCCAACUACUUAAAAUGUCACAAAAACGGGGUGGCUAUCUCCAUUGACCAGCCACUGAAAAUAAUUAUUAAACUGACUUAUACUCAUCCAAAUGCAACGAAAUUUUGUACAUAUAAACUAGACACACCGAGCUAUGUUCACACAAAUUUUUGGGAUUUUUGGAUUUGAUUAGCUAUUUAAAUUAAAUCGCACAAAACAGAACAACACAAAUUUUAAAUAAUACCAAGAAAUUUUAAUUCACAAAUUAAGAAAACGAGUUAGGGGAAAUGCUAUCCACCACCAAAUAAUCAUGCAAGCAUGUUAUGUUUCAUUAAAAUUCCUUUUAUUUCUGGAUGAAGAUGCUCAAGUUGGCUCAAUGUUAGAACUCAAUCUAUUACUCUUUCUUACGUAGUAUGUUAAGAGAAUGGCGUUUUCAACUUAACUUAGUCCCUAGCAUGCAAUCUAGAAUGGCGUAUUCAUAGAUUUAACAAGUAGAAAUCAUUAAGAAUAAAAAGAGUUUGAGUCAUCACAAGGCAUCGUAAGUACUGGUGUUGUCUUACUUAUCCUAGAAAUCGUUUCACAUGUUAACCACAAUUAACAAGUGCUACUCUAGAACAUAUGUAGGUCCUCAUUCAACAAGGGCAGGCACACAUAUAUUCAUAGCAUUAAAAUCCUAGAUAUGCUCACUAUGUAUGCAUCCAUAGAAACACAUAAAGAAUUUAUCAAUGACAUAAGUAGUGAAACAAUUUUCAUCCUUUCAUAAAAGUCAUUCAAACAAAAUAUCACAACAAACUUACAAUCAUAUUCGGGGCUUCAAAACAGCCCCUAACUACUAAAAAUUAGUUACACAUCAUUAUUUUCAAAUUAAACCAAAAGUUAAACAUGAGUUUGAGACAAUAGAACCGAAAUAGAAGAGUGCAGAGGUUUCCUCUUUCCCUUGCCAAGCUUGCAGUGCAGCUUAAGCUCUCUUUUUCUAUUGACAGCUAGGACAGUAUGGGAGAGAUAAUAUUGACAGCUAGGACAGUAUGGGAGAGAGGAAAUAUGACAGUAUGGAGAGAGGGAAUAUUGCUCGUGAAAAGGAAUGUUGUAUAUUCCUUGACAGAUAGACAAUGCUGUAUGGGAGAAAGGAAUGCUGCUUAUUUUUUCUCUAGUUGCUGCAUCAUGACAGCAAGCACAACACCUGUAUUGCUUUUCUUUAUUGCAUGCGUGUAUGUAAAAUGCAUAUAAACAAUGCUGCCGUUGCAGCAGAAUGAAUAAGAAAGAAACAACAAAGUUGAAACCAAAACAUCAAUAUGGUAUCAGAGCAGGAACCAUAGGGUCCUGCCUCUGUUGAUUAUCCUUCUAGCUUGUUCUUCUUCCUCUGUUCAUCAUUUGUUGUGAUGGCAGAAGAUAUCUCAUUUAGUUAUGAGGCUACAAGUCCCUCAACUCUAACACCAGCCAACAUGAUACACGGGGAGAGCAACCCACGACUGUGCUCUGUGUUGUUGAAUGAGUUCAACUACUUGCCGUGGUCACGAGCUAUAUCUCUUGCCCUAGGAGGAAGAUCGAAACUAGGGUACGUAAAUGGAACCAUCAAGCCUCAAGAGUCUUCCUCAGCUACCUUUGAUGCAUGACACUCAAAUGACCAGCUUGUUAUGUCCUGGAUACUUAACUCGAUGGAGCCCAAGUUGUCCGGGAUCUUCAGCUACUCAGAUUCUUCACACAUCUUAUGGGAAUCGAUCAAGGAAAUGUACGGCAGUCAACACAAUGCUGCUCGUGUGUUUGAACUGAAGAAAAGCCUCGCUGGGCUUAAGCAAGGUGAUCAAACUUUCAUUCAGCAUCUUGGAAGCAUGAAAUCUAUGUGGAAUGAACUUGAUCUAUACCGUCCACACACCACUGAAUCCGCUGUACUCUUGAAAAGGGCUGAUGAAGAUAAAGUGUUCCAACUAUUGGCAAGUUUGGGAGUUGAGUAUGAAGACUUGCGUAGCCACUUACUAAUGAAUCCUAAGCUACCAUCUUUCGUCAACGUGUGUCAUGCAGUCCAAAGAGAAGAAACUCGAAGGAAAGUAAUGCAUGUUGAGCCCCGGUCUAGCCCAAAAGCUAGGGUUUUCACUAGUAACCACAACUUCACUAGUGAAAGGCCUUUUAAUGGAAGGAAAGCUGACUGGAAAUGCACAUACUGCAACACCAAGGGGCACGUACGGGAAAAAUGCUGGAUUUUACAUCCUGAGUUAAAACCUAAGUUUAACAAGGAAGGAAAAAUGAUUAGGGAUGGGAAAGGGUUUGCGCCUAAAGCCUUCCAAUCUCUGAGUUGUCCAUCUAAUGAGAUGUCAAACUUCACCUCAAACCCUAUCUCCCUGAUCAAUGAGUUUGCCGCCUUUCUCCAAAAGAAGAGUGAUAUCGCUGAGGGUAACAAUGUCACCACGGAAAAUCCCACAGAAAUGCUUGGAAAAUUUGCUGGUUUUUUGGCAAAUUCAAACACCACUAAAUUCGGCAAUAUCCCAGGUAUCAUUUGUGCACUUUCCACGGCUCUCAAUGUAUAUCUCACACACGAUUUUUAGAUUAUAGACUCAGGUGCCACUGACCAUAUAACCAACAAACAAGCUUGUCUACAUGAGUUUCAAAAAUUACCUAAUCAUACUCAUGUGUCUGUAGCGAAUGGGAAAGGGGAACCAGUUCUAGGAAAAGGAAAAAUUAAAUUGAUGGGGAGUGAUGUAGAGUCUACGGCACUAUAUGUACCCUCAUUUCCAUUUCAACUUCUGUCCAUAGGAAAAAUCACACAUACUUUGAACUGUCUUGCUAUUUUUUCUCCUCACACAGUUGUAUUUCAGGAUCGAGUCACUCAGAAGAAGAUUGGUGAGGGUUUUUUCUUAAAUGGUCUGUACUACCUCUCAAAGGAGUUCAAUCAAGUUAAGGAACCCAUUGUCAACCUAAGCCAUGUCCAGAAGCAUCAACUUUGGCACCAACGCCUAGCUCAUCCCUCCGAACCAGUAAUGUCUAAAUUAUUUUCCAAAUUAUUGUACCAACACACAUGAGUGUGAGAUCUGUCAAAUGUCAAAAGCCACUAGGCUACCUUUUGUACCCUCUAAAUCUAGAACUAGUAAACCCCUUGAAGUUGUACACUCAGAUAUUUGGGGACCUUCCCGUGUUGAGUCAUUUGAUAGGUACAAGUAUUUUGUUACAUUCAUAGAUGACUACUCUAGGGUUACUUGGUUAUAUCUCUUAAAGUCUAAAAGUGAAUUUUUUUUACAGCUUUUCAAGACUUUCAUAAGCUAAUAACCAACCACUUCUCCUCAAAAAUAUGUACCUUACGGUCAGAUAAUGGCACCGAGUAUACCUCCAAUAAUCUGUCAAACUACUUAAGCAGUCAUGGUAUCUUGCAUCAAACUAGUUGUGUAGGUACACCACAACAAAAUGGUGUGGCCGAACGCAAGAAUAAGGAUUUAUUGGAGAAAACUAGGUCUCUUAUGUUUCAGAUGCAAGUUCCCAAGAGAUUCUGGUCCCAAGCACUCCUUACUGCAGCCUAUAUCAUUAACAGACUUCCCACUCGUGUCCUGAAUUCCAAAUCACCUUUUGAAGUUAUGAAGGGAAGAACUGCUGAUUUAACUCAUUUCAGGAUUUUUGGGUGCACGUGUUAUGUUCACGUUCAAGCAAAUCAUCGUGAUAAACUCGAACCUCGAGUUAUCAAGUGUGUGUUUAUGGGGUACUCGAGUUCUCAAAAGGGAUACAAAUGUUAUAACCCACACACUGGGAAGCUGGUUGUCUCUAGGGAUGUACGGUUUGAUGAACACGUUCAUUUCUUCAACAAUCACUCCCCAAAUAGUUCUCAGGGGGAGAGUCUAAUGGAUAUUUUUCCACUACCAACUCUCGCUGAAAUCCAUACAGACACCCCCCCAGUGAUCCUCCAGUUGAUGAGAUGGUCAGUGAAGAUAUACCUCGUGCCCCAGCACCAGUUGUUGCCACACAACCAAUUGUAGCAACACAAAAAAGGAAUCCAACUCGCGAUCGCAACCCUCAUCGACGGCUACAAGAGUACAUCACUUACAGUGCAAGGCAUCCCAUUUCUGAAGCUCUCACUUAUCACAAACUGUCAGCAUCUCAUGCAUCAUUCCUAAGUCAGUUGGCAAACAAUGUUGAGCCUAAAAACUUUCAAGAAGCAGUAUGUAUACCUGUGUGGAGAGAUGCCAUGCAUGAUAAGCUCAAAGCACUGAACGAAAAUCAAACCUGGAGUGUAGUAGAUCUUCCCAAAGGGAAGAAAGCCGUAGGGAGUAGAUGGAUUUACAAGACCAAAUUCAAUUCUAAUGGUACCAUUGAAAGACACAAGGCCCGGUUGGUUGCACGGGGUUUCACUCAAACUUACGGCAUUGACUACAAGGAGACCUUUGCUCCCGUUGCCAAAAUGAACACAGUGAGGGUGUUGUUAUCAGUAGCAGUCAACCACGACUGGCCCUUGUUUCAAAUGGAUGUUAAAAACGCAUUUCUUCACGGUGAGCUUCAAGAAGAGGUGUACAUGAAGCUACCUCCAGGACACCCUCAAGAAAAAGAACCUACCAAAGUCUGCAAGCUUCAUAAAGCUAUAUAUGGACUUAAACAGUCUCCUCGAGCUUGGUAUGCCAAACUAAGCUCUGUUCUUGAAGUGGCAGGGUUCAAAAGGAGUCAUGAUGACUCAUCUCUCUUUGUUCGAAGUGGUGUCCAAGGGAAGCUUGUAGUUCUUAUAUGUUGACGACCUUAUCAUCACGGGGGACAACAUGGAUGAACUCGAGGCUCUUAAAAGGUCGCUUCACCAACAGUUUGCCAUUAAAGAUUUGGGAUCCUUGAAAUAUUUUCUGGGUAUUGAGAUGGCUACCUCAUCCAAGGGUUUAUUCUUAAAUCAAAGGAAGUAUGUUCUUGACCUUCUUGAUGAAGCACAUAUGGUCAACUGCAAACCUGCCCGCACCCCACUUGCUAGCAAACUUCAACUGGAUGCUCCAGGUACCCUUCUUUCAAAUCCUAAUGUGUAUCAACGCAUGGUUGGGAAACUCAUUUACCUCACUAUCACACGGCCUGAUAUUGCUUACUCCGUAAGCCUUAUCAGUCAGUUUAUGCAUUCUCCUACAUUGGUUCAUUGGGAAAUUGUCAAGAGAAUACUUCGAUACCUCAAGGGCUCGAUCGGCAGAGGCAUACUCAUGCAGAAAAAUGAGUCUAAUCACAUUCUGGCCUAUACCGAUGCGGAUUGGGCUGGUAAUUCCCUUGAUCGAAAAUCCACCACAGGUUUUUGUACCUUUGUAGGUGGAAACCUUGUCACCUGGAAAAGUAAAAAACAAACAGUGGUUGCACGGUCCAGUGCUGAAGCUGAAUAUCGGGCCAUGGUAGCAACAGCUUCUGAACUCAUCUGGUUGAAGAGUCUCCUUCUUGAUCUUGGCUUCACCAGUAAGGAACCCAUGUCCUUAUUCUGUGACAACCAGGCUGCCAUGCAUAUUGCAUCCAAUCCUGUAUUCCAUGAACGGACUAAACACAUUGAAGUUGACUGCCACUACAUCCGCACUCAAGUUCAAUCCAAAGUCAUCGAAACUGUGUACACUAGAAGUCAUGAUCAACUUGCGGACCUUUUCACGAAAGCUCUUGAUUUUACACAGUUUCAACGGUUAUUGUUCAAGCUUGGAUCAAUCAACCCCCUUAAUCCCGCUUGAGGGGGAGUAUUGACAGCUAGGACAGUAUGGGAGAGAGGGAAUAUGAUAUUGACAACUAGGACAGUAUGGGAGAGAGGAAAUAUGACAGUAUGGAGAGAGGGAAUAUUGCUCGUGAAAAGGAAUGUUGUAUAUUCCUUGACAGAUAGACAAUGCUGUAUGGGAGAAAGGAAUGCUGCUUAUUUUUUCUCUAGUUGCUGCAUCAUGACAGCAAGCACAACACCUGUAUUGCUUUUCUUUAUUGCAUGCGUGUAUGUAAAAUGCAUAUAAACAAUGCUGCCGUUGCAGCAGAAUGAAUAAGAAAGAAACAACAAAGUUGAAACCAAAACAUCAAUAUUUUCCUUCUGCUCUUCUUUUCCCUUCUGCUCUCUGCACUUCCUCUUCUUCUAUCCGUCUCUCCCUCUUUCCUCUUCUUUCGUUUUUGUUCUUCUCCUCUGCUCUGUCCGUUUCCUCUCUUCUUUAUAUUUUUUUCUUCUUUCUUCUUUUCUUCUUUCUGUCCUUUUCUUCUUUUCCUUUCUUUGUUUUGUUUUCUUUCUUUUCUUAUGUAACCCCCCCUUUUCUUCUACAAACAUCAUUAUGAAUCAUGAUGAUGUUUCAAACAUCAUCAUGACUCAUCAUUAUCUUUUUUUUUAAUUUAAUUUAAAAGCUGAUCUACACAGAGACGAAUUUAUUACAUAAAAUUUCACUUGUUCUAUUUUUAUUUUCUUUGCUAGACAAAUCCUAUAAUACGCAAAAACAAAGUAAUAGCUCAAAAAUAUAAGGAACUAACUAAUAAAAGACAAAUGAAAUUGAUGUAAAAUAUAUAUAAAUAUGAACUUAUCACUUAGCUUGAAAAAUCACAAAAUUCAGUGAAUAAAAAUACAGAUUGUUUAUUUUGUCCAAAUGAAGAUGGAAGAGAAAAAGAAACAGACUAGUAUAACAAAUAUUUACGGACCAUGCAUCGAUUAUUAAUUACACCUAUACGUCAAUUGAUAAUUAUAAUUUUUGUUUUUAAAUGUUAUUAUCUCUUAAAUAAAUAACCAUGUUGUUUUUAUCUCCUCAUCCUAUGUUACGUGUCGAAUUCGUGUGAAGUCUGGCGGGACAAGAGAUGACUUUGAUCACCAUGAGCUCCUUUCCAUAGCCAUUUUUCUUUACCUUGAGCCCCUUACACAAAGUCCGUUCUUAAGAUCUGGAGUUUUCUCUCAAUGGCUGCUAAAAGUUCCCGAGAUUCUUCUUCGUCCUCUUACCGGUGUUCCGCCUUCUUGAGUUUCAGAGGCAAGGACACGCGCAAGGGGUUUACUGAUCACCUCUAUAGAGCCUUGGAGCUAGCAGGAAUCCACACGUUUAGAGACGAUGAUGAAAUCAAGAGAGGGGAGAAUAUUGAGUCGGAGUUAGAGAAGGCGAUACAGGAGUCACAAGUAUCCAUAAUUGUCUUCUCCAAGGACUACGCUUCCUCAAGGUGGUGUUUGAACGAACUUCUGAAGAUCGU